AGGGCCCAGGUAAGCUUAAGGCCCCCGAGAUUCGUAGUAAGCCUAAACCAGACAAUUCAAUUACAUCAAAUGGAUCCUAAGAACAGCAAGUCCAUAUUAUUUUAUAUAUAAGUCAAGGAAUCACAUAUCACUGCCCCAAUUUCAACAUCUCAAAUUAAUUCUUUAAAUUCUUACUUAAGUAAGUCAUUUGUCUAAUCCGAUCUUUUCCUUUGUAUAGGUAUUUUAUCUAGAUCGUCAGAGUUUGUCUACCGGUCCUGUUAGCCAAAAUCCACAAUAAAGCUUGUUCUCCCCUCUAUCACUAUGAGUAAUAAUAAGUGCAUAUUAUCAUUUUCAUGCAUUUAUUAUUUACUUUAUAAAGAAAUAUAUGAAUGAUAACUUAACAUUUAUUUUUUGAUAUUACUAUGUCAUUAUCAAUACAUGAUUAUAUUUGUAUAUUUAUUUACAUCAUAUUUAUAUCUUUUUAUGUUUGCAUGUUAAUUAUUGAUUUGAUGUAUUAUACUAAAUGAAUUGUUUGAUUAUUUGAAUUGUGACAUGGUAGUGCCUUGUUUGUGUGGAAUUGGGAUGAAGUGAGUCACCAUGGGUUUGCGAUAGUGGUUUACGAUACCGUCGGCCAUGAAUGAGGAGAUCGCGCUCCCAUGUGCAUCUGAUGAUAUAUGAUAUGGAAAACCACAAGGUAGCUACCUAUUGGUAUGGAAAAGAGAGUAUAAAAAAAAUGAGAGGGUUGGUUAAGUGAGGAUUAGACCGGUCGGCCAUGUAUGGGAGAUCGGUUCCUUAGUGCACACGUUUGAGAAGGCGGGCCAUGUGUGAGGACGGCUCGUCAGAGGUUUCGAUGAUGCCACUGACCAAUUUCCACUUGUUUGAUUAUUUGAAAGUGUAAUUACUUGUGGGUACUGAUGUUAUGCCAUAUGCUUGAUUAGUUGUGUGUUCAUUUUAGUAUUUUAGGAAGUAUUUCGGAUGAAUUCCAGUGUUAUGCAUUAUUUCUUAUUAUUCACUAAGUUGCGAAAUUCACUCCUCUUCAAUUUAACUUUUCAGGAAGUAGAAUCUCCGCUGAUUCAGCUAAAGCUCUAAAUCCUUCCCCGCAGAGCUACUGAAGUAAAUUUCUAAUGUCAGUAGUUACUUAAAAUUAUGUAUCUUUAUAUAUAAAGACUCUAUUAUUUCUAAUUAUUAUUGAACUCCGCAGUUGUAAGACUUAAAUGUCUUUAAUAGCGUAAAUGGGCAUACUAACCCAUGAACUUAUGGAUAUUUUAAUUAUUUAUCUAGGUGCAUGUAUUAACCAAUUAGCCCAUAUUAUGAAUGAUGUGUGUUGUAAAUAGACCCGAGUCAUGAAUUAAUUUGAGAUGUUGAAAUUGGGGCAGAGAUAUGUGAUUACUUGACUUAUAUAUAAAAUGAUAUGGGUUUGUUGUUCUUAGGAUCCGUUUGAUGUAAUUGAAUUGUGUGGUUUAGGCUUACUAUGGGUUUCGGGAGCCUUAAGUUUACCUGAACCCUAGUGUUGGUCCGGCCUAUGAUUUUGGAUUGUGACACUUUUCUUUGAAACCGAAUCAAAACUAAAAUAAGUUCAAAAAUUGAACCAAACAUAUUGAUUCGGUUCAGCAAACAUCAGUUUGGUCAACAAUUCAAUUUUACUAGAAAAUAAGUGUUUUAUAGUAUCUAAUUCAAAGGCCGAAAAUCAAAAUGAUGGAAUAUUGGAAACUGAAAACUGUAUAACCAAAAAUAAUUCAGUUUUUUCCAAAGUUUGCUCACCCGUGCAAAUAGGAGCCCAAGGAGUAGUACCAUGGAGAUUGUGAAAGGCUUUUUGCCAAAUAAACAAUCUGAAAGUUGAAACUUUCUGGUUCUCUUCAUGUUUUUUCUUAUUGUCUAAUUGUAACAUGUAAAGGAACAUUUCAUGUUGAUCCAUUGAAAUUAAUGUACUAAACAAAUAAAUGUACUAAAAUCUUUAGACCCAAGAAUCCAAAUCUUGCAUUGGCAACAACACAGUAGCACUUCCAUUCAAACAACCCAGCUUUUAUUCAUAUAUAUGGUUAUACAUGAGGGAGUAAGACUCCACUUUAACAAACGUAAUCACUCUAAUUUAUAUAUUACAUAUCCAUAACACACUUAAUCCUUAUUACUCCGUGUAUUACAGAGAUACUACAUUGCACAGAAACGGAAACGAGGAAAUAUGAAAAACGAUGAGGGAAAAACAAUUUUAACGGAAAACCAGUAUUUUAUAUGUGGAAAUUGACACGCUGAAACGUUUAUGAAAUGGCCAUGGCUAAAAAUUUCUAUGCAUCAUAGCAGACAUAUAAAUGCAUAUAUGUGUGUGUGUACGGCACUCUCUCUCUCUUAUGAUCAUUUAGAAGAGAACUUGACAGCUUCAAUGCGAGCUUUGAUAAAAGUAAUAUGUUUGUCCCUUGGAGGCAGGCAUCCAUGAACGACAUCAAUUUUAUGGAGCUUUUCCAACCAUUUGCAGAAAAUUGGAUGCUUCUUUUCAGUGAUGAAUUCUAUCUCCAGAACUUCUUGGUGCACUUGAAGCCAAUGACAUGUAAAAAAUGCAACAAUGUCCAGAUACCCAAUUUCAAUUCCUCCAAAGAAUUCUUUUUCUUUUUCUUUCAACUCAUUCUCUAGCAAUUUGAGGUGUCCAUGAACUUCUUCAAUUAUCUUUUGUUUCUCCUCCUCCAAGGCAGAGACAAACUUUCUUGCUGUUUCUUGGAUCUGCAAAUACAUGUAUACAUUAAUUGUCAAUUCUAGUGAGAACAAAAUUAAUUCAACCCAGACUACUAAAACUAUUAAUGUAUAGUGUUGUAAAUGAGACAAGCCGCUCGUGAGCUGUUCGAGGCUCGGCUCUAUAAAAGCUUGCUCAAGCUCGAGCUCAAGUCAUAUUUAGCUCGCGAGCUUGCUCAUGAGCCAGCUAUAUCGAGCCGAUUCGAGCUCUCUAGCUAGCUCAAUAAUCCAAAAUCAAUUAAAACCUACAUUAAAUUGACUCUGUUUUAAUUUAAUAGAUUUCGAGCUCAAGUUUAACUACUUUUAAAGGAGCCGAGCUCGAGCUCACCAAAGUUCUCUCAGCAUGGCUCAUUUACAGCCCUUUAAUAGUAAUGAAGCUUACCUUUUCCUCUACGAACUUAGCCCAGAAACGAGCAGUGGCUCUAUGAUAAGGCUCUUUAGGUAGGAUAUGAUGAUGGUGUUUCCAGGUCUCAUCAAUAUACUCAAGAAUGACAAGUGAUUCUGCGAUUGGUUUUCCUUUAUGUAUAAGCACGGGAACCUUUUGAUGAACUGGGUUAUACUUAAGAAGCAAAGGACUCUUGUUGAAGAUAUCUUCCUCUAUAUACUCAUAUUUGACUCCUUUUAUUUUGAGAGCUAGUUCUACUCUGCGAGUGUAAGGACUAGCCCAAGUUCCAAUUAGCUUCACUUCUUCAUCUGCCAUUUUUGAGUUGUGUGAAUUUUGGUUGAGCUUCUCUUUAAUACGAGAGACAUAUAUAUAGUGAGUGAGAGUUUCUUAACAUGCAAGUUUGGAACAUAGGAAUCAUAUAGUUCCAACUUGCUAGAAAUCAAAGUUUAGUAUUAGGAAUGUCAUUGAUGACCACAUUGUUUAAUAUUUCAAGGAAUAAUCUAUUUUUUAACUAAUUACUCCAGGCACAUUGGAAAGUGGUUCCAUGAGGUACAUAGUAGUUAAUAUAUAGUAUAUUGUAAUAUUAAGAUUUAUAUAAAUCAUGUUUGAAUAAUGAAUCACCAAAUUCAAUUAAAUAAACAUUGCAUUUUUUUUUCAUAUUUAGGAAAAAAAAAUUUGCUGUUUUAGUUUAUUAAAUUUCUUUUUAAUUGUUAAGAAUUAACAAUUGUAAAUUUAAUGAGCUUUUUAACUAGAAUUAAUUAAGAGAUGUUCCUCCACCCUUUUGGUGUUUGACAAAUUUCCUUCGAUUGUACAGCGUAAUGAUUUUUUGCAUGAUUUUUCUUUUUCGGUUAUUUAUUUAUUUGUUGUGAAACUUAAUAUUAUGAACUAUUAAUUUGGUGAGUCAAAUUAGUAAAAACUCGUGGUUGAGAAGAGUCAAACUUGAAAUCUUACUCUCCCCACGUAAAAAAGACUAAUAAAUAUCCUUCAACCCCUUUAAAUUUUCAGCACUUAUUUAAAUAUCCCAAUUAAAUUAAAAAAUUUGUUGAAAAUAAUAAGCUAAUAAUUGCAAUUUAAAAUUUAUACCGAAUGCGAUAACUCAAUAUGAUUUCUGUUUAUAAACCUGUUGGACGAUAACUCUUUAUAUAUUUUUUAGUGUUUUGAUUAAGUCAAAAUGCUACUUUUAUUAUUUAUAUUUGGUAGCUUAGUGUUUAUAUUGAUGUUUAAAAUUUGAGAAAGCCGACCAUGAAAUGAUAAUAUUUUUUACAUUAAUUAUGAAUUAAUAGCUAACUUUAAUAUGAUAAAAUGCACUUGCAUCAACUUUAAUAUGGCUAAUUUAAACAAAAAAAAAAAAAAGAAAAAAAAAAUCAAUCGUAAAGAGUUUUACCUCUGCAGAUAAUUAUAGUGGGGUGGUUCAACUGAAAAAACUAAUGAAGUAGUUGCUGUUACGUCACACUUUAAAUUAAACAAAAAUAGAGUCGGCUUUGUUAUCCAUCAUCCAGAUCGUCAUGCCUUACAAUUAAUCGUUUAAUCAACUUGAAUUAUCCAUUUUACCCUUAAUUCAAUUGUAAAUUUUCUUCUAAAGCCUUGUAUAUGUCACAAGUUAUCUGUUGGCGGCUGCAGUGGUCAAAGGCGAGUAUUCCGUCGAUUUAAAUAAAAUUUUAACCGAAAUAAAUUAAUUGAAAUUUUUUUUCACUUAAUCGAAUUAAUUUUGAUCAUUAACUAAAUGGAAAGUAAAGAAAUUGAAAACUUAAUUAACCGACUAAAUUUAGUAGAAAAUUUAUGAUUAACCGACUUUAACCGAAAUAAAAUUAACCAAAGUUAUUAAUCACUAUUUAAUUAAAAUAAAAAUCGAAAAUAUUUUAUUAUUUACUUAAUCAAAACGACAUAGUUUUGAGAGUCAAUUGAUUUGUUUAAUUCGGUUAAAUUAAUUUUUAACUGAUCACCGAAAUUUUAAUUUUCUUUAAUUGAACUUUUAAUCGAAUAUUUAUUCACCGAAUCAAUUUAACCGAAUUAACUGAAUUAAUCGAAUUAACCGAAUUGGUCGAACUGUAAAUAUGAAAUCCAUAACCGAAUUGGUUAAGAGAGAGAGAGAGAGAGAGACUUGAGUCCAAUAUAAAUAAACUAUGGGCUUGUUUUGACAAUAUGAAGUCCAUAACCCAAAAACUGUGUCGUUUGGCAGGCCAUAGCUUAAUUUAAGACCAGCAAACAAAAACAGCUGCAGCUACCAGAUGGAGACCCAUUGGUUUCUUUUUAAUUUAUUGAAAAGUAAAUAUCUGCUGCUGCUUCUCUACCGUUGCACUUGAAUUUGCCGCCCGUUGUUUUCCUUCUUUAUUACUUUCUUCAACCAACUUUUUCUAACACUAUAAAACAACCAUAACCUAACAUUAAACAAACAACCAAAACCCAAACAUUUUUCUUCCUUCUCUUUACUAGAUUAAUUUCAUGGCUUCUCUCAUGCUUUUGUUGUCUGUUCUUCUUCGACCCAAGAACCUUGCGAAACCUGCAGCGGCUUUACCUUCUUCUUCUUUUGCCUCUUCUUUUGCUGCUGCUGGUGCUGGUUCUGUCUCUUCCAAUGCUCAAAAGCCAUUGAUGAAUUAUACGAAGCGAUUUGAUGCGGACAUUGUUGAUGAAGAUGUGCCGGAGCCUAAGUUUAAUAUCGACCUGUCAUGGCCUUGAAGAUCUUCUUUUUUUUUUUAUUAAUUUUGAUUGCAUUUUGAAGAAAUUUGGAAUUUCAUUUGCCGUGGAAAUUCUCUAUCUUGUAAUUGAGUUUAUUUCAUUUUCCAUCCUAAGUUUAGUUUCUUAUGUGUAAAAAGUGCAAAUAUAUGAAAAUUUUAGCCAAUUUGAGCAAAUAUUACAUGAAAAUUUGAACAAAUUUUAAAAUUUAUUAUCUUUCUUGAAUUGUAGUCUGUAACUAUUUGUGUAAUUAAUUGUAUUUUUAUUGUUUUAUUUCAUAUUACGAAUUACUAAAUAUAACUUAUUUCAAAAUAAAAUCUAAUAUAUCUAAUAUCAUAAUAAAAAAAAUUAAAAUGAGAUCAAAUUAAAAAGAAUAAAAUUCCUUUAAAUUGAACUAAAAAAAGAAUGCAUUUUAGGGUCAUAAUAAUUUAGUUUAAAUUAAAAUAAAAAACAAAGCUUUGUUUAUUAGAUUUAAGAUUUUUGUUUGGAAAGAGAGGAAAAAAAAAAUCGAAUAUAUGUGACAUUAAACAAGGUAAUUUUCUCGGUUUAUUCAUAUAUUUUUCUCCAAUUUAGAGAUAUUCUAAUCUUGUUGUCUAAGCAGAAAAAUAAUGCAUAUUUUAUUUCAAUUAAUGUAGAGUAUUCGAACAGAAGAUUUCUCACUCUUCACAUUUUCUGUAAAAUAUAGAAAGACCGACUAUGAGUAAAUAUUGCAUGAAAUGGUUCUUGAGCUAUAACUGUGUGUAAUUAAAUUUAUUCUUAUUGCAUUGUUUUCAUAUCAUGACUUACUAAAUAUACAUAUAACUUAACGCAUAAUAAAAUAGUAAUAUAUAUAACACUUUAAUGAAAAAAUUUAUAUGCGAUCAAACUAAAAAGAAUAAAAAAAAAAUCCUUUGAAUUAAACUACGAAGAGAAUGCAUUUCAGUGUCAUAAUAACUUAUUUUAAAUUGAAAUAAAAAAAGUUAUAUUUUAUGAUUUAAAGUUUUAUUUGGAAAAGAGAGGAAAUAAAAUAAUGCAUGAAGAUAACUCCAACGAGUUGCAACACUGUUUGGAAGAUUACUCGAAACCUUGAGACUAGCAUGGUAUCAAGCAACUCUUGCUAGAGCAUGAGCUGAAUUGUUUGCUUGUCUCUUAAUUCAAGCUACAGAAACAGAGCUGUUUGCAUUAAAUAAACUCUUCCAAUCAUUAAUAAUUGCACCAAACUCAGAGACGUCAGAGGUUGAUGAAAGUGAAGCCUGAACAAUUUCCUUGGCAUCAGUUUCAAUUAUCAUAUUACCAAAGUGUUGAUCUUUGAUCCAAGAUAGAACCUCCCUCAACCCUAAGGUUUCAGCAACUCGAGGAGAAGCUUGUUCCAUAAACAGACAUGUAAGACCAACAAGGAAAGAACCAUUGUAAUCUCUAAAAACAGCUCCAAACCCCAUUUGAUUUCGAUCCUCAAAGAUUGAAGCAUCCACAUUGCACUUCAAAAAACCUGGAGAAGAUGGAACCCAUCUGCUAGGAACCUCUGUUGUGGGAUCCCUCCGACAUGUGAGACCCACACAAGUUUCAAGAAAGAAAAAAAAAAGAGUCACGUUUUUUUGUUGUUCAAAGAAGGCUGCGCGUUGGAUGCGUUAAUUGCGCGCAGUUGGUGGAUGCGUUGAUUAACGCAUCCCCUUCUCUUAUAAGUAGGAGAAGGUUUUCCCUCAACAAAUCGUACAAAAACAAAAGAAUAGAAAUACAUAGAGUGUAUAGAAUUUUAGGAAAAGGAUUCCUAAAAUUGGGAAAGAGAGAAAAUAGUGAGGAACAUAAUUUUUUGGUGUUUUUGGAAAACAUUUAGAGUACCACUAUUUUUAUAAUCUCUUUUGUACCUACUAUUUUUAGUAGAAGCAUUAUUCGGGGUUUUUGUCCCGUGGACGUAGCCCAUAACAGUUGAAGGGUGAACCACGUAAAUCUCAGUGUCCUUAUUUUUCAUCUAGCAUUUACAAUAAUUAUUUAAUUUUUACCGUGGUUUUUAUUUCUGGUAGAUUCGAUCGUCAAUAUCCAAUACGUAAUUAUUGGAGCAUUUUUCCUCGGGCCCUAUUCGGAUCAGUUAUAAUCCCAACAACUGAUAUCAGAGCCUUUAGUUGGUAAAUUUUGUCAGUUUAUACAAAGUUACUAUUCACGUGAAUAGUAAAAUUUUGUCAGAUACAGAAUUCGACAUGGCUAACGACGGGGCAAUGAUCAAAUUGAUGGAUUCGAAUUACUCAAUGUGGAAAUCCAGAAUGGAGGACUACCUCAAUUGCAAAGAUCUGUAUGAUACAAUUGAAGGUGACAGUGCAAAGCCGGAAGAAAUGAAAGAAAGGCAGUGGGAGAAAUUAAAAAAGCAGACAUUGGGUACAAUACGCCAAUGGAUAGAUGCUAGCCUGUACAACCACGUGAGAAAUGAAAAAGAUCCCCAAGUUCUCUGGAAGAAAUUAGAGAAUAUGUACGAGGCUACGAAUGCUCAAGGAAAAGUCUUCAUGAUGCGUAAAGUCAUGAACUUGAAGCUGUCAGAGGGACGAUCAAUUACACAACACCUGAACGAUUUUGAAGGACUCGUAACUGAGUUAGCAGUUAGCGGUAUGUCCUUAGAAGACGAGAUGCAAGCAUGCCUACUGUUGGGAUCUCUACCGGAUAGUUGGGAUACUCUUGUGGUAUCAUUGAGUAACUCAGCUCCAAAUGGUGUGGUAAUAAUGUUUAUGGUAAAGAAUAGACUACUUAAUGGAGAACUACGAAGAAGAGAUGUUGCUAGUACCAGUUCAUAAGCCCUUGUCACAGAGAAUAGGGGCCGGAGUAAGAGUAGAGGUCCAAGGCAUGUAAAGUCAGGUGGUAGAUCCAAGUCCAGAGAGAUGAGAAANNNNNNNNNNNNNNNNNNNNNNNNNNNNNNNNNNNNNNNNNNNNNNNNNNNNNNNNNNNNNNNNGAGAAUGACAGAAAUACAUCUGCUACAGUCUCAGGAGAAGAUGGUGAGGUGACUUUAGUCACUCAUGAUGCAGAUUGCUGUCAUGUUGGAGAUGCAGAUACCGAGUGGAUAGUAGACUCCGGUGCUUCAUACCACUGUGUUCCAAAAAGGGAAUACUUUUCUACUUAUAAAGCAGGAGACUUUGGCACUAUUAAAAUGGGAAAUAAUAGUGUCUCGCAAGUGGUGGGAAUCGGUGAUAUCUGCAUAAAGACAAGUGUUGGGUGCAUAUUAACACUUAAAAAUGUGAGACACAUUCUAGAUCUUCGAUUGAACCUGUUGUCUGUGAGUGUACUGGACAAGGAAGGCUAUCACCAUCAUACAGGUGGCGGUAAUUGGAAACUCACCAAAGGGUCUUUGGUGGUGGCGAGAGGANNNNNNNNNNNNNNNNNNNNNNNNNNNNNNNNNNNNNNNNNNNNNNNNNNNNNNNNNNNNNNNNNNNNNNNNNNNNNNNNNNNNNNNNNNNNNNNNNNNNNUUAGUGAGAAAGGGUUGAAUAUGUUGGCUAAGAAGUCCCUCAUACCAUUAGCCAAAGGUAAAAUAAACCCUUGUGAUUAUUGUUUAGUUGGAAAGCGACAUCGGGUCUCAUUUUUGAAAAGCUCUAGAAGGCGAGACAACAAGUUGGAGUUGGUACACUCUGACGUAUAUGGUUCCAUGGAGUUAGAAUCACUUGGAGGAAGUAGGUAUUUUCUUACCUUCAUUGAUGAUUUCUCACGAAAAACAUGGAUAUAUUUGUUGCGCACAAAAGACCAAGUAUUCAAGCACUUUCAGCAAUUGCAUGUGAUGGUGGAAAGGGAGACUGGAGUAGCAUUGAAGUGUUUGCGCACGGAUAAUGGUGGUGAGUAUAUCUCUAAGGAGUUUAGAGAUUAUUGUAGUCAGCAUGGUAUCAGGCAUGAAAAGACAAUUCCUGGUAAACCGCAACACAACGGCGUUACUGAACCGAUGAAUCGCAUCAUUGUUGAAAGAGUUAGAUCCACGCUCAAAAUGGCCAACUUACCUAAGCCAUUUUGGGGAGAAGCUGUCAAUACUGCUGUCUACCUAAUCAACCGACUACCUUNNNNNNNNNNNNNNNNNNNNNNNNNNNNNNNNNNNNNNNNNNNNNNNNNNNNNNNNNNNNNNNNNNNNNNNNNNNNNNNNNNNNNNNNNNNNNNNNNNNNNNNNNNNNNNNNNNNNNNNNNNNNNNNNNNNNNNNNNNNNNNNNNNNNNNNNNNNNNNNNNNNNNNNNNNNNNNNNNNNNNNNNNNNNNNNNNNNNNNNNNNNNNNNNNNNNNNNNNNNUUCCACGAGAAUGAGAUCGUGGCAGAUACAACUUGUGAAGAAUCCACAAGUGAUGGUGUUGUUGAUAUUACACCAGGAAGCAUUCCUACAGAUGAUGCCACAGGAGGAGGACUGCCAAAAUCAGAACGAGAAGAAGAAGAAGAGCCAGUUGUAAGGGAUCAGGAGACAAUUGUAGAUGAUAACAGUGAUACAGAGGGUGUUGAGUAGGGGGAGCCGGAGAACCCCAUUUCACCAGAAGGAGUUGAACCUCAGUUAAGAANNNNNNNNNNNNNNNNNNNNNNNNNNNNNNNNNNNNNNNNNNNNNNNNNNNNNNNNNNNNNNNNNNNNNNNNNNNNNNNNNNNNNNNNNNNNNNNNNNNNNNNNNNNNNNNNNNNNNNNNNNNNNNNNNNNNNNNNNNNNNNNNNNNNNNNNNNNNNNNNNNNNNNNNNNNNNNNNNNNNNNNNAAGGAAGAGAACACUCAAGAACAAAUGGGUGUACAAACUGAAGAAAGAUGAUGGCAACCUAGUGAGAUACAAAGCUCGAUUGGUCGUCAAAAGCUUUACUCAAAAGAAAGGUAUUAACUUUGAUGAGAUUUUUUCACCAGUUGUGAAAUGAGUUCUAUUCGAGUUGUGUUAGGUCUUGUAGCCAAUUUGAAUCUUGAGUUGGGGCAGCUUGAUGUAAAGACUGCAUUCUUGCAUGGGGAUCUAGAAGAAGAAAUCUAUAAGGAACGACCAGAAGGUUUCAAGGUCAAGGGAAAAGAGGACAUGGUUUGUCGCUUGAAGAAGAGCUUGUACGGGUUGAAACAAGCGCCGCGACAAUCAAGGAUCCAAAAGGACAGAUGCAGAUCCUUGUGUAUAUGUCCANNNNNNNNNNNNNNNNNNNNNNNNNNNNNNNNNNNNNNNNNNNNNNNNNNNNNNNNNNNNNNNNNNNNNNNNNNNNNNNNNNNNNNNNNNNNNNNNNNNNNNNNNNNNNNNNNNNNNNNAAGAGUGAUUUGUCAAAAGCAUUUGACAUGAAGGAUUUGGGAUCGGCAAAGCGAAUUCUCGGAAUGCAGAUUAUCCGAGACAGAAAGUCCUGCAGGUUAUGGUUAUCGCAGGAAAAAUAUAUUGAACGAGUUCUAGAGAGGUUCAAUAUGAAGAAUGCUAAACCAGUUAGCACUCCGCUUGCCGCUCACUUCAAGUUAAGUAAGAAAUCCUACCCAUCAACAGAGAAAGAAAAAGGAGAUAUGUCAAAUGUUCCAUAUUCUUUAGCGGUCGAAAGUUUGAGGUACGCGAUGGUGUGUACGAGACCAGAUAUCGCUCAUGCAGUUGGCGUUGUGAGCCNNNNNNNNNNNNNNNNNNNNNNNNNNNNNNNNNNNNNNNNNNNNNNNNNNNNNNUUCAGAUACCUGAGAGGAACUUCAAAGUUAUGUUUAACUUUUGGAGGUGAAAAGACUGCAUUUGUUGGCUACACAGAUGCAGAUAUGGCCGGUGAUCUUGAUGAAAGAAAAUCUACAUCAGGAUAUCUAUUUACAUUCUCAAGGGGAGCUAUUUCAUGGUAAUCAAGAUUACAAAAAUGUGUUUCAUUAUCAAUGACCGAAGCAGAGUAUGUUGCAGCUACGGAAGCAGGAAAGGAAAUGCUUUGGUUAAAGCGAUUCUUUCAAGAAUUGGGUGUGCAACAGNNNNNNNNNNNNNNNNNNNNNNNNNUUAGACUUGAGCAAAAAUACUAUGUAUCAUGCAGAAACAAAACACAUUGAUGUAAGAUAUCAUUGGCUUAGACUUGCCAUUGAAGAGAAGCAGUUCCAGUUGCGAAAAAUCCACAAAGACAGAAAUGCUGUCGAUAUAUUAACAAAGGUCGUUCCGAAGGAGAAGUUCGAACUGUGUGUCAAAGCGGUAGAAAUGGAGAGUCCCACCAUGUAGUCGGGAGGGGGAGAAUUAUUGUGGGAUCCCUCCGACAUAUAGGACCCACACAAGUUUGAAGAAAGAAAAAAAAAGAGUCAUAUUUUUUUUGUUGUUCAAAGAAGGUUGCGCGUUGGAUGCGUUAAUUGCGCGCAGUCGGUGGAUGCGUUGAUUAACGCAUCCCCUUCUCCUAUAAAUANNNNNNNNNNNNNNNNNNNNNNNNNNNNNNNNNNNNNNNNNNNNNNNNNNNNNNNNNNNNNNNCUUUUAGGAAAAGGAUUCCUAAAUUUGGGAAAGAGAGAAAAUAGUGAGGAUCAUAAUUUUUGGGUGUUUUUGGAAAACACUUAGAGUACCACUAUUUUUGUAAUCUCUUUUGUACCUACUAUUUUUAGUAGAAGAAUUGUUCGGAGUUUUUGACCCGUGGACGUAGCCCAUAACAGUUGAAGGGUGAACCACGUAAAUCUCAGUGUCCUUAUUUUUCAUCUGGCAUUUACGGUAAUUAUUUAAUUUUUACCGGGGUUAUUAUUUCUGGUGGAUUCGAUCGUCAAUGUCCAAUAAAUAAUUAUUAGAGCAUUUUUCCGCGGGCCCUACUCGAAAUCAGUUAUAAUCCCAACAACCUCGACUGCUGCAACAGUAGCUUGGGCUACCUCACCCUGAUCCUUGGCACAAAUCCAAUCAUGAAAGUACCUCAAACCCGAUGAGACAACUAGAGUCGGUGGAGUGCUCACCCCUUGCUAGAUAAAAAACAUUUCUAUGGUUCCAGAUAUUCCAUAUAACUGCUGCCAACUCAGCAACACGAUCUGCACCCCCCGAUUGAAAACAAGAUAAAAAUCCAGUGUAACAAGCCAUCUCCAAUGAGUUGAGAUGUCUCAGAACAAAAAUUGUGCUAGCACUCAGUCGCUCUAACACAGGUGACCAAAGCAUGAGCAACUGACUCCUCCAUACCACAAACCGGACAACUCGAUGGAAUAUCUACCCCUCGUUGAUGACGCUUCAACUUCAUUGGUAAAAUAUCAGGACAGACACGCCAAACGAAAUGCUUGAUCCUGGGGGGUAAGCGCAGGCCCCACAACUUCCUCCAAUCCACCCAAAUCGGACCCAAGUUGUGCCUGAGAAACGAUUCCGCUGUAAGAUAAUAGCCGGACUUUACCUGGUAAAUCCCAUUUCGGGACCAGUGCCAGAUAAGCUUGUCCUCACCAUUAUUACUGAACGGCAUGCGCAGGACAAUCUCAGCAUCAACAGGGGUCAGCAGGCCCCUAACCAAGUCCUCGUUCCAUCCCUGCCCAUGAUCAUUUUUCAAGUCCGCAACACAAAGAUCUUCCAUACCUGGUAACACAUCUGAUUGAACAUAAAAAGACAUAUUGUUGAGAAGCCAAGGUUCCGACCAAAUGUUCACUACAUUCCUCGAUCCUGUCCUCCAUCUCAUCCUCUUACAAGCAUAUUCUUGGAAAGCAAAAUGCUCCUCCAUGUGAAACUGGGGUUAUCUCCAAGGAGGCUACCAAGAACAGCCCUAACAAAUCCCCAUCCGGGUAAUAUUAGACAAAUGAUAAUUUUUUUUUAAUAUUUUCCUUAUAUAUGUAUAUUUUUUAAAUCAUCCUUUUCAAAUAAAGUCUAAGUAUUUCAAUUUUCAUCAAAUUAUAAAUAUUCAACUGUAUGUUUUUGAAAAAAUAAAAAGAAAACAUGUGCUCAAGUAUUAUUUACACAAAACCAGAGGAGUGUUUCAGUAAUUAUUCCAUUUCAUUUUAUUCAUUUCUCCAAUUCGAUUCUCUGCAAAUGGAAACGAUGCAGUUUUUUAUUUCUUCACUCCACAUUUCAAUUAUUCCCUUGCCGGAAAAGGCACGCCAUAAUUAAUUCGAUCCUAAACUUCGCCAAACUUCCAUCUCCAAGAUGACACCUCAAUCUUGUCUCUUUGCCAAACCCAGACCCCAUAAUUCCCAAACCCAUUGACAUAAAAAAGGAAAAAAAAAAAAUGCUUACUCUGUUUUUCUGUUUCUCUCGUUUCCUGUGUCUUCUCUGUUUCCUCCGCCACCUUCGCCGCCUCCACCAUGCGUCCACAGAAUUCUCGGACCAAAUCAAUUCUCGCCACCAAAAUUCACAUUAUGGCCUUGGAUGGCAUUGUCAAUGUGAACUCUUUAUUCACUUUAGCUCUCUUUCUUGGUCUUGCUUGGUACCCUGUUCCUGACCCCACCAUUACUCUUGUCACCGAUCCUUCCUGCACCGCCAGCUCCGCCAUCGUCGAGAACUUAGUCACCUUCCAUGUUUAUUCCUUCAGUUCCUUCCUUUUCUCCAGCCUUGUUGCUUUGGCUCUCAAGCAGGCCAUAAAGAUUGCAGAUAAAGAUGAUGAUAAUAUUAUUAGUGUUGAAGAGUUAGGGAGUGCUUCUCUAGUGCAUGUUGACAUGGUGGCUUUACGGGUUGGGACUUUGGUUUCUGGGUUUGGCUCAGUUUUCGGAUGUGGGUUCUUGAUGAUGGCUUUGGUGAAUUUAGUGCAGAUAAAGUUAGGGAUUUUGGCUUGUGGGAGUUUGUAUACUGUUGCUGCAAUUGGUCCUUUGGUGAUAUUGGUUCCCUUGGCUUUAGUAAUCUAUGUUUUCCUCAUGCUUUAUUCCUUUACUCGCUAGAGUUUUCUGAAUUUAUGUUCAUAGAAUUCAUGAAAAGAUUACACCUUUAUGUUUAUUUAUAUGUUGAAAUUGUUAAAUGGCAACUGUAUUGAGCAUUUGAAAAUAGAAGUGUGUAAAAAUUGAGCAAAUGCUCAAUUUAUGAUUAGAUGUUUCUGAUUAUGCUUGUUUUGGCCUUCCUGAGUGAAAAGGGCAUAUUUUUGUUGUUAUUGAAUUUUGGCAAUAGCUGAUUUCUGUCGUGUGUUCAUUGUUGAAACUGUUUGGUUUCAGCCAGAAAAUUAAAAAAGCUUUAAUUUUUAAUGAACUUCAAGCAUCUUUGCUCAGCAUCUUGACUAUAUAGAUAUGAAUGUGAUCUACUGAUUUAGGUGCAUAAUCUGGUGGAAUUUGCAGUUUUAAAUUGCAGGCUGUAUUGGGAAUGGUUCUUUUUGUCUCCUAAAUAAUAUUUAUUAUGAUCUUGGGAGUUGGUAAUGACAGUGGCUAAAAUUUUGUUUUCUUAAUAUAAUAAUAGGUGUAGAUGUCAAAGCAGGAUAAUUUAAUCUGUGAAGGCAAUGGACGAUGCGGUUGCUUCACCACAUUUUUAGUUAUCUUUUGAAGUUUUUCAUAAAAAAUGAUAAAAAAAAUUGGGUGUUUUGUAGUAUUUGCUUCCCCUGGACUGCCACUAGAGAAGCAUGUGCAGGUGCCUUCUAAUUCAAGUACCAAAAGGUCCAAAAACCGAAGGACCUUUUGGUUCUCAAAGAAUGCAUCAUAUCGCCUUCUCAUUAGAUUUAAACAAAUUUUUGUAUUGGUUCUCCAUCUAUUUGUUCUUUUCAUGUUUUGAAUUCAUAUUAUAACCAUUGCUUGAUUUAUUUUGCUGGGUGAAAGUUUGCCAGAAGGAUUUGAUCUCAUAUUUGGCAUUUCAUGGGUAAGGAUCUGGUUGCCAUCUUCACUUUCCGUUGUUUAUGCUUCAUCAUUGCCCUCCUAUCUGCAUUUUCAUUUAUAUCCUUUCUCUCAUGGUUUCAACUUUCUGCUCCAUGCUAUUUCAAAGCCCAAAUGAUACUGCAAAAGCAAAACCAACCUAUUAAUCUCCUCCUUUUCCCUUCUGCUUGGAAUCAUCUUUCUUUUCCCUCGGAACCACCUUCUAAACUCCUUAAAAUUGCACUCUUUGUAAAGAAAUGGCCUCAUAGAUCUCAUGCUGGAGGGCUUGAACGGCAUGCCUUGACCCUUCAUCUUGCUCUUGCCAAAAGAGGGCAUGAGCUUCAUGUUUUCACCUCUUCUCCCCCAAACUCCUCCUUCGCAAGGUAUCCGCUGAGCAAUUUAUACUUUCACCUUUCAAGACCAACCGCUGCUGGUUAUCUGGACCAAGCUUCAGUCUGGAAGCUAUUUCAGACUCAAAACUCAACAGGAAAACCGUUUGAUGUGGUCCACACUGAAAGUGUUGGGCUCUGGCAUGCUCGGUCACGGAACCUGACCAACUUAGCUGUUAGUUGGCAUGGGAUUGCAUAUGAAACUAUUCAUACUGACAUCAUUCAAGAAAUUUUAAGGAAUCCUGAAGAACCAUUAGCAUAUGCGUUGACUGAAAGAGUUACCAAGGUUGUUGAAGAGGUCAAAUUUUUCCCUGAUUAUGCUCACCAUGUUGCUACUAGUGAUCAUGCAGGUGAUGUCCUGAAAAGGAUUUAUAUGAUUCCAGAAGAACGAGUUCAUGUUAUUCUUAACGGAGUGGAUGAGGAAAUUUUCAAGCCAGAUGCUAUGAAGGGUAAGGAAUUUAAGCAGAAAUUUGGUGUCACAGAAAGUAGAUCAUUGGUUUUGGGCAUGGCAGGGAGGUUGGUGAAGGAUAAAGGACACCCCUUAAUGUUUGAAGCCCUGAAGCAGAUCCUAAUGGAAAACGAUACAAUUCGAGAGGACACUGUUGUUCUGGUUGUUGGUGAUGGUCCUUGGGGUCCUAGAUACAGAGAUCUUGGUGUUAAUGUACUUGUUCUGGGGCCAUUAGACCAAGCUCAACUAGCAAGGUUCUACAAUGCCAUAGACAUUUUUGUGAACCCAACUCUCCGAGCUCAAGGGUUGGAUCAUACUUUGUUAGAAGCAAUGCUUUCUGGUAAACCUGUGAUGGCCACUAGGGUAGCCAGCAUCACAGGUUCAGUGAUUGUUGAUAAAGAAAUUGGUUAUGUCUUUUCACCAACGGUAGUUUCAUUGAAGAAUGCUCUCUAUAGAGUUUGGGAAGAGGGCAGAGGAGUCCUAGAAGAGAAAGGUAAGGCUGCUAUGCAGAGAGGGUUGCGCCUGUUCACUGCUACUAAAAUGGCAGCUGCUUAUGAAAGGCUUUUCCUUUGCAUAUCAAAUAAUAGUAACAGAACCGAAGAUUAUUGUCAAUACCAACCUCCACUAGUUGGAUAGCAACAUCAUUACCUCAUUCAACAUUGACAGAGCUAACAGGGAACGACAUUGAACAUUGAGACUAAGUGGUAAGGUUGAAGCUCUGGAGAAGGCAGCUGUAUAGAGCUUUUCAAGAAGAAAGUACCUUCUUGUAUUGAUCCUUUACAGAAUUUGGUAAUUGUAUUUAUCGAUCCAUACUAGUUUCAACCAUUUGAAAGGCGACAUAACAUUCAUUUUUUCCCCUUCAGACUAAUGGUAAACUGGCUUUAUAAUUUAUCUGUUGCUGAUAUCUGAAUCUUCUUGCUUUUAAUUCUCUUACUUUAAUACAUUUGAACUUGCAGAUUCACAGGCUACAUUUUGCCUCAAGCUCCGACAAAGUCUAAAAUUAGCAGCCUCAAACGAGGUAAGUGUGCUUGGAAGUAACAUCUGCAGAUGGCUUAGCAAUCAAAGUUAGGGACAUGAAUUAUGAUUUACAAUUAUGAAACCAGAAAGAAAUUUAACAUUUAUGUAUGGAACUACAUGUUUUGCCUAGAAAACAAGAUUGGAAUUCCUAGCACUAAAAUUAGCUGCAGUCAUUUCUGCAUGUGCUCAAAGUUUCAUUAAUUGAUGGCAAUAAUUCUUCAAAUUUAAGGUUCAAAAUUGUACCUCUCAGAACAAAAGCACAAGCUUAUUUAUUUUGUUCGAGUUUCAUAAAUGUCUACAAACAAUAGGAAAGAUACAUAAACUUUAGGAAUUGAACCUUCAAGUAUAUAUGCUGCAUAUACAACAUGAAGAGCAUUGGGACAACAUUCAUUGGUGGUCUAGGUAAAAAAGCAGAAAGAUUUAACUAGUGUUACAGUAUUUCUUAAAAAUCUCUUGCAUUGAGGCUACACUCAUAUCAAAAUCAUGUCUUCACAGGCAGAAAAAUAAUACAAAUUGCUGACAAGAUCUAUCCACAUCAGCUGCUUAUUUAUUUUGCAUCUCUUCUAUCAUUAUCAUCUAGGCUUUAUGAAUUCCUGCAAUAUAAAAAAGAAAGGAACAGAACAAACAAAAUAAAUUAGAUAAAGGUCCCAGAAAAAAAUCUCUAGUUGAUCAUUUGUGUAUCUUAACUCAAAUGAAUAUGUGUGGUUGCAUCACAUUAGCUGAUCGUGAUUGAUAAGUUUAAUAUUUUCACUGUUUACACUAUUGAAAAGGGUUCCAUUACAGGCAAAGCAUAAUUCUACCCCUGCCACUCUUCCUACAAGUGGCUAAAUGGGAAACUAAAAGUAAAACCCCACUUUCAGGAACUAGAAUAGAUACUGCGAUAGGCAUUUUCUUGUGUUAUCAAGAUGUGCUGAGAUAUCCUUCUGCUUUAAUAUGAAAUUCUAAUGCCUUUUGUUAAGAUAAUAGCGUGGGAUAGAAUCCCACAUGGAAUAAAAGCAAGAUGUUGUAAGACUUAGGUACCAUUUGAAAUUGCAAUAACAAGUAGCAGAUUUUAGGCCAAAAUUGGGAGUAAUUUAGUCGGUUCAUAUGGACCCGUUUUUCCUCCUAAUUUUAGCCAAACUGGCCCCUUGAUAUAGAUAAACUCUCCAACCUCAAUGACUUAACUUUUAAUGUGGGUUCUCCCAAAUCCAUAUCAAAAUUCUUUCAACACCUUCUAUCAGAAAUUACAACAAAAAACAAAAAGAAAAAGAAAAGGAAUUACAACUGAUGAGAAGAACAAAAGUGGAAAAACAAGUAUUAAUUGCUUUAGAACUUGUCUACAUUGGUAUUGCAGUAUUUAUAGAUUGUGUUAUAGUUCUGGUAAAUUAGAUUCUUUAUUAUUUUAUACCUUGAAAAAUAGAUGGAGAAUUCAUAUGCCAAGGGAAGCGAGGUCCUAAUAAUAAAGCGAACCUGCGGAAAAAGCAAAUUAGAAUCCUUAGUUUAUCGUUAUAGGCUAUAGCAAGAACAGGAGCUUAAAUACUAUUUGCAGCUUCAUUUAUGACAUGUUACCUUGCCACCAAUUUCCUCUAGAAGCACCAUUUGAAUUGUUUCCAUUAGGAUCAUCUUCUUCCCCAUCUUUAUUGAACUAAUUCAUUCACAAAGCACAUUAGCACAUUUACUUGAUGCAUAAUCUAAAUUAUUUGGUGUGCUGAUAAUAGCACAGGCUAUCUACAAUUGAAGACUUACUAGGGGAUAUGAUCCAGAAAUAUUAUGACUAUUUGGAUGCUGAGAAUAAUUAUCUUGCCCACCGUAGUAAAGUGAUGAACUUAGAUGACAUGGUUCUGCUCUUUCUUCCAUAAAAAUUGAGUUUCUGUCCUUGUUGUGCAUGUUAUGUUUUGCAGCUUCGCUAGUCAUAGCUGUAUUGUUACAAAAUACACAAUAUAAGGCAAUUUUCUCCAAGCUUUUCACUAUAAACAAGUGAUGAUCAAUUCAAGAAAAUGCAGGGAAAUGGAUGUCAUACUUCUUUCAAGUUCUUUACUAUAUAACGAUAUAGAACAGGCCUAAUAUAACAAACCUGGAGCUCCUUGUUUUGUGUUCCAACCAUGAUUUCCGGAAGACUGCUUUUGCCAGGUUCCUAUCAUCUCAGUGCCAGAAGGUUUCUUUCCUAAAACCUGAACAACCAAGAACAAAGUUCAGAUGUAAAUUAUCAUUAGUCUAAUAAUCUUGUGGUCGAACACCUAAUGACCGUCUUAUAUUGUAAGAGAUUAGGAAUUCAAAUUUUGAUAUUUUCAAUCGCUUUCAAAAAUCUUCAAUGUAGCAUAAAAGAAAGAAGAAUUUCUAAAUUAAGCAAGUUUACCUUUAUAGUUCAGUUCAAAAUUGGCAGUCUAUAUCACAAUUUACAUCAAACAAAAAGCACAAAACUAAAAAAGGAAAGAAGAAAAGCAUAAAACCAUAUAUAGUAUGCACUUCACGAGCAACUUCCAAGUUAUAAAACUGUAUAAACCUUCCCUUCCCUCCUCAUUUUCCAAAUUAUAAAACUGUACGCUCAACAUUCAAAAACAUAUAGAAAGCCUGAAAAGAAAUUUAAGUUUCAUAAUGUAAGUAAAUGAUGUAACUAUACCUUAGACGGAGGUGGAAAGAUAGAAGCAAAGAUUCCAGUUGAAGUUGGUGGGGGCUCUUUUGUGCCAAAAAGAUCAGCUGUGAAUGAAGAAGAAGAAGAAGAAGAAGAAUGUUUUUCCUUCUUAGAGUCCAUUGUUGCCUUUUCUGUACCUUGACUAACUAACCAACUACACUAACAACCAGUCUCCAAGAAACACUACAAGUUUAUUAAAACAGAAGAAGGAAGAAAUCUAAACUGCCUUGUGAAAUCAUCAAUUAUGUCUCAUAUAUAUAUAUACAGUUCUACAGACUACACCAGACGGCACUGGUUGUGCCGCCCAUGUGCCCUUCUUCAACAAGAAAAAGGAAAAAGAAAGAAAGCCCACUCUUUUAUUUUAUUUUAGUAAUUAAGAUAUCUUUCUUUCUUUUUUUUUUUUUUUUUUUUUGGGAAAUCUGAUAUGGGAACUUUUUUUUCUCUGCAAUUCUCACAUUCUCUUCUUCUCUCUUGUAAAAUAUAAUAUCCUACUUCCACCGCCACCACCAUGAUCAUCAUCUUUUUCUCAAGAAAUACAAAUGGAUAAGUGCCACGUGGGGUCCACAUGUCAUCCUAAUUGGACAAGCCAAUGAGUGACGUGUGUCCUGUAAUGGAUAAUUGCAAGUUUGCAACCUCUCUUUGUUUUGUAGAGUCACAUAAACUUCCCCAAUUCAAAUGACCCCAUAUCUCUAAAAGUAACAAAGGUUUUUUUAUUUUUCCUUAUUUUAAUUUUAUUCUCAUCAUCUUUCCUAACAAAUGGUCCUUCCUAAAAGUAACUUUAUUGAAUAUUAAUUCCAACUAAGCAUAGCCAUGGAUUAAUUUUAAAUCGGAAUCAAAUUGGUUAAGUUAAAAAUUAACUGCAGUCAAUAAUUUUUUUAUUUCCAUUUGAAAUUGAAACUAUAUGCAAUAACUGAUCUCGAUUAUUCAUUUUUUAGAAUCAAAACUGCCCAAUUCUAAUUGGAACCAAAAACCAAAAAAUAUUAUCUUUUACUAUUUAUUUAUGUAAUAAAACUAAAAAAUUUUUUAAUUCAUUGGAGAUUUUUAAAGAUCAAAAUAACACUGCGGGGUUGAUAAUCUGAAUAGGAUAGCUCAGUGACAAAGAGCUUGUGCAAGCAUGAUCAUCAUCAUGGGUUCAAUUUUCCGCAUUACAAACUCCCCUUGAAAUCAACUAGCCCUUUUGGUGGAAAUUUGUCAAGUUUGUGGACCACUGUUAAAUCACACUAUUCCUUAAAAUGGAAGUAAUGGUUCUAGAGCCGUAUGCAUGUGAGCAUAUCCAACUUGAAGAUUUUAAGAGUGAAAAGGAGAUUUCAAGAAAUCUCCAGUCUUUGAUCAAUCCAAAACAAGAUAACUAGAUAAGGUUUGUUUUUCCACUCAAUAUCCCUUUUGUACGUGGAUAGUUGACUGCAUUGUUGCCUUCAAUUGUCAAACUAUAGUUACUUUCUUUCUAUACCAAUAUGCCAUUCAAAUCCAGAUCUACCAAAUUCAUAAAGGCCAAGCAAUUGUACUUUCUCCUCUUUUUUUUUUUUUUUAAUUUGUUUAAUAAUUAGAAAAAUAAAAGAAUUCAUAAAUUAUAUAUCUUCGGUCAAAUCUCAUAGAUUUACCCUGAAAUUUAUGUGAUUUGCCUUGUAACACCUUCAAAUUUUCAGAGAUCUAUUACGACUCUACGCUUUUACAUUUCAGUAAUAACUAUACCCAUCGACAAAAUAAAAUAUAAAAAUAUAAAUCAUGAUUGAAUUCUUACAAAGUUGUUAUUUCAUUUUGGUGAGGAGUAUAAUUAUUACUGAAAUGUAAAAGUAUAUAAUCGUGAUAGGUUCCCACAAACUUGAGAGCGCCACAAGACAAAUCGCAUAAACUUUAGGGUAAAUUGGGUAAAUUUAUGUAUUAAGCCUCUUUUUUUUUUUUAUUCAUAUCGAAUACAACAGGUGAAAAUCCUCGUGGGUCAAAAGAAUUUAUUUUGAAACUUCUCACUAUCUAUAUAAAUGGAAUACUAAACAGAUCGCAACUGAUCGGCUAUUAAAAGGCAAGAUAUUUGUUUUUAAAAAAAAAAUUUAAAAAAGUACUUUAGAGUAAUAAAUUCAAUCACCAAAGAACUUAUUCUUUGGAAUAAAGUUCUUCCAAAUCAUAUUUUUGGUUAAUUUAACUAAUAUCUGAAGUGGGGUUUCUUAAACUGUAACAAGAUUCCAAUUUGAAACAACAAUUAACAGAAUAUUGGAUUAAUUUGAUAAGAAUCAUCCAAUGAUUAACGUAAAGCCUAAUGCGAAACUCCUCGAUUGGCUUGGCGGCUCACUUGCAUUUUGACUUUAGUGGCAAAAAGUUUUGCCAAAUUGGGUCAUUUUUCCACAUGAUUAGGCUUUGGAAGGUGGGGUUUGGUCACGGAAAUACAAGCAACCUCCUCCUUUAGUCCGGUUUAUCCACAACUUGGGGAUAUAAAAUUCAUUCCAAUAUUCCUGAUUUCCUUCGUAAAAAAAAUAAAUAAAUAAAAGAUAUAUUUGUUCCAAUAAAAAAUAAAUAUAAACGAACCUAAAAGGGAUGGUUCAGUGGCAAAGAAUAUUUGCGGGAUUGAUCAUUAUGAUUUAGCUUAUAGAUUCGAUCACCAACCAUUUUACCUCCGAGGCGAACGAAAAUUAAUCAGAUUUGUGGACAGUUAAAUGGACACGGGCCUAAUAUCUCGUGCAAGUAUCAAAUAAAAAUAAAGAUAAACUUGCUUUUACAUUUUCUACAUCUUAUCUGUUAAUAAAUUUUAUUAGUAAUUUAAUUUAAUUAGUUAUUAGUUUCCUAUUUAAAUUUAAAUUUUAUUCAAUGAACGAUAAAAAUAAAAAAUAUUAAAAGAAAAUAAAAAUCUUUAAUAGUGUGUAUAUAUAUAUUGUGUGUGUUAUACACACGUGUGUGUAUUUAUUUUUUUGUGUAUAUAUAAAAUAUUAUAGUAACCAGCAUUUUAUGUAUUCAAUUUUGAAUUUGUGCGGCCUCACAUAUGUUUAUUUAACUUUAUUUUAUUAUAAUUACUAUUGUUUAUUUUCAACAGAAAAUCAUUAUUUUCUAUAAAAAAAUAACUAUUAUAUUUUUACUGUUGAGUGAAAGUUAUAUUUAAUAUUAAUAUUAGAGUAUAUUAGGAAAAAGUAGGAGCAAAAUUUACAUUCACACAAUAUUAAUUAAUUUUUUUUAAUUUGCGUGAAAAUUGAAAUCAGUCUACACUCGUGGGACAAAGAGAGUAUAAAAAGAAAAAAUGAACGAUUUUGAAAACGUGGGCGGCAGGAUUCGAACCUGCGCGGGCAGAGCCCACAUGAUUUCUAGUCAUGCCCGAUAACCACUCCGGCACGCCCACUUUGCCUGUUUGCUCUAUUUUUUUUCCAUUUUCACCGUUUGCGAACCAUUUUCCCCUUCUUCAACCUACUGAUGCCCUCAUAUGAAUAUUGAGAUUUUUCUAUGUUAUAUAAUUUAAAAUUUUUUCCAAGUAAACCUUUAUUGAAAUAAUGAUGUGAGAAAAAUUGAAAAUUAUGGAAUGUGAAUGAAGAAAAACAGAAGUGAUUCAAACAUAAAAAAGUGAAUAUAUAGAUACAUAAAAUUAAAUUAAUAUUUUAUGGUAUUACAAUCGUAGUUAAAAGUUUAAAUAUAGAAAACUUGAAAGUGUUAUUAAUUAGGUAUAAAUAUAUAAUAAAUUUUAUUUCUACUCCGCAACUAAAAAAAUCCUGUUAUAAUAUAAUUAUUUAGUUUUGUGUGAUGCACUGUAGGUAUAGCUAAAUUAGCACAAGUAGUAUCACUUAAUAUAAGCAUAUUCUUCAAGCUUUAAGCUGGUGAAAUAGCACAUAUUUAAAAAGAUUAACUUUGACAAAUUCGCAGGCUCAAAUAAAUCAUAAAUCAAAACCAACAUUUCAAUUUGACUUAAAAGAAAGAAUAAAACUCAUAUGUGGAGUAGUUAUUUAUGAAUCCAAAAAAUAUCUAUUUUGAAUUAUAUUGCAUCAAGUUUGAUCAACUGAAAGAGUCCCCAUAGUCCACCAUUCAGCUCCAUCCUCCGAGGGGAAAAUUACAAGGAAAUAUCACAGCUUUACGAAAUUCAAAUCCAUGGCAAUGUGGUAUGUGUUCUUGCAUAGAAAAGCCAACUCUCACUUUAAGCGGUUGAGAAAUGAGCAUGCCCUUCAAGAAAGGAAUGAAUUUGGAUUGAGGAGAAUGGUGGCAUCAAAUUAGUAUUACACAUGAAACAAUUAUGUAAUGCAACCAGACACAUGCACAAACAUAUAGAGAAAACAGAAGCAGCAGACUUGACUUCAAACCAACUAAAGUAAUGAGUUUGAGUACAUAAACAGCAUUAGUUUAGUAGAACACGCAGAGAAAGACCUUAGCAAUCAGGAACAAAUUACUUAUUUCAUGCCAAGUUCUGGGUUUGUUGGGAACUCCUAAUUUACAAUGUCUCUAUUGCCUCUAAACAAGCCAAUGAACAUCUCCAAAGAAGCAUGAACAAAGUGUGAUACGAAGGAAAAUAUCUAAAUAUAGAUAGUACCUCAUGCACACCUUAGUGAAUGCCAAAUAUCUCUUCCGGAGGAUCAUAGAAAUGUUUUUCAGGGAACAGCUCUUCAUAAUCUUGCUUCACUCUGUUUCUCAAAAGUGGAUGUGGUAGAAGCCCCUUUAACAAAAUCCUAAACGGUAAUUCAUCCGGUGGAUCUGGUGACUUCUUCAUGUCCUCAUAUAUAUUCAUGGCAUCAGCAGGAGACCCAUCCCUCAAGAAUCCUCUGAUGAUUUCUGUGUACAUUUGAGAAUCUGGGAACAAAUUCUCAUUUCUCAUCACUUCCCAUAGCUUCAUUGCUUCAUCCAUUUUCCCGCCUCUUGUUAAUGCAAUGAUCAAAUCCUUAUAGAGAUAGACAUCAGGCUGAUACCAGUCUUGCUUUUGAAUCACUUGAAAAAUCUGAAAAUAAAUUUCAAUGAUUGGACCAUCAGAAUUUCUUUAUUCUAUAUCUUUUUACUUCCAAAAUGCUUUGUUUUGCUCUAUGAGAUGGGUCUAUUAUUUAGAUUUCUUUCUUGUUUUGUUACUGAAUUUAGUGAAUUUACGUACACAUAAAAAUUUUUGCAGAUAAAAAAGUUUUGUUUUCUAAUUCUUCCGUUUAUUUUGGUUCAUCAACGUUAUGGAGACAAGGAAAUAAAUUGAAGUCAUACUCAUAGUUAUUACAUGAUACUGCAAGGUUAAAGUAGUGAUGCAAUUCCAUAGGAAUAAGCUUAAAUAAGGCCUAACUCAUGAAGACUCUUUUCACUACACAGUAUAAGUUUUCCUAAUAAUGUUAAGUUAAUUAUCCAGAUAAUAGAGCAAUGACCAAGAGCCAAUAUUUCAUUGAAGCAUUCUAUCAAACAACUUAGAAGCAGAAGAGUAUAAACCCAAGCUGCCUCCACACCUUCAUUGAACUAAAAAAUAACAACACUAAAUCAAGAACAAUAAAUAUCAAAUGAGAAAUUUUAAGUACAAAACAAAUGGGAUUUUUAAAAAAAAAUUAAAGAAAGAAAAGGAACAGUGAAGAACGAAAAAAGAAAGAAACUUUAGCAAUAAAAGAACAAACCCACAAAAUCAAGAAAGAGAACAAAUAAACUAGCAGUCACCUUGGUAGCCAAAGAGACCUCUUCUUGGCGCUCAAGUUCAGUUAAUACAGCAAUCAUGUCCAUUUUCAACAGCCUCAAAACAUGGUUUUUUAUAAACCUUUGAAGCUUCUCUUCAUCAUCUUUAAACCUCUUUAAUCCUUGAAUUACAAAAAGCGCUUCUUUGCCUAUAAGCUUCUUGCCUCUCCAAAGGGGUCCUCUCGGCCUCCCAUCGUGGUAUUGCCUUAACCCACAAAAGUAACUGUAUGAUAAUAUAUUUGAAUCUGAAUAUGAAAUUUGGGGCUUCGAAGGUAAUGAGAUUGGUAUUGUUGGUUUAACCGUUUGGUUUUGAAGGAAUACUGCACUGAGUUUUGCUAUUUUUGAUCUUGAAAACGCGCGAACAGCCAUUACAAGUCUAUUUAGUAGAAUUGGGCUACAAGUCAUACAAAGGUUUUGGCAGAGGAGCAAUAGGGAGCAGAACAAUGACUAUUUAUUUACUCUAAUAUCUCAGAAAAUCUUCAAAAUAAAUUAGAAAUACAUAAUUUAAUACAAGUACAAAUUAGGAGAAAAAUGUAAUUUUUGAAUAAUAUAACAUAUGGCAUGAACAAUAAGUUGGUUACAAAACAGUCCUCGUGACUUUAGUAAAUUCACAAUUUUUUACGCGCUUUCUAUACAUUAUUCAUGCAAAUGUUGAUAUUGGGAAGAACCAAACAUUAAUUAGAAGAUGAGAUUGCAUAAAUUAUCAAUAAUUUAGAAUAAGUAUAUUUAUUUAUUUAUUUGUCAAGUCAUCUUUGAAAUUCUGCCAUAUUUAUAUAUUUUUAAAUUAUAUAAAUAUAUUUUGAGUAUUAAUUUAUAGGCCCGUGCCCUAAGUUUUAAAAUACACAGUUUUUAUUUUUAAUAUUUGUAUGAACUGGAACAUAAGUAGGCCAAUAUUUGGACUGGACCAAAAAACUAAAACCCCACAAAUGUAAGUAUGUGUAGGGAUCGUAAGGGGCAUUCCGAGAAUUGAACUCGGGACCUCUCGCACCCUAAGCGAGAAUCAUACCACUAGACCAAAUGCCCAUCACUUGCUUAUCAACCCGAAAACUUGGAUAAUAAAUGGUCAAAUAUUUGUAGUCAUUUAGAGGUUUCAGAAGGGUGUCUCUGUAUCUGUAUGAACUUAUAUUAUUCAGUAAAGAAAGCUGCAUAUAUUAGAAAGAAGCAUGAUGAUGGGUUACUUGGACAGAAUUGUAUACUCUUGAUCCAGAGAAUGGAUAUGAUCGAAAAACACCUUUGGCAUAUUCAAAGGAAGGAGACAAAGUUCUGUUGGUUAAGAAUCGUACGAGAAUUACAUGGUUUGACCUUAAAGGGUAAACAUAUGAACAUCUUGCAAUUCCCAACCUUCCUUCGCACUACAUUCAGUUGUUUCUUGGGAAAGCUUUGUCACUUGGUGAUGACAGUGAGUUUGACGGAAAUGUCAAGUUGGGAGAACUUCUUAGUGAUUGGGAAUACAACUGACAACCUUCUGAUGACUAUAGGACCAACCAAUAAUAGUUAAAUAACUAUAGGACCCAUUUUAAAAAAAUAAAUGCUAACAAAUAUAUUUUAGUUUGUCAUUCCAUAUAUAUUUUAAUUCUUGCACCAAAGGAACUGUCUUUAAAUUCCUCCAUCUUUCUUUUUCUUGAUUCAAGCUUAAUUUUCAACUAAAAACCAUAUCAAGAUCAGAUUCACUGUCAUCACCAAGCGAAACAAGACUUUCCCAACAAACUUGUAGUUCUUUCACCGACGCCAUUCCAAGAAUCUCAGCAGUUUCUCCUCUUUUCUCAUGGAGGUCAUACCAAAAUAUAUUCCUAUCAUCAACAUUCAAUAGAACGUUUUCUCUAUUCUCCGAAUAUGCUGCAGGUUUAAGUUUAACAUAUGCAAAACGCUCAGGAAACUUCUCUCGGUUAACUUUGUGUAGAAUUUGCUCCAAAUAAACUCGUUUCCUUUCUUCUUUCUAAGAUAAACCUCACCCUUCUUUCUACGAUUAUUGAACAAUCCCACACAGAGACACCCAUCUACAACGUUCAAACUCAGCUGGGGUUUUUUGGUUCUACUGUCAGGCCGCUUUACAACGGAGAAUUCCUCAUCUGCCAGAUCGAAACUAACAAUUGCUCCUGGUCUAUCCAUUCCUCUAGCAGAAAGUAAUAAACAGUGCAAAGCACCGUUAGCCAAGUAUCCAGGAGAAAAGUUAAACACAUAUCCAGUGUAACAGAAAUCCGGAAGCCUUCUCCAGCUAUUGGUUCUCAAGGAAAAAAUCCAAACUUCAUAGAUAAGCCCAAAAAGUACUGGUUGAGAAAACGUCACAACUUUAUAGUCAUCAGCAGAAGAUUCAUCUCCCAAUCCCCCUCCGUGCAUAGGAUAUGGAGGGUAAUUAGUAUUAGCUCUGAAAAUAGGAAGUAUGUUGCAGCCCCUAGUGAAAGGAUUCCACAGAGCAAGUCUUUCUUUAUCCUUCGUGAACAAGAGAAGUAAACCAUUACAAGAACCAUAGAUUGUUGUUAGACUAUUUCUUAAUAGGAUGUGGAUCUUUUUCGCUUCAUACAGUCCAUCCUCAAAAUCUGCUGUGUAAAUAGGAUCGGAUCAAGAUCUGCUAUGCAAAUAUGGGACGGUGGAAGGUGAGAACUCUUUGCUUGAGAAUUAGCUUAAGGUGAGUUCUGGUUUCCAUGGAUCUUUUAAUUAAGAUGUGCCUUUUUGAAAUUAGGACUAUCGAUGAGAUUGCAGAAUUGUUUCGAAACGCAUCUUAAAUGCCAAAGAGGUUUUACUGGAAGAAACAACAGGAUUUCUGUAAUUAAAUCUGAAUGUAAGUUCGCCAUUGUUUGUUGGGAAAUUUUUUUUUUCUUUUUUUGAAGAGUUUCUAAGGAAAAUUCUUGGCUGCCCCCUUAGGUUUUGGGAAUAUAUAUAAUAUAUAUAGUUGACGAAAUCCAAUUCCGAAUUAUAUAGUUUUGGCAGAAAAAUAUUUUUUUCCUGUUUUAAUAUAUUAUCUAAUUAUAAUUUACUGUUGUGAUAUGUGAUUUAAAAUUCUUUUACUGUAAGCUUGUAAUAAAAAAAUUAUAUUAUAAUUUUAAAAUAUAUUUAAUAAUGAAAUUAAUAUAAUUACAUCAUAAAAUACAAUAAUUAAUAUAAGGAAUUUGUAAACGACUUAAUUCACGCGCCUAUUAAACGAACCAAGCCUGCCUACUUCCAUAUGCGGAAAAGAAAGUGUACACAUGUGUUUAAGUUAGGGUCUAAAAGGGUUAAUUUGAUUUUGGAACCAAAAUAAAAAUCAAAAUUAUAAAAGAUUAAACAUAAAGCUGAAAUAUUAAAAAAUCGAAUGACUAACCUAUGGGUUCUCAAUUGAUAAUAUAGGAAAAGCUUUUAAGUUCGAUAAGCACUACAUCUGUAAAGAGAGGCGAAAAACCUUAACUGUGAUUAAAUCUGAACUGAAGUUAAUCGAUUCCUGAUAAUAGGGUUCGAACACCAAUAAUUAAAAAAAAAAAAAAAAGAAUAACUGAACUAAAAGCAAAAAAAAAAAAUUCAGUUUAGUUCAGUUUUCAAUUUUCUCCGGAGUUUGCUGACUCCUAGUUUGAGUGGAAGAACCGAAGGUAUUUUAGAUAUAAAAAUAUCAAUUCGGCGGCCACAAGUUAUAGCAAUACACAUCCAAAUAGGAUUUCACUUAGCCAAGGCUUAUUAAGUAGCUUUUCUUUCCUUAAUUUUAGGUUUAACUUUAUUCGAAUAAAUUAAUUGACUGCUUCUGGCCGGACGGUAAAUACAGAGAGCACGACGAAACGACGAUGUCGCUUCCUCCAGAAAUAAUCGUUGAUAUUUUCUUGAAGCUUCCAGUAAAGCCUCUGCUACGUUUUAGAUGCCUUUCAAAAUCAAUGUGCAGUACAAUAGAUGAUUCAGAUUUCAUCAAGGCUCAUCUCAAUAGGUCAAUUGAAACUAACACCCACAAGAAGCUGAUUCUUUUUGGCCAUACAAAAACUUCCACAGUGAUAUCAGGGAUUUACGCGGUGGAUUUGUCCGACGGACUCAAAGAAUCAGUUAAGCUCGACAACUCACUCAAUCAUGGACGGUUCAGCGUCAUAGAUUGCUGCAGCGGUUUGUUUCUCUUACUUGAACCCAGAAUAAUCAACUCAUUGAACACAGUGAAACUUGUGCUCUGGAAUCCGUUUACUAAACGGUACAAAAGAUUAACAGAUCCCCCAGUUGAAUCUUCUAGUAUGUUUAAGCCACUUCAACAGUACAGUUACAGAUACUUCGAUAGUUUCGGGCUGGGGUAUGAUGCUGCCAGGAAUGACCAUAAGGUUGUGAGGAUUCUUUAUGAAAAACCGAAAGAAGUUUGGAUUUAUAGUUUGAGAUCUGAUUCUUGGAGAAAAGUUGAAGAUUGGUGUCAGAUUGCGUUAGGUGUAAUGGGUAUGUUUGUUAAUGGUGUUAUGUAUUUUGAAGGUGAAAAUCUUGAAAACAUUGUUUCUUUUGAUUUUGCAACAGAGAAGUUUUCCAUAAUGCCAUUCCCUGAAGGUUACGAAAAAAGUUGUAGUCAUUUACGUGUUUUAGAAGGGCGACUCUGUUUGUGUACGCUUGGACGCCAUAGAACACUUGACAUCUAUGUUGGUGAUAAGCAUGAAGAUGGGCUAACUUGGAGCAAAUUGAUUAAGAUUCCAGAUUAUCAGACUCAUACUGAUCAUAUUCGAAAUUUGAGACCUUUGUGCUAUUCCAGGGAAGGAGAUAAGAUUUUGCUUAUUGAGGAAAGAGAUGAUUUUGUUUGGUAUGACCUCAACAAGAAAACAACUGAAAGCAUCCAAACAGUAUGUGAUAUCAAAAAACACUAUCGUUUGAAAUUUUUCAAUCUAUCAAACAACACUACUUGUUGGGAGAGUCUUGUUUCCCUUGGGUGAUGAUAAUAUUGACCAGAGCUCCAUUAGUUCCUGCAGAUUGGCUUGGAAUUUUCUGAUUUUUGGGUUUAUGUUUCAGUCUCUGCUGCUCCUCUUUUUUGGGUUGUUAUGGUUAGAUUAGGCAGUCUGUUUUCUGUAAUCUCAUUCUUCUGUUCUUUUCUGCAUUUUUUGUUCUAUGUAUAGCCUUGGUUCUUACCGGAAAAAACAUACAUAUUGGUGAGUUCAAAGGAGGUCAUUAUAGGCACCUUGAACCACCCUUAUAUUUAUAUAUACAAAACUAUGAUAAUGAAAUGAAGUACAAUACACCAAUUACUUGUUGUAUCCCAACAUAGUUUAAAAUUUUUACACAAAAAUUAAGAAAAUAAUUAAUUCUUUUAUAUUAUAAAAAAAUCAAAAGUAAUUUAAAUAAAUUAUCUUUGAGGUCGCUUCAUUGUUAUACAUGUAAUAAAUAAGGAUAAAAUUGAAAAAAUAUCAUUUACUAUUUCUUAAAAUAUUCAAAAAAGCUUUUAUAUUUUAGAACUAUUUAAAAAUUUUCGUUAUAACUUAAAGUUACUUUCUUAAUAUACUACUUACAUUUGGAAUUUCACGUUCCUUAAGAAAACUAUUAAAUUUAUCUAAAUUACAAUAAAUUAUUGAGUAAAUUCACUAUAUUAUCCUUAAUUUAAUACUAAUUCUCUAAGAAAACCAUUAAAUUUAAGUAAUAAUUAUUGGUCAUAUACAAAGGGUAAACAUAGAAAAAAAAAGAUUUAUUACUUCUUAAGACCAUAAAUGUGACAAGUAUUUUCGAACAAAUUAUUUUCUCAAAUGUGAUAAAUAUUUUAGAAUGGAGGUAGUAUAUAUACAUAUAAAAGGUGUUCAAUUUCAAUUAUUAAUCAAUUCAAUUAAAGAAUAAGGAAUAAAAUUUUCCUAAUAUUAAAAAAAUAAUAAAAAAGGGUAAGAAGUUAUGUUAAAUAGGGUGAAUAAAUUAUCCUAUGAGGCUUCAUACAUUCAUAUACUGAUUUUUUUUUACCAGCAAAUUAAUUUAUUUUAUUAAUAUAAAUCAGGAAAAACUUAAUAUUUUUAGGUAACUAAAUCCGAACCAUCCGGCUUCCUUGUAACCCAAAUCUAAUUUAAUAAUUUAAGUAAAAAAAUCCGAAAACUAAAAAUAUUCUUAUACUUAUCUAAUUAUUUUAUAAGAUUUUUUAUAUUAGGAAUUUUCAAAGAUUGGUCUCGUCUUUUUAGACCAAAGGUUCCUGUUUAGCGGUGUAUUGUUUUUCUUUUUUAGUUGUUGCAUGACAUUUAUUGUUCCUAAUAUUAAACUCCAAUUGAAUGUCUAAUUAAAUUGUAUUCAAUAUAAUAGCAAAAAAAUAUAAAACUGUAUUUUAAAAUACCAAAAUAUAUUUGUUCAAUUUUUUUAUUUAUUUUAAUAAAAAUUCUUAAACAAUUCAUAUUCAAUUAAUAGUCUAUUCAAUUGAGGAAUUCUUUUUAAUUUUUUCAACCAAUAAAAUUAAAAUUUUUAAAAAUAUUUUUUAUCUAUUUCAAUACUUCCUCUCCUUAUUUUCUACUUGUAUAGGAGACAAUAGAUAGAUUAUUAUGAUAAAUAUUCCAAAAAAGGUAAAAUAUUAUUUCUACUUCUGGCAGAAACAUUUAUAAAUAAUAUAAUUAUAUAUCUUUUUUCUCUCUGGUUCAUCAAACUCUAAUUUUAAUUGGAGUUGUCGCUAUUAAUUAACAGUAGUCUCUACUUUUUACUUUUUCUUUUGCUUAUUCUUUUAUUCCCUUUUAAUAAACACAUAUCUAUUUUUCAUUAGAUCUAUUUUUCUUUGUUAUUUUGUUAUUAUUGUUUUGUCUAUAUAUUUGGAGUUUUUUUUAUCACUUCUUUCAUGAUGGUUUGAUCCCUUCUCUGUGAGUGUUUAGUACUAAAUAAAAAGUUUAAUAUUUGAUUUUAUUUAGUUGGUUUAUUUAGAUCUUUGGUUUGUUGAUGUGUAUCUUCGAUCAAUUGAGUCUUACAGUGCGGUUUGUUCUUCCUCUGCUACUGCUAUUGAUGUAUAUAGUGGCGGGAACUCAUCCAUAUCUAAUAAAUUUUUUGGAAAAGAAUCCAAGUAUUGAAAAUCCAAAGAAGUUUUUUGUCAUUUAAAUUAAUUAAAUGACCAGUUGCUACUAAUUAUCUUCAAGUGAAAAAAUAUAAUAUUGUCUCUUUUAAUUUUAUUUUUAUUAUUUAAAAUAAUAUAGAUAAUUCCUUUGAUUUGUUAAAAAAUCAACAAACUCUCUAUUAAUUAUGGUUGUAAUAAGAAUCAAUUUGUUAAUUUUCUUGCAAGGAAAGGAGUUGAGGCGUAAGAUGUUUUCUUAGCUUAGAUUUAAAUUUUCGUUUGGAUUUCUUUUUAUUUAUGUAUUAUCUUUUCCUAACUCAGGAAAAUAAGUAAUUCUUGUUUAGUCUAUUUUGAUCUAUUUUAGUUUUCAAGUUUUUCACUUAACAUUUUCGAGUUAGGUUUAGGUAUAAAGAGAAGUCUGAUGGUUCGGAUUUAGUUGCCUGAAAAUGUUAAAUUUUUCUUGGACAAUAUAAUUUAACAAAAAUUAUUUUUACUGAUAAAAAAAGUAUUUGUAAUACUUCAUAUUAACAUUGAUGAAUUAUAUUUUUCAAAAAAAAAUAUAUAUAAAUGAUUUAUUAUGCCAUAUACUUCAAAUUGUCAAAUUGAAUCAGUAAUCAAAUAAAUUUCAAUUAUUUUAGCAUUUUCAAAAUUAUUUGAUUUAUCUAUUAAUUCAUCAAUUUUCAAUAAACUUAAUACUUUAUACUUCCACUUUAAACCUAAGAAAAUAUUCAAUUGAUCUAAAAUAGUAUAUCAUAAGCUCUAAUAAGCCCCUAAAAACUCAAAAAUCAAAGCACUAAACUUUAAAAUCUUUAGAUAUAAACUCUAAAACCUUAAAACUCUAAGGCUUAAAUUCUAAUUUUAUUAUUUUAAGGGGGGCCCGUAAGAUAUAUUUUUCCAAAUCUCAUAUAUAUAUAUAUAUUCACAUCCAAAUACAAUUUCACUUAAAUUGCAACUUUUUUUUUUCUUAAACCUUUUUUAUUUUGAUUUUAGGUUUAGCUUAUUCGAAUCAACAACACACACAGCACAGAGAAACGAGAUGUCGCUUCUUCCAGAAAUAAUCUUUGACAUCUUUUUGCGGCUGCCGGUAAAGCCUCUGCUACGUUUUAGAAGCCUUUCAAAAUUAACGUGCUCUUUCAAAAUUAACGUGCUCUACAAUCGAUGAUUCAGAUUUCAUCAAGGCUCAUCUUAACAGGUCAAUUGAAACCAACAGCCACAAAAAGCUGGUUCUCGAUGGCCAUGCACCAACUUUCCCUCAGCUUUACGCCUUGGAUUUCGACGACGGGCUCAAACAACCAGUUGAGCUCGAUGAUCCACUCAAACAUAGUCAUGGAUGGUUCGGCUACCAUAUCUCAGGUUCCUGCAGCGGUUUGCUUCUAUUACUUGGCGAGAACACAUUAAAGACAGUGAAACUUGGGUUAUGGAAUCCGUUUACUAAACGGUACAAAAUAUUAACAGAUCCCGCAGUUAGUAUUAUUUGGUCUUCCAAUUACAGAAGGUGCGAUAGUUUUGGGCUUGGGUACGAUGAUACCAGCAAUGACUAUAGGGUUGUGAGGAUUCUACAAGAGAUGCAGAGAGAAGUUUGGAUUUAUAGUUUGAGAUCUAAUUCUUGGAGAAAACUUGAUGUUUGGUGCGAGCUCUCCCAAGGUGAUAUGGGGGUCUUUGUUAAUGGUGUUCUUUAUUUUCAUGGGAAAAAUUUGGAGACCAUUGUUGCUUUUGAUAUUGCAACAGAGACGUUCUGCACAAUCCCAUUACCUGAAUGCUACAUACCUCAAGGUUUCCGACAUACAAGAGGUUUAUGUGUUUUAGAAGGGAAAUUAUGUUGUUGUUAAUAUGGAGAAAAUGGAGUUGAUAUCUAUGUUGGUGAUCAGCAUGAAGAUGGGCUAACUUGGAGCAAACUCACUAUGAUUACAUAUAAAUAUAAUUUUCUAGUGACACCUGUUUUCUAUUCUGGGGAAGGAGAUAAGAUUUUAUAUAUUGAGGAAAAUAAUGAGGUUGUUUGGUAUGACUUCAACAGGGAAACACAUGAAAGAUUCCAAACAGUACCAAGUUAUAUCUUUUGAUCAUUCAAGUACUAUUUGUUGGGAAAGUCUUGUUUCCCUUGGUGAUGAUGCCAUUCCUGUUGAUUAGUUUGCAUUUUAUGAUUUCCCAAUUCGUAUUUAGUCUGCUCAUCUUCAUUUUUGGGUUGUGAUAGGUUAACAUUUUCAGGAAUCUAUCUCAAUACACCAAAUUUUGUGAAAGAACCGUACUGUACUCAUCUAGAAUUUUGAAUAUUUGAUUUAUUGGUCAUCAUCUAGAAUUUUGAAUGUUUGAUUAACUAGUCUUUUUUUUUUUUUUACUAACAAUAGUUCUAGGGCAAAGGGGAAAUGAAUGCACAUAGUCCUUAUAUGAUAAUUUAAGAAAUCAUAAGAGUCAAAUUUAAGUACUCUUGUAAAAGAGACAAACAACAUGUACAUUUUUUAAAUGGCCAUUUAAAAUAUUUUAAAUCAUACUAAAAUUUUUUUAAUAUCUUUAAAAAUUAAAAAUUUUUAAUAUUUUUUUAUCUCUCUCAUAAUUAAAACCUUUUAAAUUACAAUCAAACAUUAUAUUUUUUUUUCUAUUGGUCAUGACUAAUGAUAUUCUAAAAUAUCUCAAAUUUUACUAAAAAUAUUUUAAAAACAGAGAACCAUAUUUGAUUGACCGAAGUAAAAGAUAUCUACCACUCCAAAUAUAAGUGAGAAUCGGACCACAUCUGAUUGACAAUAAUUAACUUACUUGUUUUGGACGUAUAUAUAUUCACAUCCAAAUUAGGUUUUCACAUUACUCUCAACCAUAAGUGUUUUAAUCAAUUUGGUGAAUUCAGGGGAUAGCUACCCCUAUCGUGUAGCUCAUAGUGUUAUCUUGGCCCAUCGGGCCUCCCAAUCAAUAAAAAAAAAGGAUUUCACUUAAACUUUAUUUAUUUCCAUAAAAUAACUUGCAGUGAAAUAUUUUCCAUAAUUUCCAUAAUUUAGGUUGUUCAGAAAAAUAAGUCAAGAGAAAAUAUUUUGUUGGUCAAAAGAAAAUUAAGUCAUUUUAAGGAAAAUGACUUCCCAUUUUCGAUAGAAUAAAAUAUUUUCCAGAUAUUGACAGACUUAUUAUAACUUUAUUAAUCCUUUUUUUUUUAAAUUUAUUAAUCAUCGGUCACCACUAUCACCACUCACCAUUUAUCAUCAGCCACCACCAUAGGUUACCGUCGACUUUCAUAAUUUACCCUUUUUUUUUUUUUGCAUUCUUCACAUUUUUAAUAAUAAAAUUUUUAAGAUACAAAAUUUUUAUUAUUAAUAAUAUUUUUAUAGUCUCAUGAGAAUAAAAUUUUAAUAAUUUUAAUUAAUUUUUUAUAUUGCAACCAAACAAUAAAAAAUAAAUCAUUUAAAAAAUAUUUUCAAACAAAACAUUUUUCAAAUGAGAAACAAACGAUUUUUUUUUUUUUUGUUGUUGUAAAAAGCCAUCCCGACGAAUCCGGAUUCAUGUCGAAAUAGGAUUUCACACAACCAAGACCUUAAAAAAAAAAAAAAAAAAAAAAAAAAAAAAAAAAAAAAAAAAAAAAAAACCAUCCAUCUUGUAUUUGAAACUCACUAGGAGUCAUAUCCAAAUAGGAUUUCACUCAUUAGAUUGCCUUUUUGUUAUUUUCAAGAAUUAGAAAAAAAAAAAAAAAAACUUUGUCAUUUUGAUUUUAGGUUUAGGUUUAGCUUUAAUUCGAAUCAACAACUCACUUCUUUUGGCUGGAAGGCGAACACAGAGCACAGGGAAAGGAAGAUGUCGCUUCUUCCGGAAAUAAUCUUUGAUAUCUUAUUGCGGCUGCCGGUAAAACCUCUGCUACGUUUUAGAUGCCUUUCAAAAGUAAUGUUCUGUACAAUCGAUGAUUCAGAUUUCAUCAAGGCUCAUCUUAACAGGUCAAUUGAAACCAACACCCACAAGAAGCUGAUUCUUGUUUCCCGUAGACAAACUUUCCCUGUACUUUGCACCUUGGAUUUCGACGACGGAAUGAAAGAACGAGUUAAGCUCGAUGACCCACUUAACCAUAGCCAUAGAUGGUGGGCCUACCGCGUCUUAGGUUGCUGCAACGGUUUGAUUCUAUUAUACGUAGACAUCAUAAAGAAACUUAUCUUAUGGAAUCCGUUUACUAAACGGCACAAAAUAUUAAAAGCUCACGCAAAUGAAUCACUUAGACGCUACGAUGGUUUUGGGCUCGGGUACGACGCUGCCAGCAAUGACUACAGGAUUGUGGUGGUUCCAUAUAAAAUGCCAAAAGAAGUUUGGAUUUAUAGUUUGAGAUGUAAUUCUUGGAAAAAAGUUGAUGGUAUAUGGUUCGAGCUCCACCUAUGUGAUUUGGGGAUGUUUGUUAAUGGUGUUCUGUAUUUUGGUGGGAAAUAUUUGGACAAGAUAGUUGCUUUUGAUAUUACAACAGAGACUUUCUGCACAUACCCAUUACCUCAAACUUCCAGAUUUUCAAACAAUUUGUGUGUUUUAGAGGGGAAACUAUGUUUUUAUACGUGUACAAGAAAUGGAACAAUUGAAAUUUAUGUUGGUGAUAAGCAAGAAGAUGGGCUAACUUGGAGCAAAUUGACAACAAUUAGAAGUAAUAGUAUAUUAUGUGAAACACCUUUGUUCUAUUCCAGGGAGGGGAAUAAGGUUUUGGUUUUUGAGGAAGAUAAUAACGUUGUUUGGUGUGACCUCAACGAGAAUGGAAUUGAACGGGUCAAGACAGUAAAUGAUAUCAAAAAACACUACCAAGUGAUAUGUUUUAAUUAUUCAAGUACAACUUGUUGGGAAAGUCUUGUUUCCCUUGGCCAUGAUAGUAGAAAUUAAUUAAUUCUUGUUCAUGUUUAGUCUCUAUUGCUCUUCUUCAUUUUUGGGAUGUGAUGAUUAGAAGAGUAGGUAAAAUGUUAUGUUCGUCUGUUCUUUUCUGCCUUUUAUUGUGUUUUCAGCCCUUUUUUUUUUUUAUUAGCAAAAUUAUUAUUAUUAUUAUUAUUAUUAGUCUUUCUUCUUCGCAGAACUUUUUCCAUCUCCUCUCGUUUUUUCUGCAAAUCACUCUCAAGUUGACUCUUCUGAAGCUCAAACUCAUGCAGCAUUUCCUUUGUCUUACUUUGAGAUUUCUCAGCUAUUGCAGACUGUUCGUGUUCCAUGUUUGCCUCAAAAGAUUCUUUUGGCCAUUUCAAGAUCUUCCAGCUCCCUUUUUAUAGUGUCUUCCACUGCCUGUUUUUCAUUUUUUAUUUUUCUUCUUCUGAAAAUAAAUCAAUUUACAUGGUUUUGUUAUGCAAAUUUAUUGUUGUACAAAUAAAAUUAAUUAUGCAACACAAAAUUACAUAUAAUAAAAACAUGGUUAGACAUGUAUAUCUAUUUUACUAAACGGAAAAUAGCAAUCCCUUAUUUUAGUUAUUUUCUUUCCUCCAUGGCCUAAAACUCAGGCUUCUUCCAAAUUUAUUUAGUCAAGCAGAGAUAAUGGGGCUUUAAGAACACAUGCAAUCCAAUAUCAAUUUGCUUAACGAUAUAUACUUAAUUUUAGUAAUAGGAAUAAACCUCUUCUAACAAGAGUACAUAAGCUAAUAAAACCUCUUCUAUGCUGCGGUAUAUUGUCAAAUGAAGGAUCUUUCCAAUUACAUGAACAGUCGCCUAUUGCAAAAACCUGGUGGAUUUAGAAAUCAAUUGGAAAGAGGAGAAAAUAAGUUCUGAGGCAGCUUUAGAGGAAGCAGCCCAACCCCUCCAAUUGCAAUCCAAAUUAAAGGAAGAGAUAAAAAAAAAAGUGCAGGCUUCAGGAAGAGCUGCUUUUGAAGGAGGUCGAAGAUUUGAAGCAACAAAACGAGAAUUUUGAAGAGAGAUAGACUGAUUGGAGAAAAUGAGUUUGUAGUUGUAUAAACAAUAAACGACAACAUUUAUGCUAGAGUGGACAAGAUUUUUCCAUGUUGGCAUAAAUUUAUAUACUUCAGGCUUCUACAUACGAUCGACCACAUGCUCUCAUUUAUCAGCCUGAAGAAGUACAUGAAUGAUGCAAACAAAUGAACCUCAAGUGCAUAAGUGGUUCUCCGCAAAGUUAAGGGUGCCGUAGGAAUUUUCUUUGAAAUCUAUGUAUUUGGGCUUUUUAGGAUAAUUUGUAUUUUUUUUUUUUUUUUUUUUUUUGUCUCAAGAGAAAGAGGGAUUUUUUUAUCGGAUUUGUAUAUUGUUUGGCCAGGUUUUAUUAACAUUUUCGGACUAGUUAUAAGUGUAUUGCGAAAGCCUAUUGGCUUGGAUAGAUUCUUGAAAAUAUUAAACUUUUAUUAGUUCUAGUACAGAUGUGAGCAAUAGAGCUGACUCUUAUAACCUCUGGAUGAAUUCAUUAAACUCCUUAUUUUGGUGUGUAUAAUUUAUGUAUGUGAUUGGCUUCAAAUUAUUUCGAGUUACGGAUCAAACUAAGGAGAAAAUUUUAGAGUUGGGUUAUAAUUUGCUGAUUGGCAAUGAAUAUGUAUUCUGCAAGUGCAUGGGUCGUAUAAGUAACAUAGUGAAAAAGAUUGUCGAAUCCACAGGGAUUGGGGUAUAGAUUACUAAUUUAACACGUGUGGUUCGACUAACAGGUAAAUCUUCCAAUCAUACAAAUUGAUCCAAAAUUACUUUUGAAUAAUUAUAGUUUGAUUAAUUUAGUAAUAAUUUAAUACAAAAUUAUAUUUAGAAAAAACAAAGUAAAAAUUAUAGUUUAAUUAUAUUGAUUAAGUUUUAUUAAUCUGUAUACAAGUCAAAUCAUGGCAAAAAUUAUGGGACAGCAGAAAGUAACAUUUAACUGUGCAAAUUUGUCUCACACGUACAUGUACACAUAUACAUAACUUUUUUUAAUUUUAUAUAUAUAUAUAUAUAUAUAUAUAUAUAUAAUAAAAAUAAGAUUUUUGCACUCUUUCCAGUACUGAUAUUUUUUUUUCUUUUUGGCGAGUUUUUGUUUUAACAUUUUCAGAUUAAUUAUAGGUGUAUUGGGGAAAUAUAUUACUUUGGGAUAGAUUCCCGAAAAUGUUAAACUUUUCUUGGUAUCUUUAAUUCUAAUGAUUUCCUUUUAGUUGCUGAUAAUACUAAGGCAAAUUUGGCUCUGUGGAAUUGCAAUUAUCUCUAGACUCUAGGGCUUAUUUAGCUCCAAGUUAUAAUCCCAAUCGGAGUCUUAAAAGAAAACCUAAAACCACCAGUUUUUAUAAUUCAUAUUAAUCAGUUUUGAUUUAGGAUUUGACUUCAUAAACCCUACUCUAUAUAUAUAUAUAUAUAUAUAAGAGAAUAACCUUCGAUUUGCAUACUUUUUUUUAUAACCAAACGGUUUAAUUCCUUGGAGCUGCAGAGCGUAAAGAUAUUUUGCCCUCUCAGCAAACUAAGCCACCUCACGAUUUGCAUAAUUUAUUACUAUUCUUUUAAGUUAUAAUAUAAUGGCAGAGAGAUCUGAACUUCCUUGCGGGUACCGUUUUGUUCCUACAGAUGAAGAACUUGUUAACUUUUAUCUUCGAAGAAAGGUGGAAAAACAACCACUACCUCGUGGCGUUGUAAGAACUCGCGACAUUUACAGUAAAAAUCCAUGGGAGAUCUUCGAUAAGAGUUGCAAUGGUUUCUUUUACGUGUUCACUACGUUGAGAAAGAAGCAGAAUAGCAGAACAAGAUUUGAUAGAACAGCUGGUUCAGGGACUUGGAAGAAUCGUUUUUCGAAAAGCUUUCCUGGUGAUGAUGGCAAAUCUUUUUGGUUCAAGAAAGAUUACGUUUUUGAACUCAAUAAAAAUCAAAGCUCUGCAGAUUCAUCUAUUGAUAAUGGACAUUGGAUUAUGCAAGAGUUUUCUCUCGAGGAUGAAGGGGUAAGUACACUUUUUUAUUAUUUUUUUUUAUUAGCAAUUUUAUAUUUUAUUAAUAAUAAUUUCAGGAAAAAAAAUUUAAUAAACCUUAGCAUCCUAAAUUGCACCUGAAUUAUUAGUUAAGCUGUAAUUUGAGCUAAAAUGUUGAUUUGCUGUAGAUGUUAGUUGUUAUAGUAGCUGUUAAUUAUUAAAUUUUAGCUGUUAGUAGUUAGUUAUUUAUAUAGCAGUUUAAAAUAAAAGUGUUACAAAAAAUGAUAAGAUCAUAGAGAACAAAGACAAGUGAUGCACAUAGGCUUAAUAAAAAAUUUAUAUAAAAUGCUAAAGGUGAAUGAGAAUAACAUGAAUUAGGAUAGAUGUGACGUUAUCGAACAUAAUAAUUAAUUAAAACAAUCAAAACACUAAACAUUACUCUUAUUGCAUAAUAGAGCCUUAAUACAUCCACGUUUAGACCAUCGUUAAUUUUACAGGUAAAGGUAAGUUAGGGCCGAACAGUUAGGCUUUGUUUGGCAAAAUUAGCUGUUUUUAUAGCUUUUAGCAGCAAUUUGAGUAGUUUUCUUAAAAUAUUAAAAAGCUAAUAUUACAUAUUUGAAAUUUUUAUAAAACGUUACCUUAACAUCUAAAAGUUAAUUCAAACACUAUGUUACAGAACACUAGCGUUUAACAUUUUGGUGGCAUGCUAUGUUACCGAACACUAACGUUAGCGUUUUGACCGCUAUUUAAAAAACUAUUCAGUAAUAUAGCGUUUGAACUAGCUUAUGGAGGUUAAGAUAACGUUCGUUUUGUGAAAAGUUAACUCAUAUAAUGUUUAGUUUUUAGCAUUUCAUGAAAAAAUACUGAAACAGUUAACAGUUAAACACUACAAAAACAGUUAAUUUUGUCAAAACAGACGCUUAGUCUAAAAAUGCGGUUUUAUUUUCAUUCAUCCAAUCGUCUGUCAAUUUUUAUUUUUCUCAUAGAUGCCAAUGUUUCACUCUUCUGUUGCAGUCAAAUAGUUAUGUCCUCUGUAAAAUUAGCAAUAAAAAUGCAAGAGAUUCACAAAAGGAGAAAAAAGAAAUCGUUGAGCCAAAAAGACACUCGAAUGAAAGAAAAUUUUCAAGUGAUGACAAGGAAGAUCAAAACCCUAAAAGGAUGCGAAUUAACAGCCAUUGCUUAUUCCCUCCAUCAGAUGGAAAUGUAAAGCCUCAAACAUCAAUACCAGAUGCUGAUUCACUUGAAGCAGUACUUGGAAAAUUUUGGGUUCCAAAAGAAGAUAGCAACAAAAUAUUUAACUCAUCCAUGUCAUUAUUUUGACCUAACUCUUAAUGCCUUGCCUAAUUUAUACUCCCUCGUCUCACAAUUUUUUAUUUGCAUACAGAUUACUAAAAAUUUAGUUAGUUUAGUUACCUUUGUAUACCUUAUUAAGAGGGGGCAAUUGCCCCCUCUCAUUUAAAAAAAUAAAUAAAUAUUUAGUUAUUCUAGGCUUUGCUUUUAGUUUUUGUUACUUCAUCUUAUUAAUAUAAAAAAAUAUAGUAAAUUUCAAAUGUUAUUCAAGGUGGUAAGCGAACUCAAUCCCGUAAAAGUUAGAACACAAGUUCGAUCCUUGGGAAGCGCACUUUGCUAGGAGGUCAAAAACUUUUACGCUCUACGAACCUAAAUGAUUAAACCUUUAUGGCCCGAGCGGAUUAUUGGAUUCUGUUUAUUCUGCUCUUGAAAAGGCAGGAGGGGCCAGUUUGAAUUGUUGUAUCAGAGAGUGGUUGGCCAUCUAAAGGAGACGAUGCAGGAACACUUGAUAAUGGAGGCACUUAUUAUAAGAACUCGAUUAAUUAUGUCAAGCAAGGGACCCCUAAGAAGUCAGGACAAGCUAUAAAGACUUACCUGUUCGGCCUGUUUGAUGAGAACCUGAAAGAAAGAAGCAGGAUUCCUACAAGUUGGUCUUUGAGAGGGUGAGGAAAAGAAAGAAACAGAGAGAGAGGGAGAAGUUAGCUAUAUGGCUUCUAAUUUUUCAUUUCUAGCAAAACCCUCAUAAAAAGGCCAGAACUAUGCACAAAAUGGGAUAUCUGAAAUCUUUAACUGAACUCUCUUACUGUAUUUCUGAAAUCUUAGCACAGAUCCAUCAGAAUAUACAACUUCAAGUAGAAGAACAUACUAACAACAAUUGAUCAGCUUAUAUUUGUGGCCUAAGGGGCUAAGACCUUCAUGGGUUAAAACCAAUUAUCAUAUUAAUCAAACCUUCUGCUAAUAGCAAAUAUAGAGGAGAAAGUAAGAACAAAAGUUGAAGAUCAAGGAGUUCAUUUAAACAAUAGAGUAAGCAGGUAAAACUAGGCUCCACAUAAAUGCUAGAAUGGCUAACAUGGUGAAGCCGAUGAAAAUUUCAGCUUACAAAUGCAACGAAGGAAAUUAUAGAGUUAAAGUUAAGAUAGAAAGAAGACCCAUAAAAAAACUCAAGGAUCUUUACCGGUCACCUUUAAAUUAAAAUCGGUUUUGGUUCCAAAUCAAACCAUGGCUAUGCCUAAUUAUACUAUGACAAUUGAUGAAAAAAAAAAUGUACUUGUAACAGUCAUUUUACGUUUUAAUAGCUACCACUACUGAAAAUUGUACUUUUAACAAUCAUUCAACAGCUAUCAGCUUAAUAAAAUAAGCCCUUAAGAGGAAAGCGCAUUGUUAUCCGUAGAAAUAUAAAAUUUAGGGCACCGCAUUGUAAUAUUAAUAAAUCUCUAAUGGAACAAUAUAGCAGUAAAUUAUUGUGCCUGAACAAAAUCUGAAGGGUUAGAUACUUGUACUUUUGAGACAGAAAAGGUUAAAGUCUUCCAUAAACCAUAUAUAACACAGGAUUUCAGAAACCUUCAAUUGGUCUCUCACAUUGAAACUAAUCAAGCCAAAAAAACAGGGGAAAAAAAUGAAUGAAAAACACAUCAGAUUAUAGCACAGUAUCCACAGAAUAUACAGCUCAAAGGAGACGAACACAUCACCAACGCUUGAACAGCUUCUGUAGUAGCAAAGUUACAUCAUUCAAUAGUCAUGUUCAAUUGGCUACAGAGUCUGAAAACUGUUUAAAGUUGAAUCAAUGACAUUACAAGUUGACAAAUAAACCACAUUGCAAUGUCACUCUGAAUUUCAAUCCAUGGUACAGGUGUAGAAGUCCUAUGAUCUAUGAGCCUUCUUGGGCAACAAUGUCAUGCUGUGACAUCCCUGUCAGUAAAAAUGAUUUUGUUACUUACAAAAAAAUUAAAACCAACAAUUUAAAGAGACUAAGGAAAGAAUAUAAGCAGUAGGCUUACAAUGUCAAGAUAGCUUAGUUACCCAAGAAGUAACUAAAGUAAUUCAGUUUAAGUAUGGAGAUAAUUAGCAGCCAUCAUCAGAUCCAGAGUCAGUUCAGGUUCAAUUGGGAAUUCAGUCUCCUUUCCACUGGCAGCAGAGUAGCAAUUAAAUGUCACCAAAGAGUAAAUAGCCGAAGAAUAUUAGGAAUUAUUAUUUCACAGCAUUUGCAGCAACUAUGUAAAUGGAAAAAUAUAUCUCAAAACAUUAGCAGGAAGAACUAGGCUCCACAUGAAUGCUAGGAUGGUCGACAUGGUAAAGAUGAUGAAAAUUUCAGCUUUCAAAUGCAAGGAAAAAAAUUUUAUAGUCAAAACUCCAUAAGAAAGGAAGAAGUCCCAUAAACAGAUUCAAGGAUCAAAGAAGCACAAUAAGCACAUGAAAAUCCCAAGCGUGCACACUGAAAAGUUAGCAAUUUGAGUGAAAAGACUAAAAAAGUAUUUGUGUUUAGGGCAUAUUUAAUUCCUCUAACAACCUUUCCAAGACAAAUGAGCUACACACAAAUAUUAAGUUAACCUCUAACUUUCUCAAUCCACAGAUCAUAGAGUGCUUGUCAGUACGGUUGCAAACCAUUUCAUAUUCACAAAAUAAACCUCAACAUACCCAUUUCAGAAUUCAAACUAAAUAAAUGACAGUUCAAUAUCUCCUAAUCAAACAAAAUAGCAAUGGAGCUUUGAGCAAAACAAUUUUAUCAAACAUUCCACCAAAAAACAAGAAUAGAAAAACCAUCAGAGAUGUAAUACAAUUACAAAACCAACCAAAUUGCCCCCCAACACCCCUUCAAAAAGAGUACUGUAUAAAGGCAGGCCUCACUAGCAUAAAGGAUAGAUCAACAAAACUAUAACUUAUGAAACAUAAAUCUGAAAUCAAGUUAACUAGCAUGGUAAAUUUCUCAAACCACAACAAACGUUAGCCAUGACCCAGCCAAAACAAAAGGGUAAGACAAGAUAUGGACCAAUCCCAAAAUGCUGAUGCAAAUGAACUUAAUUUGAACCGCAAACUAAUGUAGAACAAACACAAACAAAUAAACAAAUAAUACACAAAUAUAAAAGGAAAAGAACAGAACUUGGCAUAUUGAAGAGACCAAUAGAAAUAUUGGCAGAUCUUCUCCAGAAUUACAGUACUUAUCUCAGGAAAUGUCACUUCUCCAUGCUGUGUCUCUGCGAAACUCCCUGCCACAAUUUUAAAAAAUGACACUUUUAGAAACCCCAUCUCUAUCUCAAAACCCAAAUUAAACCCUAAUUUCAAUCUAAAAAGUACACUAUUUAAUUCCUAAUAUGAUUAGCAACAAUUAACAUAAAUGACAGCAAAAUUUAAUCCAAAUACAUUAAUAAUCCUUGAUUAAUUAGAGAAUAUCCUCGAUUAAUCCAAACACAAACAAAGGGAAAAGAAAACUGUCAAUCAAAAUAGAAACAACUCAAAAUUAAGACUGACCUGGAGAGGUAAGCAUGUUGCGUAUGGUUUGGGAAACCAUGGCGGCUUCCUUGUCAAUCACGAACUCGAAGCCCUCAGCGCUGAUUAGCUUAACUGUGUCUUCCUUCCUCAUCUUCUUCCUUUCACAGAGAUUUCUCCUUUCGACCCAAAUCAAUGGUGAUCCGGGAGACCGAAAUGGAAGAGAGUUUCGAUUCCUUUUCUAUUCUCUAUGAGGAUUUGGAUUUGUUUGCAUAGCGUCUUAAAAUUGCAUUUUAGAGUCGUGGGUCUUGCUUGGCUCGCGGGCUUUAGUGCUCCAAUCGCUGGAUUGGACUUGGUCUUUUUUUAAAUUAGUUUUUUUAAGAAAGUGCUGCUCAGUUAUAAAAUUAUUUCAAUUUUUGUAAAAGUGAAAAUAUAAAUUUAAUUACUUUAAAUAAAAAUUGAUUUCAAAAAAAUUAAAUUAUUAUUUGUUUAAAUAAUAAAAUUAGUUCAUCGGAAAAGUGCAAAAUUACAUUUUAAUUUUCACCACUAAUGACAUCUUUGCUUAAUUAAAAUUGCAAUAUAUUUGAAACGAGCAAAUGAUUCUUAGUCCAAUUUGUAAUACACUUGCAAUAUAUUUAUAGUACCUGAUUGCAAAAAAGAUAUAUUUAUAUACUUGAAAUGAAAAAAAAAAAAAAAUACUGAAGUUUUAUAGGUAAGGGAAUCAAAGAUAGGUGAUCCACCUUAAGUUACAUUAGAAUUGAAAUGAAUUAAAAUACAAGAGAUAACUCUUUUGUUUUUCAUUGCUCUAUCCCAAUUUGCCGAGAUGGAUCGGUUCGAUUCAGGUUUUGCAUAGUCCGUGGUUUUGCAUACCCCUAAAAGUAAGAGUCAAAAUAUCACUUUAUUAUUUAUAUUGUUUCGCGAUAUAGUAUUUGUUUUACUAUAUUAGGAAGGACAAAAUUAAAAAGAUAUAUUAAAAUGAGAGUUGCGACAGUACUAAGGUUCUAUUUUUAUGUCUCGAUAUUUUAAAAUAAGACUAAAAAUGAUCUAAUAUUGUCUCAUUAUGAUUCAUGCACACCCUUAAUAAUAAUAAUAAUAAUAAUAAUAAUAAUACAUCUAAAUUAUGGAUGGAAUCUUUAUAUUGCAACAUGAUUAAUGGAUAAAAUUAUGGAAUCAAUUCGCGAAAUUGUCUCAAUAAAAUAAUUUACCGAGCUGAACCGAGGUUAUUCGGUAAAAUGGUUCGGUGCAUUGAUAAAUGAUACACGGUCGAUAAGUUUUUUUAACAAAAUUCGAUAAAUGGUUCAACAAAGUAAUUAAAAGAAUUUCAGAAUUUUCGAUUUACCAAUUUAUUAAAAAUGGCAUCGUUAUAAUUAAAAAAAAAAAAAUUCAACCCUUAUAUAGUAAAUUUAUCAAUUCGGUCAGUCCGUUGUAAACAAUAAAAUUUCAUCAGUAAACAGUAAAUGGUAAAUUUGGUAAAUAUUUAAAUCAGUAAAUAUAAAUUCCAUCAACAGUUAACCAACUCAAUCUCCAUCCCUAGUUGGCAUCUUUCUGUUGUCCCUCAAACAGCACAAAGCAAGCCUGUGCUAGUGGCAGUGAUUCCAUUUGAUAAAUAAAAUGAGUGGCUCAUAACAACACUUACUAUUUUCCACUUAAAGUGUCUAUUCACUGAGAUUAAUUAUUUUAGUAGUUGUUAGUUGUUUAAGUAGUUAUUAACUGUUAGAUAUUAAAUGUUCAUAUAGUUGUCUAGAGCAAAGUAUUCGGUGAAAAUAGCUGUUUGAUUAACUGUUGAAAUUAAAAUGAUAACAAAGACAUUUAAAUAUCGAGUUAGAAUUUUAAAUUAUAACUAUAGAAGUGAACCCCAUAUAAGAAAAAAAGAUAUGAUUAUGUGAUGUGUUAUUAACUUUUUUUUUUUUUUUUCAAAAGAAUGUCAAUCUAUAGUAUAUUAGUCUAACUAUAUAAAAGAGGUAUCGUUGAAGUAUCAUAACAACCAAGUUUUGAACAGUUUAAUUACUUCUUGAUAUCUAACUAACUGAAGAAGGGAUUCAAGAUGCAAUUGAAAUAAAAAAAAAAUUUAAAUUAAUGGCAAGAAUGUCAAUAAAUUUUUAAUUAAAAAAAAAAAGUGAACGCUAAACAUUAGGCGAAAACGUUUCACUAAACAAUAUAUUAUCUACUGAAAGCUGUUUUAUAAACUAACUCACCAAACAAUGUAAUACAUCAAAACAGUAUUUUGACGUAGUCAAUACUCUAAAUACUCCCUCGAACGCUCUUGCCAAACAAAGCAAAAAAGUUGUAUUGAUACUGUUAAAUAAUUAAUAACCUAAACAAGUAAUCAUAAAAUCCAAAAUAACACUCCUUUAUUUAUUUAUUUAUUCAUUUAUGUGAGUAUUCCCACUUUUCAUUAUAAAAUUAAUUUUAUUUCGGGAUUUUUUUCACUAUGCUUUCCAAAUAUAACACUCUUUAAUUAAUAGAAUAGUAUUAAAUUUCCCCACAACUUAGUUGCAAUGUAUAAUAUCUUAGAGUUUUUAAAUCAAAUGGUUUCUCUAACGUGUAUUGCACGCUUUGUUUGUACUCGUUGCAAAUAAAAUAAUUUAAUUUAUAUAAAUAAUUUUUUUAUUAAUUUUUAUUACAAUUUAUAAUAUUAUGAAUUAUUUAGAUUACUAAAAAUAUAAGAGCAAUUACAAAACAAAAAAAAAAAAAAAAUUUUAUGAAAUAAUAAAAAAAUCCAAUAAACAAAGAACUUGUUAAGUAAAAAAUAUAUUUACAAUAAUAAAUUCAAUAGCUAAAUGACUUGUUGAAGGAAGAACAUAUUUAUAAUAAUAGAAUAUUAUUAUUAUUUGACAACAAAAUUUUCAUAAAAAAAAUUACUUAUUAAAUAAUCUAAAUUUUCUUAUAACAAUUGAAAUUUUAAUUAAUUUAAUUUUAUGUAAUAUAAUAUAAUAUCAUAAAUGUCUAUAUUACUAAAAUAUGAAAAAUCAGUAUUAGCUAUUAUAAUAAUUAAUAUGUUAAUCACUAUUUUAAAGCAUCAUUGAUAAUUUUGAUUUUUUUCUUAGCAUAAAAUUAAUUUUAUGACUGCUUUUUUUUAGAAAAAAAUUUCUCAACUUGUUAUAUGGCGAUAUAACAUUAUAUAUAUAUAUAUAUAUAUAUAGCGAGCUUUAUUUUCUAUUUAAACAAUAAAUCUCAUAAUAUUUUCUUAACAAAUAAUUAUAAAUUUUAAAUUACUUGUACGACAUAUAAUAAAUCAAAUAAAAAAUUUAUUAAAAAUAAUAAUUAAACAUAUUAUAUUAUUGCUAUAUGUGAUAUGUACCUUACAUAGUAUAAGUAUAACAGAACCAAUCAAAAUUAAUUAUCUUUAUUUUUUUUCAACUAAUAAAAUUAAAAUUCUGAAAGAUAUUAUAUUCUUACAAUAAUUAUUAUAUACCUUAUUUAGUAUAUAAUAUAAUUUUUUAAUUUAUCCAAUAAAAUUUAGAUUUAAAUAGAAAAUUAAUAUAGUCAAUUAAAGUUAAAUUACUUUUAUUUUUAACCAAUAAAAUUAAAAUUCUUAAAGAUAUUAUUAUAUUCCCACCAUAUUUAAUAUAUAUCUUAUAUAGUAUGUAAUAUAACUUCUUAAUUUAUUCAAUAAAAAUUGAAUUUAAAUAGAAAAUUAAUAUUAUCAAUUAAAAUUAAGUUAUCUUUAUUUUUCAACUAAUAAAAUUAAGAUCAUUAAUGAUAUUUUUGUCAAUCUAUAAAUUUAAUAAGGCAUAACAAUUUUAAUAUUUUUCACUAUUUUCACUUUUAUAUAUAAUAUAAUUAUACUAUAAUUAUACAAUAGAUCUUUGAAAAAAAAUUAAUUGAACCCAUUUUUAAACGAUAUCUCACGAUUUUAACAUGAUUCCUUAAUUAAUCAUGAAAUUUUCUCUAGGGAGACCAAUAGUUCUUUUCUAGAAUUACGUGGCAAUCUCUUAUUGGUUAUAUGACUUUAAAUAUCAUUACUUGAACAUCAUCCAAUCAAAACCUUGCCCAAAAAAACAAAUCCCAAUAACAAAGGGACGUGGAAAGCAAAUCACUAAACAUCCUGCUGCACCCUCCUGCCAGCUAGCCACUGUCAGUUGCCACCUCAUAUUUCCUGACAUCACUCAAAAUUUUUGUCUCUAUGAGUAAUACGAUACCGUUUAACCCACACAGAAUCACCAUGCAAAAAAUCCGUUUAUAUUUAUUAGCCCGUUUCAAACCCUUUCCCUCAAUCAUCGAUUUUUCUUUUCCCCAAUUAAAAAACAGAAAUUCCAAUUCCAUUUCUAGUACCCAAUUUAUAAUAUUCCACUUUCCAUUUCGGCUUAAAACCGACCCGAACGGAGCACAAAUUUUCUCUUCUCGAUCUGUUCGCCUUAGGGUAAGUUAUUGAUUUUCUCGGUUCUUGUAAUUCCUCUCUGCAGAUCUGUUUUUGAUUGCUCAUUAUCUUUGUGUUUGGUUGGAUCUGAUUUGCUUAGAGAGAUCUGAGGAGAGGAUACAGAGAAUAUGGCGCACAGAGUAGAUCAUGAAUAUGAUUAUCUGUUCAAGAUCGUUUUGAUCGGUGAUUCCGGUGUGGGAAAAUCGAAUAUUCUUUCCAGAUUUACCAGAAAUGAAUUCUGCUUGGAAUCCAAAUCCACUAUUGGUGUCGAGUUCGCCACGAGAACUCUUCAGGUAAUUAUUGCUUUUGUUGUAUGAGCAUUUAGAAGACGAUCUGCUGUUUCGUUGUGUUUGCGAUCUUGUGUUUGAUGAUUUGUGGCGAAAAUGAAAUUCUCUAGAUGGAAAGUCUCUGGAUGUUCAAGUAAUUCUAUGAGUUUCUAUUGUUUGGUAUUGAUAGAUUGACGGUUGGUAUUAGGGUGAAUAGAUGAGCAGCAGUGCCCAUGCUUUAAUAUAAUGGAGUUUGACUGUGAGAUCUUAUAAGUUGAGAAUAUAGCUUCUUCUUAUUUUGUACUAGUAGAGAUUAAUUAAAUUGUUGAAAGUUAGAAAGUUAGAAAGUGGGUUCUAUGCUGUUCUAUGUUCUAAUAAACUUAUAUCUUAGUCUGUGGUAUGAAAUAUCAACCGUGCAAGAUGUACCUAAAUUUACCUUCCCCUGAAAUGCUUGUUGGUGGGCUAUUGUUGUAUUUGGAUUUCAAUAGAAGUUGGAUCUGCAGGAUCAUCUCGGUUGAUUGCGUGUAUAAAGUAAUGUUUCAUGAGUACUGCCAAGGGUCAUUCUUAUGGUAAUCAACUGUGGAUUUGGUGCAUUAGUGACUGGUUGAUUGUGUGUAUCAAGUAAUGUUGCAUGAGUAUUGCCGAGGGUCAUUCUCACAGUAAUCAACUGUGGAUUUGGUGCAUUAGUGACUGCUUAAUCCUUUCACCAAAUGGAACAUGAGAAAAUGCUAUUUCUAAUUUGUAAUUGGUGACUCGGCCUUGCUAUUUGAGUGUUAUAUGACAGACAUACCAUUUUCUCAGUGGAAACACCCAUUUAUGAUCUUUGAUGUACAACGUUUUUCAAAUUGUUUCUGUAAUCUGGUUCUGAUACAGUAAAUAAUUCCUUUUCUAUAUUAUUUUUCUGCUACAGGUUGAUGGAAAGACAGUAAAGGCACAAAUUUGGGAUACGGCAGGUCAGGAGAGGUACCGCGCUAUCACAAGUGCAUAUUACAGAGGAGCUGUUGGUGCCCUUCUAGUCUAUGACAUUACAAAAAGGCAAACUUUUGACAAUGUUCAAAGGUGGCUUCGUGAGUUGAGGGACCAUGCAGACUCUAACAUUGUCAUCAUGAUGGCUGGAAAUAAGUCUGACUUGAAUCAUCUCAGAGCUGUCGCGGAAGAAGAUGGUCAGGGCUUGGCAGAGCGGGAAGGUCUCUCAUUUCUCGAGACAUCAGCAUUGGAAGCAACCAAUGUUGAGAAGGCAUUCCAGACCAUAUUGACAGAGAUAUACCAUAUCAUAAGCAAGAAAGCAUUGGCAGCACAGGAAGCAGCUGGCAAUUCUACCCUUCCUGGUCAAGGAACCACUAUUAACGUUGCCGAUUCCUCUGCGAAUUCAAAGAGAGGUUGCUGUUCUACAUAAGACUGUAAUUUGAGGAUGGAUAAGCAUUGCUAGCCAGCAGUCUUUUUUCUUUUUAAUUAUAUUUUACCUUUUUCUUUAAAAAAAUUUUCUUUUUCAAUUUUUGGGCGGAGGGAGGGAGACAUGUAGAUUACCAUCUUUUACUUGAAAUGAGUUUGUGAAAUUGGAGAAAAGAAACAGUUCCUUAGAAUAUCAGGAUGUCUGUUCUGUUCUUUUGUUGUGUUUAUUUCUUGUAUGUUACUUAAAAGGAAGGUGGAACUGACUGAUAGGAGGGAUGUAGAGUGAGAUCACAUUAUUUUCUCAAUUGUGGUGUAAAACCAUAGAAAGGGGCAGCAUUUAGUACUAUUGGUGUUGUUUGUUGAGCUACUUCUUAACUUGUAAUGAAAGCUUUAUUACCCUUUUAACAUGUCUUUCCAACCUAUGCUUAUCGCUUCUUGUUCGUGCAAGCGCAAUUACUUAUUUAAUACAUAAUCCUGUAAUCUGUUAUUCACAACAUAUGACUAACUUGCUCGUCUUUGAGUGGAAGAUUUCCUAAUAAACAUAACAUUCUCUCGGUUUCUUCCUGUUUUUGGAUGAUUUCAGGUUAUGAUCUUUUUAAAACAAGUACUGCAAUGGACAUUUUUCUAAAUAUGAUUAAAAGGAAAAACUUGUGGAGGAGAAUCUAGGAAUUUCGACUAGCAUAAUUAGACGGAGAAAGGUAUGUAUUGUCGCAUGUUCUAGGGGCUCCUUGUUUUGAUUUGUAUCUGUUUUAAUGGCAUUGAGUGCUUUUUAUAAAACGCAUUGAGUAGCUUUUUAAUAGCAUCGAGUAGUUUUUCAUAAAAGUUGAUAAAAAGCUAUUUUAACCUCUAAAAGGUGUUGCUGAACAUAGCCUUAAUUAUUCAUUAGCCUACGAAAAUCCUUUCUAACUUUUUACCAGAAUCUGCCAAUCGCAGCAGAAAUGCCAAGGUUUAGGUUAGAUCUUUUCAAGUUAAACCUAACUGAUUUUAACAUAGAAUCAAACAGCUUUUAAGUUUUGCAACAAGUAUAGUUCCAAUCCACAAAAUGCAAUGAAGAUGAGAAGCGCGGAACAAAAGCUCUGUUUUGUAAAUCUUUAACUUACUGCUCGAUUUGUACAGUUACAUGACGAAUCCUGUAUGUUUUUUUGCAGUAAUCGUUAAUCCUGUUAAGUAUUUCAGUAGAGCUGAUUCCAGGCUCAGCCACAACAUGGCAAGAUAAAACCAACUUCCCUACUGUGAUAGCCCAAAUAUGCAAGUCAUGAAUGUCUUGAACUCCUUUUAUGGAUUUCAGACCACACUCCACCUUGCCAAUGUUGAUCUCACAAGGUGUCCUCUCCAUCAGAAUGCCAUAUACAUCCCUAAGCAUCGGUAUUGUAGAAUACAGAACAAAACCAGAGAAAAUAAGAGUGCAUAUCAGAUCAACUACCAACCAUUCAGGCUUUAACCAAAUAAUUACUCCAGCAACCAUUACGCCUACAGUUUGAAUUAGGUCAGCCAUGACAUGUAAGUAAGCUCCUUGAAUAUUUAUGUUUAAUAUUUUUCUUUUUUCAGGAGAACUUAAUACCAGUCCAGUUCCCUCCUCUUCGUUUCCUGGACAUAAAUCCCCAUCCUUGUGAUUGUGAAUGUGAUCAUGAUUAUGAACAUGAGAAGCAUGAUGAGAGUGAUCAUGACCUAGCCAUACAACCAUGAUUAAGUUAACAAUGAAUCCGAAGGCUGCAAUUGCAAACAUUAGUCCUCCAUUUACCUCAGAGCUUCUGUGAAUAAUUUUGUCAACUGCUUCAUAGAUUAAGAUGACAGAGACUAUCCAUAUAAGCUGCACUGAUAGAAGGGCACCUAAAACUUCAAGGCGGUUAAAUCCGAAUGACUGUUGUGAUGUUGCCUCCCAACCCGAAGCCCACACUGCGAAAAGAGAGACACAGAAUCCAGCAACAUCAGUCAGCAAAUGGGCUGCAUCUGUAAUAACUGCAAGGCUGUUGGCUUUCAAGCCACCGACGAUUUCUACUGUCAUGACUAGUAAAUAGAAAAUUAUAAGCCCCACAAGUUUUACAGCUGACUUUGAUCGUUCUUCGGAUUCAAGAGUAUCAUUUUCUUGUUUGGAGAAGGCACAAACAGAAUUGCAAGAUAAAUGUGCUGUAGCAGGAAGAAUGGCAUUUUCUUCAGAUGAUACUAUCAUCUCAACAUCCUUCUGGUUUUGCAAUUGCAAAAUGGAGGCUUCCUCAUGUUCCAUCUUCUUGGAGAACAUGUUUACCUUCAGUAGAAUAUUAGAAAAAAGAAAGUCAAGAAAAUAUAAAACAAAAUUACUCGAAAAGUAUGGCUGUCAUUGGCUUCACAAACAGUAAGUCCAAGGAGUGCUUCAAUACCACAAGCUACAAAAGUAAAGUGGAAUCUAAAAUUCUAGAAAAGCUACAGGCAGAAAACAGCAAUCAGCACUGAUUGCUGGCCUGGGGACAGUACAAUCAACAAAGUUUAACUAGUUUGGGACCCAUCAUGUAUUUGUAAAUAACUAGAACCAGGAAAUUUGAAAUAAAAGAAAGGACAAACAGAAAGCAAAUUACAUCACACUAAUGCGAAGUGAUUUUUUCCUGGAACAAUAUAAGCUAUUAAAACAUAAUAGAUUUUAUAAAUUCCGCAAGCUUCAAUCACGUGUAGUGUUAAUUAAAGCAAACUAAAAUUUAUAAUUUUUCACAAUCUCAUUUUGAUGGACAAAAAUCAUAUAUCUGUGAAACAUGAUUAAGUUCAAAGAACAUGAAAUCAUAUUCUCUUGCAUAUAUAGUGAAAGAACAGUUAUUAAUUCAUAAUCCUAAUCAUCACUCUUCAUCAAAAUAAUGAAGCCUUUGCAAAAACCAGAGAUAGAUUUAAAUUUCAAUCUAUCUUCUCAACAAAAUCUCAUUAAUUUGAAAUUCCUUUCCCUUCAUUUUAUUUUACUAUGUCUGAAAUUGUCAAGAACUCUCUGAAAUCAGUUUCAUUGCACAUAAAUCCAAACUCAGAUUAUUGCACAUAAAAAAACCAUCUAAUAAAUUAACAUCUUCACCGCCAAGGACAAUUAACUUGGUUUUGAAAGUAGUCAAAGUACAUGAUCAGUUCAAACAGUUCAAACAGCAUAUGAGAAUCACAGAGCAUUCUUCUCAAUAAAAUGAGCAAACUCAGAUAAAUAUAAAUAAUCAAUUUAAAACAAAAGUUCAAUAUACCCAGUUGGAUUACUCUCUUCAACUUCAUAUAUGACAUGAUUUCUAAACCAGUUGUUUCUUUAAUUAUUUAAUACCCUAAAAACUUAAAACAACCUAUUGACGAUCAAACAAUCCUUCCUACCUUCAAUUUUAAGCAACUCCAAAACCCUGCAUUUUGCAUCCAUAGCAAUAAUUAUUACAAAAGAGAGAAAUUUCGUAACUUGAAAAUGUCGAACAUAUAAUUCCAUUUCUAUUUAAUUGAAACAAACGACGAUCAAGAAUUGCGAGUAAAAAUUUCAAUAAAAAUAACAUGAGCUCAUUUCACAAUAUAUAUAUAUAUAUAUAUAUAUAUAUAUAUAAAGAAUCUACUAGUUGCAGAAGACAUUGCAACUAUUGAAGGUUGGUGAUGGGUUAUACCCGUAAACGACAGGACAGAGGACAGAAACUUUAGAGGGACUGAUUAUCGGAUCUCAUGAAUUGAGAAAUUGGGUUAUGAUCAGAAGCGUGAAAAGCCUCAAAGUAAUUGGCAAAACACUUCUUGUGAUGAAAGCACGGGGAAUGAUAAUCCCCUGCUUCCGAAUUCCACACUUUCUACUGUUGUUUAUUUUCUUAAAUAAAGGGGAGAAGAAGAACCCGGCACGUUACGAUCGGAAGCGUGAAAGGCCUGAAAGUAAUUGGCAAACAACUUCUUGUUGAUGAAAGCACGAGGAAUGGUAUUCCCCUGCUUUCCAGUUCCACUUGUUUAUUUUUUUAAAUAAAAGAGACAAGAAGAAGCCGGCAGCCAAGAAACGUUACUGUUAACAGAAGAUGCCAUAAGCGUUUCCAUGUAGCGGAGAACUAAACUUGCGGAUGGAUUGGGCAUCGUGAUACCAGGUAAUAAAAUAAUAAGUAGGGACGAUGAUGAUCAUGGAUAAUCAGGGAUAAUAAAUAAAUAAUAAUUUUGAUGAUUCUGCAAAAUCCAUACUCCACCCAUCAAGAUUUUCAUAUACCCAUAUCCCAUAUGGGAUCCAAUGUCGGGUUGAAUUAAAUUAGAUAUUAUUCGUUUUUUCUAUUAUAUUUAGAAAAAAUAAAAAGAUAAUUACAAUUUUUUUAUACAUAAGAAGCCGAAUUUAUUGAAAUAAUAUUAUAGGCUACAUAGCAGGAAGUAGCUUUCCCCUCUAAAUAAUAUUCAUCAAAUUGACGAUAACCUUUAUGAUGGAAUCCAUAUUACUUAUUAUAUUUGAAAAUACAAAAAUUUAUAAUGAUAAUUAGAAAUAUUAUAUGUCAUGGCAGGUGGAAGAUAUUCGAACCGAACUAUACUAUAUCUGUAAUCCACAUCAAAUCGGACAUAUGAUCAUCCCUAAUAAUAAUGCAAAAGUUUCCUAAGAUAUAUUUGGAUUAGGGUUUAAAUGUUUAGAUCGUCUAAUCAUUUUAUUGCAUACGCGUUAAUUUUAUUGUCAUGGAAUCGAUAUAAUCACUGCCCCUGUUGAUUCAAACUACAUGUCAGGUGUUGACGUUCCGAUUUAUGACAUUCCCAUAGGGCGCACCAACUUAUGAGCACUAGUGGGAGACGCUGCCCCCUUCCUGCAAGAGGCACCCACAAAGUGGGUCGUGGCUCCUAUGUAGCCACCAGUUAGGUGUUGACAUUCCGAUUUAAGACAUUCUAUAGCCGCACCAACCCCUAAGCUGCCCCCUUCCUGUAGGAGACAACCCACAAAGUGGCCAUGGCUCUUAGGCCGCCAACGGUCAGGUGUUGAUGUCCCGAUUUAAGACUCUCCAUAGGCGCACCAAACCCCGAGCACUGGUGAGAGACACUACCCUCUUCCUAUAGGAGGCAGCGCACAAAGUGCUCUCAGGCAGUAGAACGAAUAUUUAGACAUCAUGCGUAAUGAAAUAUUGUCAUUGAGGAUUGAACCGAGAAGCUAUCGUAGAGGAUUAAACCUAGAUCAAGCAGGCGGAUGAUUAACGUUUUUACCACCGGGCCAUUACUUGGGGUGAUAUUACUAAAUUUAUUAAUAUCUUGUUCAACAACAACUUUUCAUAUAACUUUUAUUACUUUGUCUAAGUCAAAAUACAAACUUUCAUAUAGCCUUUAUGAUAGUUUGAGUAAGCGAAUUAUGAAACGUUAUUUUCUUCAACAUUUGAUGAAACUUAGUUAAAUAAUUAACAUCCAAUAAAACAACUAAUUUUCCACUAAUUUACCAAAAAGACCCUGAAUUUUCAACUUGUUGAGUUAGAUAUAAAAACAUAAGGUUAUUAAACUCUUUUUUUUUUUUUUCUGGAAGUGCAAAGGAUCAUAUAUUAUCAUUAUCAUGACAAAUAACAUCCAAGAUAAAAGGUGGAAGAGUAAAGCUCCAUUCCUCCAUGUCAGACAGAGACACAGCUUGUCAUAGCCCUACCCUUGGUAAGUAUUGUCCGCUUUGGCAUAGUCCCCGGAUGGCCCGGAUGUCCCUACACCUCACGGUUUUGUCCCUUUGAGCCAGGGGUCACCCACUCUGCCAACUCAAAAUGCGCCUACUAAGGUUAGAGACUACCCCUCUUAUGUAUAGAUCCUUUACCUCGUCCGUAGCCGAUGUGGGAUUCGCCUAAGGUGAUGCCCUCUGAUGUCUAGGAUGUCACAUUCACCCCCCCUAAGGGACUCAGCGUCCUCACUGAGGCUUGCCCCACCACCAGCCAGAGGGAACGAGGCCGGCUCUGAUACCAAUUGUCAAAGCCCUACCCUUGGUAAGUAUUGGCCGCUUUGGCAUAGUCCCCGGAUGGCCCGAAUGCCCCUACACCUCACAGAUUUGUCCCUUGGGCCAGGGGUCACCCGCUCUGCCAACUCAAAUGGCGCCUACCAAGGUUAGAGACUACCCCUCUUAUGUAUAGAUCGUUUACCUGAUACCCCCUGAUGUCCAGGCUGUCACAUUCACCCCCCCUAAGGGACUCAGCGUCCUCACUGAGGCUUGCCCCACCACCAGCCAGAGGGAACGAGGCCGGCUCUGAUACCAAUUGUCAAAGCCCUACCCUUGGUAAGUAUUGUCCGCUUCGGCAUAGUCCCCGGAUGGCCCGAAUGCCCCUACACCUCACAGAUUUGUCCCUUGGGCCAGGGGUCACCCACUCUGCCAACUCAAAAGGCGCCUACCAAGGUUAGAGACUACCCCUCUUAUGUAUAGAUCGUUUACCUGAUGCCCCCUGAUGUCCAGGAUGUCACACAGCUGCUCUAGCCAAAGCAUGAACCACCUGGUUAUCUGACUUUACUACAAAAGACACCCUACAAUACUGCAACUCAUUAAGAAGCUUUGCAUUCAUAAACAAUAGAACCAAAAUGCAAGAGCUCCACCUCUUUUGCUAUUAAGGAUUGCAUCUACCUAGAUUCUAUUUAUGGCUCUAUUCAUUGACCAAACUAAUAAAAAUGGAAUUUUUUUUAUUAAAUGGUAAGAUAAAACCUUAUUUUAAAAUAAUUUAUUUUUCAUGGAUUUGAUCUGUGAGUAAGCCCAUAGACCACAUCUAGAAUCUAAAUAGACAAUUUAACCCUUAAAUAAAAAAAUCUCUUAAUUGAUUUAAUGGAAAAUUUUUUAUCUAAUAUUUUACAUGGUAUUUUCAUUUAUUUAUAAAACAUUAAUGGUAAAAAUAAUACUUUUUACACAGAAAAAAUAAUUUAAAGAGACCAUACUUCGGAAAUGAAUCAAUUAAUUUACCAAAAUGAAGAAAUGUAAUGGUAAUUAGAGUCAAAUUUCAGGGAGUAAAUAGCAUUUCGCCCAUAUUUUAAUUUAGUCGCUUACUUCUUAAAGUCGUUACUUAAAAACGUCCAUCACGGGCCCGUGAGUCUCUUCCUCACCGAAACUGAAAUUCAGAACCCCGUGAGUCGAUUCUCUCUCUCAAUCUCUAAUGCCUAACUCCUCUCUCUUCCUUUUCCUGAUAUGAUUACUUCGCGAUACUUGAAGAUUCCGAGCAGAAGUUCAAUAAAUUUCAGUCACAGCUCUUCUAUCUCAAAUAAGACAAGGAGAAUUUCACUGUACUUUUUGUGUUUUUCUUUUGUUUGACUGAAAAUUUCUUUUAUGUUUCACAGAUCUUCAAGAUUGAUUGAAGAAAUUUGGUCACCGGAUCUUCAAUUUCAGUAAGAUACUGUAUUUUCUCACAAUUACUCUCACUUUCCAUUAAUUCCCUUUUUGUUCUUUUAAUGUUUGCUAGGAAAUUACUUGCAUGUGUUUUUUUUUAUUUGAUAGUGUGAUUAUAGUUAUUCUUUGAUUUCUAAAGUAUCUGCUAAAAAACAACUGGUUAGAUUCAUUUCCUGCUCUUAGCUCUUUUUCGAAUCCUUUCCUUUCAUAAUUUUGUUGAAAGUGAAAAGAAAAAUGGUAAUUUAGUGUUAAUCGUGAUUAUGGAAAUUAAAGUCUCAAUAACAUAAAAAGAAACAGUUCUACAGUGGGUUGUGGUUUAUUCUUUUUUGAGAGGUAAUUUUAUGGUGGCUGAAUGGAGAGAGAGAGAGAGAGAGAGAGAGGGAGAGCGGGACCGCUUCCUGAGAAGCUCAAUUAUAUGCUUAGUACAAUCAAUAAAAUUGGCGAUGCUAUGUGGCCCAUGAUGCACAGUAGUGUCACGGGUCCCCUUGAAUUAGCCUAUAUGAGUAGCUUUUUUGGGUCAAUUUUAGUCCCUAAAUUACCAUAAGAUAUAUUUGGAGGAUUAUCAUGUUUUAUAGCACAAAAAUAAGGGAUCAAAGAGCAAUUAAAAUUUGAAAUAUUUGUGAACUGAAGUGUUGCAUAAUCUAAAAUACGAGGGAGUCUUAGAGCCUAUGCAUAAGGCACAACCAAGCACUUGACAGAGAUGAGGCGCAAAAGAAAUUAAAUGAGACAAUUAAUUUUAUUGUCUAUUUGGAUAGAUAGUCAUUUGAAGUGGGCACAAAUUCUUUUAUAAAAAUUAUGCAAACAAGGAAUAAAAGCAUGAAAAAAACAUCUAGAAAAGGAAAGAGAAUCUGAAAGGCAUCUAGAAUAAAAAACAAGAGAAAAAAAUGAAGGGGAAUGAUAUGAACGAGAAGAAGAAGAAGAAAUGACCUAACAUGAAGAUGCAUCACACGUGCAUCUUCUUAAGCAUUUCGUCAAUGAAAUUUGGAAUGCAUAUAAAUUAUGUGCAUAAUAUGACCUGCUUUAUGGGAAUGUUGAAUAAAGCUGUAUUUUUUGAAAGAGUUUAUUUCUAUUAGUUAAAUGUUAAUGUAUAAGUUUGAUGGUGUUUUUUGUUGUUAAAUUUUUAGGUAUUGGGGCAACUAGAUUAAUUAAGAUGUCUUAUGGCGUUGUAAAUGGUAAUAGUCAUAACAAAGGUGCUGAUGCCACCAUCAGCUUUCAUGAGUCCCACUUGGAACCUAAUGGCAAGGAAAUGGAUUCGGCACAAAGUGUUGAAGUUAGUUCCGAGGAUUUGGGACCAAACACACAGCAAUCACAGCGUGAUGAAAAUACAGCAGACAAAGGCGAUGUACCCAAGGUGGGCAUGGCAUUUGGAACUCUAGAAGAUCUAUUUGAAUUUUACUGGAAAUUUGCAGAGAAGGAAGGAUUUGGAGUGAUUAAACAGUCCUGUGGAAAAGGACUUAAUGGAGAACUUAAAUACCAAACUUUUUCUUGUGAUCGAGCAGGGAAGGCAAGUAACAAUGGUAAGAAUCGCCAAAAGCCUAGGCCAACAAAAAGAAAUGGAUGCUCAGCAAGGGUCUGUGCAUCAAUAGGUCCAAAUGGAAAAUGGAAAGUAAAUAAAGUAGUUUUACAGCAUACCCAUGAGCUUAUACCCUAUUCUUCACAACUUUUAAGACACCAUAGAGUGAUUGCUCAGCAUAGAAAGAGGAACCUUGAGAUAAAUGAUGUUGCAUGUAUUCAACCAUGUAAGAGUGCUCGUGCCACUGAAGUUGGAGCUCAUGACAAUAUGACAUCUUCGAGCAAGGAUAGCAGAAAUCAUAUAGAAAUUUCAAGAAGGAUUAAUCUGAGUAAGUGCAAAAUCUCAUAAAAAGAGAAAUCUGAAAUCUGAAAAUAUCAUAUUUUCCUUUAUUACUUUUUCUUUGACAAUGGAUAUACAUUAAUAUGUGUUAGCAGUCAGUAGUCGGAAGGGGGCAGUAAACACUCUACUGCUCCAGCAGUGUGAAUUCAUCCAAUUGAGAGAGUUAUUGCCUCAAUUCCAUCAAGCCCCCUCCGAUUCUAAAGGAGUGAGAGGUUGCAAGCAUUAAAAUGUAUAUUUCAAUCUUUUGAUAACUAUAAAAUGUACGUUUUUCUUGCUCUGUAGAUGGGGAUGAUGCCAAGGUGUUGCCUUCACCAGACGCAUACAAAAAGUUGUAUGAAGAUAGAACAUGCUUGCUCAACAUGCUGCGGAAUGAGGUGCGGAAAAUGUUUGGCCGUCUGCCAACUCUACUUGACCCUUCAAUUUUCAAAAGCAUUAUUUUAAUAGCUGAUGAUCCAUUGUCUACAUUAGUGGAUUUAUUUGAAACUGAAAUUGAAGAAAAUAAUUAUUCUCCACCAAAUAGUGGCCAAACAUUCCUCAGAGACGACACAAAAACUUAGAUAUGAGAAUUGAAAUUCUAAUUAUCUGUAAACACUCGGUUGGGGGAGUAUGAAAAGGAGUAUCUUGUUCUAGGUAGUCUUGUUUUUUCCCCACUAAGGUGAUCUAUAUGGUUAACUUACUUUACCUCUGUGCCAAGUGAUGUUGUAUUUAAGAUGUUAAGGCACAAGGACAGUCUGUUAGUGUCAAGAUGUCCAUAGUUAGUUUAGUAUGAGUAUCAAUGUACCUGUUGUUUAGCCUAACUGUACAAUUAUGUACUAAUUUUCUACUCAGUCCUUUGAGUAAAAAUUUUCUAGUAGUUUAUAAUAUUAACUAUUUUCAUUUUUUCAGUAAAAAAUUUCUAGCCAAAUAUGUUUAAUUAAAAAAAAAAUGCUUGUUUAAACAACUAAUGAAAAAUAAAAUUAAGGUACUAAAAUAGAAAAAUUGGCAAGACACCAACUAUGUAAUUAUUCUAAUAAUGACUGUUGCAAGCUGUCCAUAUUAUUACUUGACAUUUCAAAGCUUGAACAAGAGAAGCCAACAACAAAUGAUCCUCUAGUCUCGUGGUGGCAAGGUGACAUGAAUUCCACUUUGGUUAUCCUUGGUGUUAAUAAAUUGAGGGGUAGACCUUAUUUUGACUUAGCUUUUGGAGUUGAGUUAGGUUUCUCGUACUCAGUCUGCGCUGGAUCAGCAUUAAAUAUUAUUUUUUAUAAUAUUUUAAUUUUUAAAAAUUAAAAUAAUAUUUUAUGAAAAGUUAAUCCAUUUAAUGUUUAAUUUUUAUUAAUAAUAAAAUAUAAACUAUUUAAUGUUAUUUUAAAAAUAUUUUUCCAAUUCAUGAAUUCUAUUAUCCAACAAAGAAUAGAAUAUAAAAUUAAAAUACUUAAAUUUCAUAUUUCAUUCAUUUAAAUAAGCACUAAUUACAUUAUAACCCAAAAAUUCUAGAAAAUGGAAAAAAAAAAAAAAAAUUGAGCGGCGGAUUAAUCGACCCCAUCAAAUAGACUUCUCCGCCACAUCGGACUUUGCAGUUGCCCACUGGCCACCUCCAUUAUUUUAUUUUAUAAAAAAAUUAAAUAAAAAUACAAACAAACUCACAUUCUCUCUUUACACCACCAACCCAAUUCAAAAAAAUCAAGAAAGAAAAAGUUCAGAAAAGAAAGCACAGAAACAGAGCUAAAAGAAACAAAGAAAGGACCCUCGUUGUUGUCUGUCAUUUCUUGAAAAUCUUUUGGGUUUUGAUUUUUGAGCAAGAUUUCUUCCAGAUCGGUUUUCAAUGGCUCAGCAAGGGCAGGUGUCUAUCGACCCUGCCGUUUUGGACGAUAUAAUCACUCGUCUUUUGGAUUUUAGGCAAACAAGAGCAGCCAAACAACAGCAGGUACAGCUAACUGAGAAUGAGAUCCGCCAACUCUGUCUUGUUUCUCGAGAAAUCUUUCUUCAGCAGCCCAACCUUCUGGAGCUUGAAGCCCCCAUCAAGAUCUGUGGUACAUCCUUAAAUUUCUUUCUUCAUUACUCUAUUUUCUUUGCUGUUGCUUUUUUUUUUUUUUUUUGCGAACUUGGAUUUUCUGCUUGUGGGUUCCUUUUUUUCUUUCGGUCUUUUGGAGAGAAUAGAUUGAGUAUUGUUGUUAUAUGUAGGUUAAAACUGACUGUUUCUUUGCUGCCAAGCUGAAAUUUGGUAUUUCUUUGGAUAAAGUUCGAGUUUUUAGGGUUGGAGAGCGAGCUUUGCUUGGGAAGUAACCUUAGUUCGGGAAAAAAAAGCAGGGAUUGAUUUUGGGGGUAAUGGGUUGGUCUGAACUGUAAACCAGUUAUUGAGGGAGUCCUAUUUGUUUUUGGAAGUACAAUCCAAAACUUUGUCUAUACUGUGGCAAUUGAUGUGAAGAACGGAAGAUGGAUCAAUGGUUCUCGGAUAAAAGAAUAUGCUAAUGCAAUGGUAAGAGUCUUGGAUUGCAGUUUACAGGCUGUUGAUUUUAAGCUUGUGAGCAGCUACUUAAUUCAAAAAUGCAAAGGCAAGAUGCUUAAUGCAGAAAUUCGAAGGUCAAGACUGCAACUAGAAUUCCCUUUGUAGGCGAUAGGCCCUUCUUUGGUGAGAUGUAACCGAGUAAUGUCUUUUUUUAUGUUUCAAGGUUUUAUAUUACUAGGUCCCAUUUAAGAAGGAUUUAGAGAAAAUUUGCAUGGAGAUAGGAAAUGAUAUUAAAUAGUAGAAUUUAGGGGUGGGAAAUCUGUAUGCAAUUCCGAUUGCCACCUGAGGCAUUAGCUUAGGUGAACCUUCACAUAGAUGAGGUGAAAGAGAUGAGAGGAUGAAAGGUGGUGCUAUCUCUGAGAAUUUUUUUUCGCAUCAAUAUUUGCGUUACUUCUAUGCUGUAGUGUUUUCUAUUUUCAGUCAUUUUUUUUAAAUUUCUGUCAAAGUGAUUGUAUGAUGAAAAUGAAAUAGCUAUCUUUCUGCUUUAUUCUGUCUGGGAUGUUAUAGAUUAAUGCUUUGUUUGGAUGUAGAGAGGAUGUAAAAUGAGAGAGUAAAAUAGUACUAUUCAUUUUACCUCCUUUGCACUCCUUAUUUGAUUUGAAGGAAAAAUAGAAGGGUGGGAGUAAAAUAAAUUUAUUUUACUUUAGUUGCACCUUCAUUGUUUUUUUUCCUCCCAUUUUGGAGAGCAAAUUGGAGGAUAUAAAAUAAAGAUAUUUUAAAUCCACUCACAAUUUUCUUCCUUCCCAAAUAAGGUAUUUUACAAACCCCAAAAAAUUUUCACUUUUUUUUUCACCCAUCCUUAUUUUACAUCCAACCAAACAAGCUCUAAGAAAGUCAAGUGGCCUAUAUGUUUUGUAACAACCUCCCAGAUAUAACUAUGUAUCAAUGCUGUGCAGGUUGUUUGGAACUUUCAUUCAUGCAAUCAUAAUUUAAUUCUAAUUUCUAAGAUCAGUCUCACAUUUGGGUUGGUCAGUAUUCAUCUUUCCACAGAUGCUAACAAUCACACAUAUUUAUCAGUAGUUCUUCAUUCAAGUUUGAAUAUCAGGCUGAUUGGACGAGGUGAUCUUUCAGUGUUGAUCCUUAAAGUAGGUGAUAUUUUAAGCACGGUUCUCUAUGGAAAAAUAUUUCUCAUUGUAGCAACUUGUCCUACAGCAACCAUCUUGAGGUUUUCCUUUUCUUGGUGUCAUGGCAAGGCUUAAUUACAUGGAAACUGGUCUCUAUAGCCAUAAAAUAGAGACAGAAGCAGAAGGCAUGAUGUAAAAAAUGGGGGAUAUCUAUCGAGGGAAUUGAGUCAUACAAAAUUCUUGAGAAACCUGAUUAAAGCUUAGAAUUCAUUCACUGAUGUUAACAUAGUUUUCUAAAUGGCAAAUCACAUCAAAAUAAUAGAUGUAAUAGGAUCCGUUGCAUCCUACUAAAAAUUUCACUUGAAAGGUAAACAUCAAUUCUAGAUGUAUAUUACCUCUAAAAUUGUUGAAACAUUUUCCCAUAGGUUUUGGAAAGGAGGAGAUGGACAAUGGAGAUCACUUUGAGGAAGGAAAUUUCUGGUAAUCAUUGGUGCUGCAUCAUAUCUUAUUUUUUAGGGUCCCUUGUAAGAUAUUCCAAUUUGUUAGGAUUCCUGUUUUUUAGGGUCUUGCAUUUAUCUUGCAUCAUGUUGUGGUUUAAUUUUAUUUUGAAAAUAAAAGUUUAGCAAUAUGAUUUUCUAGUGCUUUAUAGGAAUCUACUGCGUCAUGUUAUAGGCAUGCUCUUAUGUUGCUCUUACAUCCUCAUCUAAAUUGAGGAAUCACUUCUCUUUGAGUGUAAUUUAAACAAAUAAUAAGACUGCAAUGCAGUUUUUAUUUUCACCUAAUGUGUGAAAUGCAAAUUUUUUUUUUUUUUUUUUUUUAAGUUCUUACCUUUUAUUGCAUUUUAGUUGAACUAUAUUAAUUUCUACAUUUAUUUCCAGGUGACAUUCAUGGGCAAUAUUCUGAUCUUUUGAGGCUUUUUGAAUAUGGGGGUUUUCCGCCUAGUGCUAAUUAUUUAUUUCUAGGUGAUUAUGUAGAUCGUGGCAAGCAGAGUUUGGAAACAAUCUGCCUUUUGCUUGCCUACAAGAUCAAGUACCCAGAGAACUUCUUUCUUUUGAGGGGAAAUCACGAGUCUGCGUCUAUUAAUCGAAUUUAUGGAUUUUAUGAUGAAUGUAAACGGCGGUUCAAUGUGAGACUUUGGAAAACCUUCACUGAUUGUUUUAACUGUCUUCCUGUUGCUGCUCUUAUAGACGACAAAAUAUUGUGCAUGCAUGGAGGACUUUCCCCUGAAUUAACAAGUUUGGAUCAAAUUAGAAGAUUAACCCGUCCAACUGAUGUUCCUGAUUCUGGGUUGCUCUGUGAUUUACUUUGGUCUGAUCCUAGUAGGGAUGUUAAAGGCUGGGGUAUGAAUGACCGAGGGGUCUCAUACACCUUUGGGCCAGAUAAGGUGUCAGAAUUCCUAACAAAUAAUGAUAUGGACCUUGUUUGUCGUGCCCAUCAGGUUGGUGAAGCUUACUUCUUUUGAUACUUGUAUCACUUGAUCAGUUUACCAGGGGGCCUUUUUUGGUUUUGUUUUUCUGUUUCAGGUUGUGGAGGAUGGGUAUGAAUUCUUUGCAGACAGGCAGCUUGUUACAAUAUUUUCUGCUCCUAAUUAUUGCGGUGAAUUUGAUAAUGCUGGUGCGAUGAUGAGUGUUGAUGAGACCUUAAUGUGCUCUUUCCAAAUACUUAAGCCUGCAGAUAGGAAGUCCAAAUUCAUGUGAAAAUGGACUUGUUUGCUAUCAUGAUUCUGGCUUAUAAUUGCUAACGUAAGUUUCAUGCUAUGGGUUUUUCCUUAUUUACUUGGUGCUAAUUUAUGCUAUGCGGUCAUCAACUUGCAUAUGACAGAAUCCAUGUCUUUUGUUAUUUCUGAAAGAUUUUCUAUUUAACAACAUAAAUAAAUAAACAUCACUUCUUUCAUGCAUUUGGACUUUUCUAGUCUUAUAUUUUGUGUUUUUGCUCUUUUUCUUUGUUGGGGCUGAUCAAUUUUUCAUUUUGUAUUUAUAUUUUCAUUUUCUUUGCUUAGAGACUGUGAAUAAUGCAUGGUGAAUGGAUAUUUUCUUUUCUUUUCCUCUUUUUUUUUUUUUUUUGGAGAAUGGAAAUUGUUGGAGUGAAAAGAAUGGCUUUUAGAAUUUUACUUGCUAAUUUGAGAUGAAUGGUUAUUUGGUUGGUUGUUGGCUUUAUAAAAUGAAUAUGAUGCUGUGUAAAAGGCUACUUGAAGAAUUAAUUUUAUUUGAAAAGCCAAACUUCUACCCUAGCUUUACUUCCAUCUUGUUGAAACAAUGAAUUUUUCUUGGAACAUCAUUGCCAUUGUUUGCUUGCACUUAGCACCAUGAUGAUGCUUUCCUGCUUUGGAGAAGUGCUGCAAUAAAAUAGAUGUAAAAGGUGGAAAAAAAGGCGGCUUGUUUUCAAUAAUAAUUUAACAAACACUAUGAGCACUUGUUUGAUAUCGGCAUUAGUAGUUCCUAAGCAAAAACUAUUACUAUAGUGGCAUCAUCUCUAUGUUUAUUUCUUUUAGUGGCUAGAUCCAAUUUAUCUAUGUUCUAUCCAAAAUCUCUCGACCUCCCAGCCAUCCACCAUCAAAUCAUCCAUUACUUGCACUUCCUAUGCUUUUCUUGAUUCUUCAUUGCCAUCGGCACCUUUUUGGAGCAUAAUUAUGCCGGGCAUUAGAUUUAUCCAACACCAGCAAUACAUAUCCCCUUGCCUCUCUGGUAACAUGUCACAGUCAGAUUGGAUAUUUGCCAGCAGUACCUGCUAUUGUUAUCAUACCAUCUCCUUUAUCAAGGGUAUUACCCUUGUUGCUUGUUACAUGUUCCGUCGUUCUGUCCACCUAUCUGGCAUCUUUCACAAUCCAUGAAAAAGCUAGGUGAUAAAAACAAAUUGGUUUCUUGUUUCUAAUAUGUAUUCCUCAACUAAUUAGAUGUUGAGAAAAAAGUAAAUUGUGAUUUAUUUGGCAGUCAUAUUGUUACUAUGCACAUUACAAUGCAGAAAUUAGUUCUGAAACUGCAGUUUUCAAAUGCUUACCUUCUUUAUUAUUUGGGCAUAAAAAUAGUGAAAUACUAGGAUGAGUGCUUCUUAAUGAAGGACUUCCAAAAUUGGGAUGUGGAAGGAAACUAUAGAAAAGUGAAAAGUGGUAUUUUUAUAUAGGAUCUGGAAGGAAAACUGUAAUACUUCUUUCCUUUUGCAAUUUUAAGUGUCUUUACUCUUCCUUGUUAAGGUCUCAUCCAGAUGAAAAUGAUUAAUGAUAUGUUUGAUCAUGUGGUGAUGGCAAAUCAGGGAGAAGCUAUUGUAAUUUUUGUGGAUUCUAAAGCUCUCUAUUAAGUUCCUCUAUAUAAUUUAUUUUAUGGCUGAUAAGAUUUCAAGGUUUGGUCAAAAUUUAGCUUUCUGAUUUUGGCAUGUGAUUUUGUUUACGUUACAUUGCUUGCAGUUUUCUUUAUCCCCCUUCUAAUUUAUUGUCAUAACCACUUUUGUUCAUAUGCAUUGAAAAACCAAUUGAUAUAUUGUGCUGUAGAGAACUUUUUUUUGGUUAACUACUAAAUUGUUUAUAGAUAUGUAUUUCUUAUAUGUGCACCAUAGUUCAAACCUGUUCUCAGCAGUAGCUUAUCAUUUUAUUGAUCUAGUUACCAUCCUUGCAGAGCUUUAUUUUAUGUGUUUGCAACACGAGGAGCAACUUUUGAAGAUUGAAACCCUGGGAUCAGAACUCCAAGCUUGAGGUGUUGCGAAGAGGGUAACAUCUCUCUUGUGGAGUGUAUGAGUCAUUUGUUGAAAAUAUUGUGUUUUGGAGGAACAAUCUCCUAAUUCCUAGUUUGGAGCUAACUGUACUUAGUGCAGUGGUAAAGUACAGAUAUUUAUUCUUUUUUAAGUUCUCACGGAAAUUACAAUGCUGGUGUAAAUACAUUCUUGCUGUAAAUGACUGCAUUGAUACACCACUGAAAGAUUGCUUUUUCUUGGAUCCUCAAAGGGCUUCAUUAGGUUUUCAACCAUACAACCGGUCAUCAAGUUCCGAUGCUUGACUUUAGAUUUUCAACCAUCUUUCUUCUUGAAAGAAACACAUGCAUGACAUGGCAGGUAAAUAGUAUGCUAUAAGCACAAACAAACACUUAAUACCUGUUUGUAUUCUUUCAUAAACUUUUUUGCACUCAACAGCUGUUGAGGAAAAUGCCAUUUUCCCUAAUGUGAAGUCAUACAAAAUGUCAAUCUUCUGAUGUCAUGUGAAACAAAUCCAAUGUCUACUGUAGUUGGAGGUCGCAAAGAAGAUGCAAUUGCCAGGUUUCAUGUCUAAAGCAAACGUGGAAGCAAAUAGCAAUUGCACCUUUGCAUGUUUGUUGCAGGAUCAUGUGCCUAGGAUCUAUUUAAAACCUAAUAUGAUCACUCUUUUCCACUCUUCUUUAGAAAGUACUGAUGAAACUUCUUUGUUGGGUUAAAAAUGGAGAUGCUUGCGUUUUGUGCUUAUUUGCUACUGGUUGUAGUUGCACUUGGAGGAGGCAAUGUUCUUUCAUUUGCUGCCACUGUUUCUAGUGAUGAGAUACCUACUAAAUCAAAUGUGGUAGCAGGUACAUUAGGAAAUGGAUAUGGUCAUUUUUCAAAGUGGGAUAAACGCCUGCCUUUUCUUAGGCAUCCUUGGACUUUUCGUAGGUGGUAUCGCCCACCCACCCAUGGAUAUACCCCACCUUCCUCAGCCCCACCCUCUCCAGGAUGUCCCACCCCACCAUCACAAGGACAUCCACCACCUUCUCAUGGUCGAUCACCCCCUCCAAGUUAUGUCCCACCCUCGCAAGGAAAUCCACCACCGUCUUGUCAUUUUCCACCAUCUCCUGCACAUCCACCACCUUCUCAUGGACAUCUGCCACCCUCUCCAAGAUGUCCCUCGCCCUCGCAAGGACAUCAACCACCUAUUCAUCAUCCUCCGCGCUCCCCUCAAUAUCCACCACCUUCUCAAGGUCAACCACCUUCACAUGGACAUCUGCCACCCUCUCCAAGAUGUCCCUCGCCCUCGCAAGGACAUCAACAGCCUAUUCAUCAUCCUCCGCGCUCUCCCCAAUAUGCACCACCUUCACAUGGAUGUCCGCCUCCUACUCAAUGUCAACCACCUUCUCAAGGACAAACUCCUCCCUCACAAGGACAUCCACCUCCCACCCAAACGCCACCCUCUCCAAGACAUCCUCCUCCUUCACAAGGACAUUCACCGUCUCCUCCCUGUCAUUCUCCACCCACUGCCACGCAUCCACCGCCAUCUCAUAGGCAUCCGCCGUCCUCUCCAAAGUAUCCAUCGCCAUCACAAGGAUGUCAACCACCUGCCCAUCAUCCUCCGCACGCUCCUCAUUGUCCACCAUCUUCUCAAGGUCGACCACCCUCAUAUGGACAUCCGCCUCCCACCCAAAGGCCACCCUCUCCAAGACAUCCUUCACCUUCACAAGGACAUCCACCACCUCAAGGUUGCCCACCCUCUCACAGGCAUCCACCUCCCUCUUAGAGGUAUCCACAACAAACACCAUAUUAAGGGCUAUCUUAGCAACUGAGACGCACACAUCCCCCUUUAAUGUGGAAGUCUUUGUUGUGAUAAAUAAAUUAAAACAACCUUGUCUUUAAUGUUUGAAGCAAGAAAUCAACUUGAAUACCAUAAUUUCACAUGCACUAUGUGCUAGUUUUAUUCUCCUGUUUUAUAAGCAAGGCUUAAAAAAUUUUAAAUGGUCAUGGUGUGUGAUAUUUUAAGACAACUUUGCCUUUAGUAUUUAAAGCAAUAAUCAAAUUCAAUACCAUAAUUGCAUAUAUCUUGUGUCAUAGUUGGUGGUAGAGCUCAAAAAACAAAAAUUUAAAAAAAAAAUUUGAAGAUAAGAAUUUAGUAUAAAGAAUAUAAAGUGUCUAUUAAGAUGAAUGAUUGAAAAUUGGUAUUUGACAUUUAUGGCCCGUUUGUAACAAAUGAAUAAUGGUUUUAGAAUUCAUUUGUAAAGGAAUUUGUUAUGUUUGUUAUGCUACAAUUUAAAAUAAGAAAUUCAAUUGAAUUUUAUAAAAUUAUGUUUAGAAUAAAUUCUUAAAUGAAAAUUCAUUUGUCUUUAUUUCUUAUAAUACCCUUAACAUAAUAAUUUAAUAAAAAUAAAUAACAAAUACCAAUUAUAUUUAUUAUGUACAAUAUAAUAACUUGUCAUUUUUUAUUAGAAUAUAAAUAAUAAAUUUCAUAUAAAUAAGUACACUAAUAUUCCACACUAAUUAAUUAAUUAUAUAAGCAGUUAAAUUCGUCAUAAUAAUUAUUUUUAAUUGAUGUUGUUGAUUUAAGUAAUUAAUUUGAAAACUAAAAAUAAUAUUAAGAAUGUUGCUAUUGUUUUUAAUUAGAUUUGAAAACAAUUGUUGAUACUCAAUUUUUAUAGUUUCAUAGUAAUAAUAACUAAUGUUAUUACUAGACUUUAAAAAAAAAAAACAUCAUUAUUUUGGUUUGAAAUUUUCAAAAAAAAAAAAAAGAAAAAAAAUAUAAAAUAUAAACUAACAUCAUUAUUGGAUUAAAAAAGAAUAAGAUUGUUAUAGUUUGAAAUUUUCUAAAGAAAAUAAAUAAAAAGAAAAAAAAAGUAAAAAUAGUUGAGUUUAUAGUGAAGGAUAAUUUUAUUAAUAAACAUUCAAUGGUCAAUUUUGUGGAAUUCAUUUACAAAUUCUAUCAGCUUUAUUAGAAUUUAAGUUGGACAUACUCAAUUUCAUAAAAUUCAAUCCGUAGAAUUCAAAUCUAUAUUUUUUUCAUUCCAAACAUAAUAUUUUGGAUUUCUAAAAUGAAUUCCACAAAAUUUUAUAGAAUUCAUUUGUUCCAAACGGACUCUUAGACUCUCAAUUCUUAUAAAGAAUAUUCGGGGGAAAAAAAACCUUUAAUUUUGUCAAUUAUGACUUUGAAUCCUUAUUCAAAUAAUAAACUACGAAAUUAAAAAAAAUUAUCUACAAUUUAAGAUAGUUUGGUUUAGUGAUAGAUUUGUACUAACCCUAUCAUUCGCAAAGUUGACUCAUAGAAUUGGCAUCUUUGAAAGAACUUUAAUAUAAUCAUUUUCUUACUCGAUAUAAAAUAUUAUUUAAUUCGUUGGUUAAAUUGGGGAGAGGAUGCCUUAGUAACUAAAAAAAAAAGAGUUAGAAGGUGAGAAAAGAGAAAAUAAAUAAAUCCCACCAACUAUUUCUGAACUCUAAUUAUUCAUUGGUAGUGUUCUUCUCUUCUCUAUUUGGUUAAGUUCUUCUUUGCCUUAAAAUUUAACAUUUGCUUAUUAAGUCCUCAAAAACCUUUUCGAUGUCUUGAUAGCCCGCGGCAUUCCGUUUUUAAAUUUCAAGUAUUUGGUAGUGUUCUUGUUUGGUUGCAUUCGGUUUGAUCAAGUAUCCUUCCUACUAGGUUUGGUUAGAAAAUCGGCCCAAAAUGGAUUGAACAAACAGAAUGCUUAGAGGUAAGCAAACUUGGGAAAAACCGAAAAAUUGAACCAAACUGAAUUAUUUUCAGUUAUUUAUUUGAUUUUUUUUGAAAAGAAGUUAUUUAUUUGAUUAUUUGGUUUUUGAUUUUGAUUUUCAAUUUUUCAUAAUUAAGUUUUCUGUCAUUAUAAAAUAUUUAUUUGUUAAAUAAAAUUGAACCAUUUGAUCGAAUCAAAUCAAUCAGUUUAAUUUGAUCACGAAGAACAGUUAUUUUCCAUCUGUGCGGUUCAGCUCGGAAGCGAACGGUACGUUUAAACACCCGCAAUGAUAGUCGUCCGAGGUUGGGGCUUUGGAAAAGAUAUAUGGGACCUGUACGAGGCAAAAAUGUCAUUUUGUUCACUCUCAGUCAUAACAGCGUCGCCGUUUUAAACAAUCACUAAUCCAUCGUUUGGGCUGUUUUCGGUUCUCAGUAGCAGAAGAUGUUUUUCCACAUAGUAUUGGAGAGGAAUAUGCAAUUACAUCCCCGCUACUUCGGGCGCAAUCUCCGCGACAAUCUCGUUUCCAAGCUCAUGAAAGAUGUUGAAGGAACGUGCAGGUCAUGGGUUGUUUCUGUUUUGGCUUCCCUUUUUUACAUUACAAAUUUUCAAUCAAUUUAAUAACAAUCAAAAUCUUCAACUUUUCAUGGGAUUUGGAGAAAUUAAUCAAAACCCAUCUCUGAAAUUGAAGGUUUUCAAUUUACCAGGAAACAUUGAAUUCUUAAAUAAGAUUUUAGUUUUAGAGAAGAGUUGAUGUGUUCCUUAUGAGAGUUCGAUUUUUGCGCAUGUGAAACUAGAAGAGAAGAAUUGUUAGUAGUUUUGGGUCCUUAGUUUUAUUUGCUUGGCACUAGAGAAAAACUCAAACUUUCAACCUGACUUUGCUUAUUUGUUUGCUUGGAUUAUGACACUAUGUCUCUUAUGAGUUAUGACUCUAGACAAAGCCUGCAUAUUUGCAAUAACUGAAAAGGAAUUGAAGUAAUGGUGCUACUAGUGAUAUCCUAGAACGUAGUAUUUCUGGUAAUUGAUAAUGUUAUUCUGAGAAAUCAAGGUUCCUUGGCUUAGCUAUGUAGUCUCAGAAGAAAAUUUGGGAAGAAGCCAGUUGGUAUAUAGGGAACUUGUUGUGGAACGUUCCAAUUUUGAUCCAUUUCUGUUGCAAGAUGCUUAGAUGAGGUGUAUUUGUUGCUAGAUUUUGUCAUGUUACCUUAACUGAAUAGCCUUCAUAACCUGCAAUUCAAGAGAGGGGCUGAUGAAAAGAUUUAUUCUGUUAUUUUCAUUCUGCAUUAGUUGAUUGGAAAUCUGUCCUUCAAAAAGGGGCAGUGGAAGUGUUCUCCAUUGUGGUUUAGCUCAAAUUUCAGAUUUUUUAUAUGGGAACCUAAAAUGAAGUUCUGAAAUACUUGAAUCGUUCUCCACAAAGCAAUCCCUUGCUCUUCAGUAGAUGAAUUAUUUUGUGGAUGAACAUCAUUCUUAAUUGUUGGCAUUCCUGCAGUGGUCGGCAUGGCUUUGUGGUGGCGAUAACGGGCAUAGAGAAUAUUGGUAAAGGGUUGAUCCGAGAUGGGACAGGAUUUGUGACAUUUCCAGUGAAGUAUCAGUGCAUUGUGUUCAGGCCAUUUAAGGGUGAAAUUUUAGAAGCUGUUGUUACCAUGGUAAACAAGGUAUGUGCUACUCUUUUACCAAUCUAACUCUUUUAUGAAAUUAUAAUUGUGAAUUUUUCCACUGUAGCCAAAUUUGUGAUUUUAUACAUAAACAUGUCAGAUGGGCUUUUUUGCAGAAGCAGGACCAGUUCAAAUUUUUGUUUCAAACCAUGUAAGUACUGCACUUUACUUGAAAGUUCUUUUCCUAGAGGAUUAUGAACUUGUUAAAUUACCCUGUCUUGCAAGAGUGUUUUUUUUCCUUCAAUUGUAUCUUUGUCAUUUGAUUAUAUAGAUAUGGGAAUUGCUUAAACUUUUUGGUUAGCAUGUAGGAUAUUAAGAAAAUAAAAGCUAUAAUUUAAUUUAUUGCAGUACUUUUGUUUGGCCUUGUUGUUUGGAGUUUGUAACUUUCAGAAAGCAAAAAAAUGAGAGUAGGAAGAAUUUGUUUUUGCCAAUCUCACAUUUUUUGUUAGCAAUAAAAAAAUAUUUUUUGUUUAACAUUAGGAUAAAAAGGAAUGUAACAGUUGUUGUACGUAAAACUUCAGUUUUCAGGUUUUUUUAUAUGUCUGCUUUAAUAAUACAAACUCUAGACGUUUUCAUUUGUGUCUUGGGAUAGAAUAUUACAAGUAAAAGUUGAAUACUAUAAGAAAAGGGUUUUUGUUGCAAGGAAAAUUGGAAAGCCAUUAUUGUUCCUAAUACUUCUAUAUCUAUCUAUCAGUACCAUUUAUUGGGUGUAUGAUAGUAAAAUCCUAUUGUAUUUUAAACCUAUGUCAUGUCCUAAAUGUAGUUCACUUAUAUUCAAGUUUGUUAGUUUUCCUAUUAUAGUAUUAUUUCUCUACUCUAUUGGAUGUAUUAUUCCUCUUAGUCUAUAUCUCUCUGUCAGUACCACUUAUUGGGUGUACAAUAGUAAAUUCCUAUUGUAUUUUAAACCUCUGUCAUGUCCUAAAUGUAGUUCACUUGUAUUCAAGUUUGUUAGUUUCCUAUUAUGGUAUUAUUUCUCUACUCUACUGAUUGCAUUUACAUACGCAAACUGUUAAAUGUAUCUUCCAUACAUGCAACUUAACGUUUUCAUCUUUUGUUGUAGCUAAUACCUGAUGACAUGGAGUUCCAAUCUGGAGAUAUGCCAAAUUAUACAACUUCAGAUGGAUCAGUAUGCUUUGCUUUGAACCUAUUCCGAAUGUGAAUCUUUUCUUUUUUUUUUUUUUCUUCCUGGCCUGUUUGACAAACUUAAACUUGUUAUUGAUGUGUUGCGCAUCUUUUCAGGUUAAGAUUCAAAAGGAUAGUGAAGUACGACUAAAGAUAAUUGGGACUCGAGUUGAUGCUACAGAAAUUGUAUGUUCAUAAAUCUCGUGUUUUAUUUCUGGAUAUCUUGCUACUUUCUCUCAUCAGCCAUAAGCUCAGAUGGAAUAUCUGGACUAGAAUUAUAAAGAAUUUAUGCUCUUUAUAACUGGGUUAUUGUUGCCAUCUAAUGAGAAUUAUUUUACAAAGUUGAGGAAUAUAAUUUCAUUUUAGUGGACGUGAUAUUAUUUGGAGAAUUAGUGAUAUACAUCUAGGUUAUAUAAAUGAAAAUAGUCUGUUUCACCCCUAAAAAACUAUUUAUUUUGGAAUUCAAUGUGACUACAUCUAAUAUUUCUAAAUUUCAAAUUUCAUUUAUAUUGAAGAAAGGGUAGGCAUGAUCUCUUAACCAUUUAAAAUUUUAUUUCGCAGCGAUCAAAAUCUAGAAAUUCUCAUUGUGUUUCUUUUUUUUUGUGUUUUUCCUUCUUUUCUUUGCAGUUCUGCAUCGGUACCAUAAAGGACGAUUUCUUGGGUGUGAUAAAUGAUCCAACAGGCGCUUAGUGGAGUUGUUUACAAGAAAGUAGAAACUUCAACUGCAUCAAACUGACCUUCUUGCAAUGUAUUACUGCUUACUGUAUAGUUUUAAGGGCAUUAACAUUGUCUCGACCUGCACAUCAAGAUGUAAUCUAGUGUUAAGUGCAUGUAAGAUCUGAUAAUAGAGUCAAGUUUGAAUUUCCUUCCCCAAUGCUUAAAAAGAGAGAAAAAAAACGGUGUCUUGGACCUUAAGAAUUACUGGUUUGAAUCACUGUAGUAGAUUUCUUUUCCAGGUAAUUGAAAUUAGAAACUGGAAAUCUUUCUUUAUUUUCAAGCUUAGUACUAGUCGUAGACUCUACUGAGUCAAGCGACACAUCGGUUGCAUCAAAUUUUAUUACUGGAACUAGGAUUUACCAAAAUAAUUUUGUGUUUUUAAGAAAAUACAUUAAUAUAAUUGAAUUAUAUAAAAUUUUAUAAAACUAAUUUGUAAUUGAUGUUUGGUGUUCUUUUAAGAACACAAUUAAAUCAAAUUUUAUAAUUCAUAUAUAAAUUUUGAAGUUUAAAUUAAUUUAUUCCAAUCAAUCAAAACUGUGAUGAAAAAACCUUGGAUAAAACGCAAACUGUUAAACUAGUGCUUUGCUUUUAUAAAAUAAAAAUUCUAAAAUUUGCUACUGCUAUUGUGUAUUAUCAACACUUUUUUUUUACUGCAGGGACACAAUCUGUUUUAAUAACUGUAUGCAUCGUUAACGUUUCACCAAAUGUUAAAAAAAGAAAAUGUUUCAUAAUUCGUUCUAUCAAUCGAGUCAAAACACUAAAUUCGAUGUGAAAAUAUAAAAUAUUACUCUCUACGUUUCAAAAUAUAAAUUAUUUAAAAUUUUUACAAAGAGAUUAAAAAAACAGUUAAUUCUUCUAAAUUAUAUUUAAAAUCAUGAGCAAUUUGAUGAAAUUAUUAUUUAUUUCAAAACCAAAGAUAAAUUAUAAAAUAUAAUUAUUAUAUCAAAUAUAAAUAUAAAUAUGGGUAAUAUUAGAAAAACAAUCACCGGAGUAAUUUGAUAUGAGUUCAACAUUAUAAAUUUUAGAAAAACAUUUUUAUAUUUUAUAUAUAUAUUUUUAAUUUUAUAAAUUAAAGUGGUUAAUUAGUAUAAUUUUAUUUAUAAAUUGAAGUGUUGGAUAAAUUAAAAUAAAAAUUCUACUGAAGCAACAAAGAGGAGUGAAUUUAUGUACCCCAAAUAAAAAGCCAUGGUCUGUAACUAGUAAUAUUCAUAGGUAGACGGUCAAAAUCAUCUUCGAUCAGUGAAUCCACAAAAUGCUAAUGGACGAAACAACUCUGCCUCGCCGCGGUUCUCGUUUCUUACUGCAAAACCCUUAAGUCUCUCUCUGAGCCUCUGACCCUCUGACCCUUAAACCCUAAUUUUAGCAACAAUGGCAAAAAUACUCCACUCGUAACAAAAUCUCACUAUCCCCUAUCUCUCUCUCUCUCUCUCUCUCUCUCUCUCUCAAUGUUAACUGCUAUUUCAAGAAUGAAGUCACUAAUGGCUCCACCAUUUUCACCCAUCUGCAGACCCACAUCUUCUGCCCUCUUCUUCUCUUUAGCCUCUAAAUACAAAUUUCUCUCAUCUCCCUCAACUCUUAAAAAUGUCAACUUUCUCCCCAUUAAACCUCCUCCUCCUGUGCCAAUAUUUCCAAUUCAAAAUCGAUGUCUACAGUCUAAAUCUUCUCCUUCUUCUUCAUCCGGCGAGAUUCAUGUCAUAGUUGGCCCUAUGUUCGCCGGAAAAACCACCACGCUUCUCCGUCGCAUCGAGUCUGAGAGCAGAGAUGGCAGGUAUGACUUGGUUUUUAUAAAAAUCUUAACUUUCCCUUUUUAUGUAAUGUGCUCUUUGUUUGUUUUUCAUGUUAUGUGAUUGUUUCUAACUCUUACUUCUUUUGUAUUUUUUUAUGUUGGUUGCUCGAUGUUGUUACUUUAUUGUUAAUGUUAGAUGCUUUAGAACACAUCUAAUGCUCUAAUGAAUUGCCAAUUGAUUUUAGUUUGUGGGUGAGCUUUUGACCCUGAUUUUUUUUUUUUUUUUUGAUGGGAUUAUCACUGGUUAGAUAUUGCCAGGUUUCAGGUUAAUAACAUGCUUCAAUUGGCUAAAACUUUAAAGGGUCUUUGUUUAUCGGGGAGGAUGAGUGAAGCUGUGGGACUAUUAUGGCGUACGGGAUUAGAAAUGGAUCACAGGACCUAUGCCCUUCUGUUGCAAGAAUGUAUAUUCAGAAAACAUUAUAAAAAUGGAAAAAGAAUUCAUGCUCAAAUGGUUGUCGUUGGGUAUGUUUCCAAUGAAUAUCUUAACACUAAGUUGUUAAUAUUAUAUGCGAAAUCAGGGGAUUUAAAGGCUAUGCACAUGUUAUUUGAUAAGUUGAUGGAGAAAAGCUUGAUUUCUUGGAAUGCUAUUAUCGCUGGAUAUGUGCAGAAGGGGCUUGAAGAAUUAGGUAUUAGUUUUUAUUACAAAAAGAGAGAAACUGGUCUGGUACCGGACCAGUAUACCUUUGCAUCAGUUUUUAGAGCUUGUGCUGCAUUGGCAACAUUGGAGCAUGGCAAGAAAGCACAUGGUGUCAUGAUAAAAUGUCACCUAAGCGAAAAUGUUAUAGUCAAUAGUGCUCUCAUAGAUAUGUACUUUAAAUGCAGCAAUCUCUCGGAUGGGCAUAAGGUCUUUAGUAAAUCAGUAAUCAGGAAUGUUGUUACCUGGACUUCAUUAAUAUCUGGGUAUGGCCAGCAUGGAAGAGUUUCAGAGGUUUUAGAAUCAUUUCAUAGGAUGAAAGAUGAAGGUUUCAGACCCAAUUAUGUUACUUUUCUUGCAGUCCUUUCUGCUUGUAGUCAUGGAGGUUUGAUUGAUGAAGGUUGGGGUUAUUUCUCAUCAAUGAAGAAAGAUUAUGGAAUCCAACCUAGAGGGCAACACUAUGCAGCCAUGGUUGACCUUUUAGGCCGUGCUGGGAGGUUACAAGAGGCUUAUGAGUUUGUUCUUAAUGCACCUUGUAAAGAACACUCAGUUAUAUGGGGGGCUUUGCUUGGGGCUUGUAGGAUUCACGGGAACAUGGACCUAGUAAAGCUUGCAUCAAAGAAAUACUUUAAAUUGGAUCCAGAAAAUGCUGGCAAGUAUGUGGUAUUGUCCAAUGCAUAUGCCACUUUUGGGUUUUGGGACAAUGUUGCAAAGGUUAGAAGUAUGAUGAGAGAUUCAGGAAUAAUGAAGGAGCCUGCUUAUAGCAGGAUUGAAGUUCAAGGGGAGGUGCACUACUUCCUAAUGAGUGAUAAUUCUCAUAGAAAAUUUGAAGAGAUAUGUAGGACGAUUAUUGAAAUGAUGGGAAUUCUAAAAGAUUCUGGCUAUGUUCCUGAUAUAAAUGAUCAAUAAUUCACAAAGGUAAUCAAUUAUUACAUUUUAAAUCCAAAAACUCAUUACUGUUUUCAGCUGAGCUUUUAUUGGACUUUGAGGCUUAGGUUGGCAUUUUAAGGCACAGUUCUUUGUGUGUUUCCCAUGCACAGUUCAUAGGCUUUACUUUAUUUAUAUUUUUCUUUCCCAUGUUAAAUGCAUAUACCUUCUUAUGGUCAUGCUUGUUCUGAUAUACUGUUAUUGCUUAGCAGAACUCUGAGGUAAGCUUUCUUUUUAAGCCAUGUACUUUCCUGAUUACUCUAAGGUCCAUUUUAGUGUUGUAGGCUUGUAGCAUAUGAUAAUGAGUGUAAUAAUUUGCCAUAUAAGUCCUAAAUAACUUUUAUUUUAGGUUUAGUAAUCUAAGUGAGAGAAAAUGAAAUGCUUAUGAUUUGAGCAGUGCUUUAUAUUUUAGAAUUCAUUUUUUCCUUUUCACAUUUUUAUGCAGAAAUGUAGCAAUCAUAAAAUCAAACAAGGACACAAGAUAUGGUUUGGAUUCAAUAGUGACACAUGAUGGGUUGAAGUUACCAUGUGUGGCACUUCCCAAUUUGUCGUCUUUUAGACAAAAAUUUGGUGCUGAUGCAUAUGAACAGGUAUCUCCAUGGAAAAAAUAUGAUGAUUUAUAUUAUUAAGAAAGAUAUUGAAAGGAUGUUUUCAAUUGUUAGUUUGAAUGUGGACUAUCUCAUGUCAUUAAGUAGUUAGUAUUAACUUUAUUUCUGUUGUAAGUUAAGCAUAUCUAUAACUGCCGCUACAGCUCAUGUUAAGAAAGAAGCUAUUAGAAAAGUUCUGAUUGCUGGAUAUAUGUGCGCAUCAUUCUUGCUAGUUUCCUGAGCUUUCAGUGUAGACUUGGUAAUAUUAACUCACCAAAAGCUUAUGUUGACAGCUGGAUGUAAUCGGUAUUGAUGAAGCUCAAUUUUUUGAAGACCUGUAUGAUUUCUGCCGUGAAGCUGCUGAUCACGACGGAAAAACUGUAAUAGUUGCUGGUCUGGAUGGUGACUACUUGAGGUUCGCUUCGGACCUAUUAUUCACUAUUCAAUUAAUCCAUGAUUUUGUUGCUUAAAAUCACAUUACAAUAUUCUCGGAUUUCCUUUUGAUGGUGAAUUAAAUAUUUGCUGACAGGAAAAGUUUUGGUUCUGUGCUUGAUAUAAUUCCUCUUGCUGAUUCUGUGACCAAGUUAACUGCACGAUGUGAAAUUUGUGGAAGUCGCGCUUUCUUUACCUUGAGGAAGACGGAGGAGACGCGGGUAGAACUCAUUGGUGGUGCUGAUGUGUAUAUGCCUGUAUGUCGACAGCACUAUGUCAGUGGACAAGUAGUCAUUGAAGCUGCUGCAAGAAUAGUUGUAGAAUCUCAGAAGGUGGAGUUUGGAUCUUGCGUGUAGCUCAGAUUCUUCUUAAUUGGACGCAACGAUUUUAAUUAAUAUGUUGUUUUGUGGUUAUGGGUAUGCCGCUAUUAGAUCAAGUAGAAAAAAGAUUUCUUUCGAUCCCCAUUAUAAGUUGAAAGUUUUAAAUCUGUGAUUAAUAUUUUGAAAAUAAUACUGUACAUACACAGGGAUUGGGAUUGAUAGUCCUCCCUUAAAGGGCUUUUCACCCUCCUCAAACGGGAAUAAAUUUGGAAAUCAAACCAAAUUAAUCUGUUCGGUAGGCAUUGGUUUGGUCAAAUGAUUCGGUUUAUUCAGAAAAUAAAUGUUUGAAAUAACCAUUCCAAAGACCAAAAACUAAAAUUAUAGAAGAUUUCAAACUGAAUCCAAAAACCGAACCAAAAUUUGCUCACCCCUUGCGCCAUGUAAACUUGGGGAGAUAGAUGUUAAUAUAUAAUGUGGCAUGUGAAACAUAGUCACGAUAUAUUCUUAAUGCAGAUGAACAAAGAGUCCGUUCACAACUUGAAAUGGUAUGAAGGCAGUUCAACAUUUUGUUUUUACUGGGUGAUAGAGCGCUUGUUAUAACAAAGGGAAUCUGCAGAAAAGCAUUCCUUUGAAACUUCUCAUAGCAUGCAAUGUUUCAACAUUGUAACCCAAAAAUGUAUCAGAGAGUAAUAGUCAGAAAGAGAAAGCGCAACAUUGCAGAAAAAUUGUCGUAUUUUCACAGUACAGUCACAAAGCGAUCUUGCUUCAUUCUUAUGAGGUUGUUUUCAAUGUUCUUCAAAACUGGUUUGUAGCUGCAGGAAAUGAAAUCAACUUUAGUUUGUUCCGCAAUGUCUAAAAACUUUCACCUUCAAAUUGAGUUUGUAACCUAAAAGGGAUAUUAGAGAGAGAGAAAGUAGACUGCUUACAGGCGUGUAAGACCAUUAUAUGCUUGUGUGACUUCUUGUAGUUUUGCUGAUAGCUGCAGGACCUCUGCAGACAAUGCUUCUGCUCUGUUCUGUUCCUUCGCAAGUUCUCCCUAUAAAUAAAGAACAGCCAUAAGUUGAAAGCAAACUGGUGGAUGAAAUCAGAAUCUCGUAAUGAUGUCAACGUUAGUUUGCUCAUCUUGCAAAUGGUUAAGCUGAGGAGCUGAAACAAAAGAAGAGGUGUAACAGAAUUUGUUAGGAAUAAAAGAUCCCAUCUUUACUAACCUUGAGGUAAAAAAUUUCUGUUGAACCUGUCUCGUUUAUCCCAUUGCUAUGUCGUUCUGCUGAAAUGAACAUCUCCCUUUCACCUGAAGAAAGCAUAUUGGCCUGUUCUGUUCUCAUCUUAACAAGAACUCCACGAAGCUCUUCAUUUUGCUUAAGACAGUCUUUCAACUGUAGAAGUUAAAGUGAGAUUAUUCAUCAAAAUAAACAAGAUAAGUGCAAAUUAGCAAAAUGCAAGAAAUGAUAACAGAAACAAAAUUGACACUGUGAAAGAUUAGCACAUCACAAAUCAAGUAAUCAGAAAACUAACUUCAAGGUUAAGCCCAUUUCACAAAAAUUGGAGGCAGUGUCAUGCAUGAACUACCAUAUGCAGCAAAGAAAACUUAUAUAACAAAUUUAUUAAUAAAUUGAUUAUCCAUUUGUGUGCCUGGUUUCAAUUAAACUACAAGAAGAAAGUACUGCACGUAAGUUAAUAGUCCAUGAUUGUAAUAUUUUUGGAAUGUCUACCAUUUCGUACAACAUAUUCCAAUUUACUUUCUAGUUUAUUUUCUCCGAUUCAACUAUAGCUCAGAUCUCCAUUUUAAGUAUCACAUGAAGUCAUUAUUGACAAAAGUAACUUCUUAGUUGUGGAGUUAAAUGAUGCACAAAGGCAUCCCACACUUCGUGACACAAUAUUUGCUAAACUAGACCUUAAACUAUACAGAAAUUUACCUGAUUCUCCCAUUGCUUUGCUAUGCUUAUUGCCUCUUGAUAAGAGGAAGAGAGAUUAGAAUUUUCCUCAAAUAGCUUCUCUAUCUCUGUAGAUUGUGAAUCAAUCUGUUGACAAAAUUAUUUCAGCAAUGUCACCUUGAGACAGCAGAUGAAAUUUUAAAUUCCAUCGACAUUACUAAAAGAAAAUCAAGCAAAUACUUUACCUCCUUUAAAAGUUUCUGUCUGCUACUCUCCAAUCUCUCAACUGCUACAGCCAUAUCAUGCAACUGCUUCUCAAGUUUCUCCUUUUCCUCCUGCAAGGAAUAGAACAUCCAUCAAAACAGUAAUCCAAAAUCUUAGCCCACAUUCCACCAACCAUUAGUUAACAAGGGAUCAAGAGUUGAUAAGCAAUGGUUUGGAAAAGGAUAUUGAUGAGAAAGUAGAUAGAACAUGAAACCACAACUAUAUUAGAAAAUGUUGCAAGCAUGUCAUGAUUGACAAAUGUGAAUGCCAAACUAAUGAAAAUAACAACAAAAGAUUCUCUUACCACUGAAAAUGCCUUUUGAGCCACUUUUUCUGACAAUUCUUCUGUGCAAAACCAAAGAGAAAGCGACUUAGAAAAAGCAAAUCAAACUGAUAAAGACAAUUGUGAACAGUCAGUGCGUGAUUCUUUGUGUGAGAUAGAGACCACAAUUUCAAGGCUCCCAAGUUCCAAAAAAGUUUCUGAAGGGAUGUACCAGGGGCUUUUCUGGAUAUAGCCACAAGUUUCUCUUCCAAUUCCUGCUUUUCAGACAGAAGGGUGGAAACCCGGGCUUGCUCCUCCACCAACAGUUGUCGGUCUUGUUGCCUCAAUGAUAACUCUUGCUAUAAGUUCGGAAUCACAAUGAGAAAUACAUACCAAAACUCCAAUAGGGAACAAAGAAAAUGAUUCUAACCUGCAAACUAGACUUUAAACUAGCCAACUCAUGUUCCAAGCUUUGUAAUUGAUCUGGCAAAAUACCAGCGGACGUUGUUCGACCAAGUGGAUUACUCAUUGCUUGUUGCUGUAUAGAGUUUAAUUCUGCUCUCAAAGCUGCCGCAUCUUCCUCAGCCUACACUAAGAAAACUAAUGAGAAUAUAGGAACUGAGCUGCUACUAUAUAAUCACCAGGAUCUGGUUGCAUACUCUGUAUUGUUCUUCUUCUGCUUCUUUUAGACGUUUCUUAAGGGUGCGAAGCUGGGCUGAAAGAUCCUCCUAUACUAAAAUAUUAGAUGUGAGAGUGAAUAAUGAAAGAAAAGGAGCAUAAAUAUAGCAUGGAAGGAAACAAGUAGUGAGCUAAUAAUACCUACCCGUGCAACAACCGCUGCAUCUUUCUCCAUAGCUACAUCCUUGAGUGCUUUUCUUAAAGAUGGAACAGUAUUUUGUUCCUGAAAGUCACAAAAACCCCAAAAACCGUUGGAUCAUGUGGUAAAGUACAUAUUUAGAAGUUUUGCUGCCAAACACACCAUAACAAAAGGAAUGAGUUAAGGGGGAAAAAAGGUUCAUUACUUUACCAGAUCAUUUAUGCGCUUUAGUAAUGAUUCAUUCUCAACAUCCUUUGUUUGAAGCUGAAGCGGUGAGAAAAACAAAAAAAAUUUCUCAGCUUGAUGACACAAUAUAAAAGCCAUUCUUCAGCGUUUAACUGCAACCAAAAACAUAAAACCAAAUUUACACCCAUACCUUCAAGGAUAACAUCUUGUUGGUUUCCUCCAGAUCUUCAUUCUUUUUCAGUACAUCUUUAAGCUGCGAUACUAAUCCGCUAACAUCAGUCUGCAAAAGCCACUAAAUGUUAAGAUGACUACUACGUCCACAACUUGGCGAUUCAAAUCAAAUGUCUUUAUAAAUGCAUUGCGUCCAGUAGAAAGUGUGCCCAAUCCCUUAAUACCAUGAGUUACAAACUUAACACAUGAAAUGGAAAAUUCAAUUAUCUUCCUUUCUUUACAAAAAUUAUUAAUCAAGUUCACAAAAAUUCACACAUUUCUACAAUCCUAAUUUCAGAUUUCACUCAUCGUAGGAGAACAGCAAAUUCGAAAUACGAAUAAUAAUAACUCACAGAAAGUUGAAUUCUUACCUCAGAAAGUCGAUUUCCGCUUUCUGAUUUUCUAAUUCCUACGUUAUCUGCCCAGAAACAUUUCAGGGGGAAAAUAAUUAAUAUAAAUUUGAUAAAAAAAGAUUGCAUCAAUCAAAAAGCAAAAUAUUCUCUGAGUUAAUUUUAACAACAACAAAGGCAAAAAGAGAUAUUAAACAAAGAUACCAAUAGGGAUUUGAGCUUUGGUGAGAUCUGGUCCAGAAGAUGUUUUGCUUAACCUCUCUGCUGCUCUCUUUUGUCUAAUAUCUUCCAACUAAAAAAGAAACCAAUAUGAUAUCAAAUGAAGAUCCUUUUUUCUCCCAAAAAAAAAAAAAAGGGAAAUUAAGAGAAAAAUCACAUAUAUGAAACUUACAUAAAAAUUUUCAUAAUUAAGUGAAGAAAAAAAAAAACAAACAUGCUAAAGAGAAUGAAUAGAUGAGUACCGUUCGUCGACCUAGAGAUGCGUGAUGAGACUCCAUGGCCAAGAGAAAAGCAAUUCCAAUGGAUGAAUUAUCUUCCUCUCUCUUUGGCCUCGAUUUGGAAUUUUCUCUGCAGAGGCUUCAAACUGGAGGAGACGAUGAAUGAAAAAAAGCUUGUAGGUUCAAAAAAGCUAGAAAUUUAAACUGCAAUUUGUAGACGCAAUUAACAAUAAUUUAAGCAGUGUGCCAAUUCAGUGUCUGGGUGGUGUAGUUGGUUAUCACGCUAGUCUCACACACUAGAGGUCUCCGGUUCGACAUUGGGCUCAGAUAAUAUUAUGCAAUGUGAUAAUUAAUUAUAAUUUUUCCUUUCUUUUUUUUCUUUUUUUUUUAACUAAACAGGCAGAAAAUAAUUCAAAAAUACAAGAUGGGUUUGUCCAUAGGUGAGGUGAGUUCGACCUCGAAUUAAAUAUUAUAAAUGAAUCAAUUUAUCUAAACUAUAAAUUGUAAACGAUUCAAUUCAAAUUCAGCUUUUAUAUAUUUAAUAAGUUUCAAUUCUCUUCCACUUAUUAACAACUUUAGAUAUAUGUUGCUCCACUUAUAUUAAUUUUUUCGAACUCUAAAAAAUCUAUUCCUAAAUUAUUAUGUUUUUUCUAGUAUAUUUUAAGAAUAUAUAUAUAUAUAUAUAUAUAUAGUUCCUAAAUGCAGAUGGCUAAACUUUGGGUGUGCGUGAGGGGUUAAAAUUGGCUAAGAAAUUGGGCUGGUCGAAGGUUAUAGUGGGUUGUGAUAAUACGAUAAUUACUGAAUGGAUUAAAAGUUGAAAAUUACAUUCAAAUUCUAACCAGCUAGAGGUAGAAACGAGCCGAGCCGAACUUGAAUCUGUCAGGCUCGAAACUUGAUGAGUUUGAAAAUUUUAUGCUCGAGCUCCACUUGAAACUUGAGUUCAAUUCAAAAAAUUUUAAAUUCUAGCUCGGCGCGAUACUUGAAUAAGUUUAUAUAUAUAUAUAUAUAUAUAUGUUCGAUAAGGCUUAAUAAGUUUUCGAGCCGAAUAUUAUUAGGCUUGAGCUUGGCUCAUUUGCUAACAAGCUCGUGUUCGAUUCGAACCGAGCUUUUUCAAACCUUUUUAAAGCCGAGCUCAAACCGCUUGCUAGUCGACUCAACUCAGUACACCCCUAUUACCAGCUAUUUAAUUCUCUUAUCUUAUCAAAUUGAAUUAGGAGGUUCAAACUAUUCACGUGUCAAGAUAAGCUGUUUCAACACUGAUUGUUUAACGAAUUUUGUUCUUAAUAUAUAUAUAUAUAUAAAGUUGGAAUAAAGAGAAUAUUUAUAUCUUGAGUCUUAAUUUUUAAUUAUUUCUUAACAUAAAGUUAGGGAGGACAAUGGGUUAGGUAUAGAACAGGUUUUCUAAUUUCGACAUCCACUUUGCGAAAUUACAUAUAUACAUGUCCCCACGGGCCCUAAAAUUAAACAGGUGUGCUUGAGGACCGGUGGGUUCAAAUUGAAUUUUAUGUAAGUAAAUAUAAAAAAUAUAAUCUUAAUUUAAAAAGAAAAUAGAUAAAAUGGGUCAUCACUCAUGAUCGAGUUGAGUUUUAUUUGUAAAAUUUGUAUCUACCAUCAUUUUUUUUUUUUUAAAUAGAUCAGAUUGUAUCUACAUCAUUUGAAUAAAGUUCGAGUAAAUAUUCGACUGAAUAGGUAAAUUUGUCAUCCUUACAUAAAGUUUGUUAUAUUCAUCAUUUAGUUUUGAUUUGUUUGAAGCUUUGCUCCACAAUAUAAAAAGAGAGAAAAAAGAAAAGAAAAAAAAAAGCAUGUUAAUGGUAAAUAUAUUGCUUUGGAAGGGAAAAAACAAAUAACAUUUAAUUGUUUUUCUUCUCUAUCUGUAGUUAGGGGUGGCCACGGUUCCGGAACCGGCGGUUCCAGUUCCAAAAAAACUGGAACUGAAAUCGAACCGAAAAGUUUCGGUUCCGGUUCCGGUACAGUGACCAAACCGACGGUUCCAAUCGGUUUUUCGACGAAUCGCAUAAUUUUAAAUUUUAAAUUUUAAAUUUUGAAGACCGGUUUUAAAAUAUAUAUAUAUUUGAACAUAAAAAAUUAAAAGAUACACCUAAAAAAUUAAAAAAAUACUUCAAUUAAAUUUAUUUUUUUUAAAGACUUGAACAUAAUUAUUUUUUAAAAAAAAAUUUUUCAACUGAAUUUAUUUUUUGUUUAAAAAAGUUUGAACAUAAUUUUAAAUUUUGAAGACNNNNNNNNNNNNNNNNNNNNNNNNNNNNNNNNNNNNNNNNNNNNNNNNNNNNNNNNNNNNNNNNNNNNNNNNNNNNNNNNNNNNNNNNNNNNNNNNNNNNNNNNNNNNNNNNNNNNNNNNNNNNNNNNNNNNNNNNNNNNNNNNNNNNNNNNNNNNNNNNNNNNNNNNNNNNNNNNNNNNNNNNNNNNNNNNNNNNNNNNNNNNNNNNNNNNNNNNNNNNNNNNNNNNNNNNNNNNNNNNNNNNNNNNNNNNNNNNNNNNNNNNNNNNNNNNNNNNNNNNNNNNNNNNNNNNNNNNNNNNNNNNNNNNNNNNNNNNNNNNNNNNNNNNNNNNNNNNNNNNNNNNNNNNNNNNNNNNNNNNNNNNNNNNNNNNNNNNNNNNNNNNNNNNNNNNNNNNNNNNNNNNNNNNNNNNNNNNNNNNNNNNNNNNNNNNNNNNNNNNNNNNNNNNNNNNNNNNNNNNNNNNNNNNNNNNNNNNNNNNNNNNNNNNNNNNNNNNNNNNNNNNNNNNNNNNNNNNNNNNNNNNNNNNNNNNNNNNNNNNNNNNNNNNNNNNNNNNNNNNNNNNNNNNNNNNNNNNNNNNNNNNNNNNNNNNNNNNNNNNNNNNNNNNNNNNNNNNNNNNNNNNNNNNNNNNNNNNNNNNNNNNNNNNNNNNNNNNNNNNNNNNNNNNNNNNNNNNNNNNNNNNNNNNNNNNNNNNNNNNNNNNNNNNNNNNNNNNNNNNNNNNNNNNNNNNNNNNNNNNNNNNNNNNNNNNNNNNNNNNNNNNNNNNNNNNNNNNNNNNNNNNNNNNNNNNNNNNNNNNNNNNNNNNNNNNNNNNNNNNNNNNNNNNNNNNNNNNNNNNNNNNNNNNNNNNNNNNNNNNNNNNNNNNNNNNNNNNNNNNNNNNNNNNNNNNNNNNNNNNNNNNNNNNNNNNNNNNNNNNNNNNNNNNNNNNNNNNNNNNNNNNNNNNNNNNNNNNNNNNNNNNNNNNNNNNNNNNNNNNNNNNNNNNNNNNNNNNNNNNNNNNNNNNNNNNNNNNNNNNNNNNNNNNNNNNNNNNNNNNNNNNNNNNNNNNNNNNNNNNNNNNNNNNNNNNNNNNNNNNNNNNNNNNNNNNNNNNNNNNNNNNNNNNNNNNNNNNNNNNNNNNNNNNNNNNNNNNNNNNNNNNNNNNNNNNNNNNNNNNNNNNNNNNNNNNNNNNNNNNNNNNNNNNNNNNNNNNNNNNNNNNNNNNNNNNNNNNNNNNNNNNNNNNNNNNNNNNNNNNNNNNNNNNNNNNNNNNNNNNNNNNNNNNNNNNNNNNNNNNNNNNNNNNNNNNNNNNNNNNNNNNNNNNNNNNNNNNNNNNNNNNNNNNNNNNNNNNNNNNNNNNNNNNNNNNNNNNNNNNNNNNNNNNNNNNNNNNNNNNNNNNNNNNNNNNNNNNNNNNNNNNNNNNNNNNNNNNNNNNNNNNNNNNNNNNNNNNNNNNNNNNNNNNNNNNNNNNNNNNNNNNNNNNNNNNNNNNNNNNNNNNNNNNNNNNNNNNNNNNNNNNNNNNNNNNNNNNNNNNNNNNNNNNNNNNNNNNNNNNNNNNNNNNNNNNNNNNNNNNNNNNUGACAGUGUGGCGAGACCUGCCAGUUCGAACCGGCGGUUCUAACCGGUCGGGGAACCGACGGUUCCAGUCCGGUUCGGACCAGUUCUCUGGAACAGCCGGUUCCGGUUCCAGAAAAUUUGGAACCGAAACCGAACCGGAAUUCUCCAGUUCCGAUUCCGGUUCUCACCGGUUCCGGUUACAGGAUCCGGACCGGUUUCCGGAACCGUAAUAUGGCCAUCUCUAUCUAUAGUAAAGGUGCAUGAAAAAAUCAUGUUUAUGACCUAACAUACUUUGUUACUGCCAUUAACUUUAAGACAAAAAGCAAAUCCUCUAAAGUCUAAAUUUAAAACAGAACCUUAAUUGCUUAUCAAAUUGACAAUUAGGACAGAUAAUAACAUGUUAUGAUUUGAUAACAGGCUGUCCAUUAUUUGAUAGAACUGUAUCAUCACAUGGCACUUUAGAAAUUGGCAUCUAUUUGUCUCAUACUCUUGUUUAUUAAGAUUGAAACCUAAUCAUUCAUGGAGUUUAUCUUUUUAAGGAAUCUUUAGCCUUUUUAUUUUUAAAUUUUACUUUGUUAACCUUCCAUUGUUCCAUAGUAAUAAAGUUGUGUUCGUUAAUAAUUUUUUAAGUAGCUUUUAUUAUUUUGAUUAAAUACUAUUUUUUUUAUAACUUCAUUAAUAUAAUAUUUGAAUUAGCUUUUAAAUGUUAAAGUAGUAUUUUUUAAAAAAUAACUCAUAUAACGUUUAGUUUUUAGCAGUUUAUGAAACGUUGUUCUAAUAACUAAACACUACUAAAACAGUUAAAAGUUACCAAAAUAGCUAAUUUUGCCGAACAGAUACUAAAACUUUACAGCCUAGUCUUUCUAAUUAUCCAUACAUAACUUCACUGCAAGUGCAUAAGCAAGCUUAUAAAAUGUUUGUAUUUGGUUUGCAAUAUCAAUUUUACUUCUCGAAAAGUAGACCAUCUAACUUCCAUUACGUAAGGGAAGUAACUUUUUUAGGAAUGAUUACGGAUGAUGCACUUUCUUAGUUAAAUGCAAUAAAUUUUUAUCCUACUAUUUAAACACACUUAAAUUAUAUUAUGAAUAUUAUUAUUAGGGGUGUCAAAACAAGUUCGACACAGAUUCGCCUAACACGUGACACGAUUAGAGUCAACACGAAUACGACACAAAAAUUAGGUAGGUGACAUGAAUAUGAUAUAUGUAACUCAUCUAAUAUUAUAAAUAUGUUAAGUGAGUCAUGUUUACUUGCAUAUAACCCACUUAAUUUACUUAUACUUAUUUUUAAAUUUUAAUCUAUUUAACUCAAAUCAUAUUUAAAAAAUCAUACAUAAAAUGCAUAGAUUUUUCAGGAUUCAUAACUAAAAUAAAAAAAUUAAUACAACAAUAAAGUUUAAAUAGGUUUUAGUUGGAGUAUUUAUAUUUGACAUUAAAAUUACAUAUUUACUCUUAAAUAAACGAGUCACUCGCCUAAUCCGCGUGUCAAUCCACGACAAGACACGUUUAUAUUCGUGUCAUAAAUGAGUGAUCCGUUAAUAACACGAACUCAUUUAACCUCAACCCUAAUAUAUUUAUUUCGCGUAUUACGCAAAUCGUGUUGGCGUGUCAGACCCAUUUUGACACUCCUAAUUAUUAUCUUUUGUAAUUUACUUCCUAAAAAAUUAUACUAAACACGUUCAAAUUAUAUUUAAUGAGAAAUAAAUUCCUUCGAAGUGUAUAUUACUCUUUAAUUAUUAUUGUCAACAUUUUUUUCCUUGUCGUGGAUUUAUGUCAUUAAUGUUAUUUAAGAACAAAUCAUUUACGAUAGACUUUCAAUUCAUUUGGAAAAAAUGACUAAAUAUUAUAUAUAUAUAUAUAUAUAUAUAUAUAUAUAUAUGACAUAUAAUUUCCAUUUAGUUGAGAGUGAAUACAUAUUCCGGAGAAGCACUAAUAUAUACUCCCCUCCCAUUUUAUUUGCUUGUUAUUCAUUUUUCGGAUGUCCCAAAAUAUUUACAAGAUUUCUAAAUUUAUAUAUAUGUAAACAAUUAUUUUUUCUAUAAUAAUUUUUAUAAUUGUUAUUAAACGAAGAACUUUUAUUAAUAUAUUAAUGAGUUAAGGAAUAGUGUAAAAAAAAAGUAAAAUAACUUUAGUUGACUAAAUUUUUAACAUGCGUAUUUUGUCAAAUCAUGCAAAUAAAAUGACGCAGAGAAAAUAUUACAUAUAUAUAUAUAUAUAUAUAUAUAUAUAUAUANNNNNNNNNNNNNNNNNNNNNNNNNNNNNNNNNNNNNNNNNNNNNNNNNNNNNNNNNNNNNNNNNNNNNNNNNNNNNNNNNNNNNNNNNNNNNNNNNNNNNNNNNNNNNNNNNNNNNNNNNNNNNNNNNNNNNNNNNNNNNNNNNNNNNNNNNNNNNNNNNNNNNNNNNNNNNNNNNNNNNNNNNNNNNNNNNNNNNNNNNNNNNNNNNNNNNNNNNNNNNNNNNNNNNNNNNNNNNNNNNNNNNNNNNNNNNNAAAUUAUCAAAUCAAUAUAUAUAUAUAUAUAUAUAUAAAUGAGGGAGUAUUAUAUUUGGCGAGUCGUAAUAUACAUAAUAUAAUAUAAUCAAAGCCAUUUCUCAAUUUAUAGAAUUUAUAUAAUAUAAUCAAAAUUAUUACAUUAUGCUUACCAAAAAAAUAGCAUAAGGUUUGAUUAAUUACGCUAAAAAUAUAUUUAUUUUAUUACGUCUCGUCAAAUGGGGCCUAAGAUAUAGUAAAACCAGAAAGGAAGACAUGGGAAGACAUACUGCAGAAAAAAGGAAAGUCAUAAGAAUCAUACUUUUUCCCAAUAAUUCCAUUGAUUAAAUCAAACAUGCUUAUUACCUACGCAAUCAUCCUAAUAAUUAAAUAUUAUAGAACCUGUUUUCAUUUUCCUUUGUCCAUAUAUGGCCACUGAUUAGCCAGAAGCAGCAAGUAGCUAAGGUUUCAUAUAUGCUUGUAAACUGUAAUUAGCCAUGAGGAGAUGUGCGCACAUAUGUGCCUGUAUUCCUGGAAUUAAGCAGCAGAAGGAAGAUCAUUCUGACAAGUCCAGUUCCCAUCACAGAUCCCAGAAAAAGAAAAAGAAGAAAGGAGAUUCAGCUGCUGAUUCUACUGGGGUUCCUCUUAAUGAUCACGCAGAAGGCAGCAGCCACCACCAGGGAACCAGCGCGGAUGCCGGAGGUGGUGGCACCGCAGCUGCUGUUGUAGCAGUGAGUGCAGUACAUAUGUCUGCUAUUGAAGGUAGUGGAGGAGGUGGCGAUGGCUGAAUGUGGGUUAUUGAAGGUUUCUUGGGUUGUUAUUCGUUUGUUUGUUUUUGUGCUUCGUGAUAUCCCUUUUUCGGUUGUUUUCGUUGGCCAUUUGUAAGAUAUGGUAAAACGUGGUGUCGUUUUGAUGGGGGUGUGUGAAGUGUGAAUCUGAUCUGAGGAGUAAUAAGGGAAGAAGUGUUUUUGGUCAGAAAUUUUCAUUGCUGUUUUCUUUUCUUGAUUGUAAGUGUACCAUUAAUGACAAUUUUUAGCUGAGAAACAUUUCUUUUCUUCAUCAGCUAUGGCUGUAUCAGCUAUCACUCACUGGCCAAACCCUGCUGCUUCUACCCCAAAUCGUUUAGAGCAAAUAAAUUAAAAAUAUAAAAUUUGUUUGUAAAUAAAUUCAGAUUUUUAGAAUGAAUUACUAAAGAUAUGAAAUUUAAUUAAUUUCAGAAAUUUUUUGUAGUUAUAGUUGUAUUUUUAUCUUGUCCACUUCCCUGAAAGUAUAAUUUCCACAUCCUUUCUCUAGGCUUCAUUAACUAUGUCGGUAUCAGCUAUAGUCAGUGGCUAAACUUUGCAGCCACCGGCUGGAGGUAAAAUACCUCAUAGUGCUCCUGCUACCACAACCUGAAUUUUAUUUGUAAAUAAAUUCACACAUUGAGGAUGAUAUUAUCUAUUACUCCUUAUAAUAUUCAAAAUGAUUUAUAUUUUGG
rnacentral:lncRNA from 1 species